AGAGGUAAUAUCUGAUUGGCUUUGGGGAUUGAGUCAACUUACCUGGUGUGACCUGUCCAAUAACCAAAUCACAGGAAGUUUUCUCCCUUCACUUGAAUAUCCUUCGCCUGCACUCCAGAAAUCAACCUUUAAUCGCUCAAAAAGUUCUUUUACAUCCUGGCAUAAGCUAUAUAAUCUAAAUUUGGCAGGCAAUUUACUUUCUGGACCAAUACCUGCAAAUAUUGGUCAAGUAUUGGCAUCUGUGAGUAUGCUUAAUCUCUCUUGGAACUUCUUGGAUGGUCGUAUGCCUUCAUCAAUAGGUAGAAUGAGGAACUUAAUUUCACUAGAUCUAUCAAACAAUCAACUUUCAGGCAGGAUACUAGACAACUCGAGGCAUUUGAAAAAGCUACUAGUUCUAGAUUUGUCCGCGAACCAUCUCUCCGGAACUGUUCCUGGUUCAAUAUUUCUAUUGCCUGAACUACAGAAAUUGAAGUUAAAUGACAACCACCUUUCUGGUGAUCUCUCAAAUUACCAAAUAAACAAUGCAAGCUUCUUGGAAUUACUUGAUCUUGGAGGGAACAGAUUUGCAGGGAAGAUACCAAAAUGGCUAGGGGCAAGCCCUCUAGCACUAUUUGAGUUACGAUUACGGGCCAACAGGUUCAGUGGCAGCAUUCCAGAAGAAGUAUGCAAUCUUAUAUAUCUCCACAUAUUGGACAUUGCAGCCAAUUAUCUGUCUGGAUCGAUCCCAGCAUGCCUAGGCCAGUUGACACACAUGCAGAUAGUGCUACCAUUUGUUCCAAUAUCACCAAUAUCAGCAUUCAAAGACAUUGCCGAGAUGGAUUUGGUGGUGAAGGGAAGACAGAUGAGAUACGGCAAGACCCUCGAACUGGUGAACAUUCUUGACCUUUCGAGCAAUAAUUUAUCCGGAGAGAUUCCAAAAGAGAUAACCAGACUCUUAGCCUUAGGUACUUUAAACCUCUCCAGAAACCAAUUGACCGCAAAUAUACCUGAGGAAAUUGGAAACUUGAGCCUGCUGGAAACUCUUGAUCUUUCCCAUAAUCAUCUUUCAGGCCCCAUACCCCGAAGCAUGACUGCCAUGACAUUUUUGAACUACCUGAACUUGUCAUACAACAACUUGUCGGGGCAAAUUCCUUCAACCAAUCAGUUCCAAACCUUCAAUGAUCCCUCCAUCUAUGAGGGAAACGCAGGACUUUGUGGCGUUCCUCUUCCAACAAAAUGCGAUGCAGUGAAUGCUGGUGAUGCAGAAGACAAAGGCCGCAUGAAAGAUCACAGCGUGGAAGAAGAUGGUGAAGACAGCACAAAGCUUGAAUUCUACAUCAGCAUGGUACUGGGAUUCAUUUUUGGAUUUUGGGGUGUGUUUGGUAGUUUGUACGUAUAUAAGCCGUGGAGACAAGGCUAACUGCAGUUUGUUGAUAAAGUGAAAGACUGGAUGAUACUAGUUGCCAUCGCGCUGAAGGAUGUCUUUAGGUAAUUAGCUCCUAUUCCUUUCCCUUUUCGAUUUGCAAUGAGGAAUUUUACGUGUAUGCAUGUGUUGUCUUCAGAUAGAGUCUUGUAUCAUUGUUGCUUAAUUUAAUUUUAAUAAAGAUGGAUUUGAAGAUUUCUCCAGAGGAGAGGAAGCACAUUUGGACAUCGUUUACUUGCCAAUAGACAAUUUUUUGUUAACUUAGAGAAACAAAAUUAUAUUGACAAACCGCUAGUGCCGUUCAAGGAUCUAUAGCGAACAUUUUUCCACCUUCAAUGGUAAAUACUUCCAACACUUCGUGGCCCAGCAAGUCAACAUAGAUAUCGAUUGGUGAUACAGACAUACAUACAUUGCUCAUUUUUCUUAUGUCCGUCCCGCUGUGUAACAGAACAGUCAUAUUACUGCACACUGGCUGUGUCUGUCUAACCCAAAAAUUCACAUAGCUACCUACUAUUCCGCUGUCAUUAGUGAUUCUACUUUUGCUAUCAAUAGCAUAUCAUGAAGUGCGCCAGAAAUGCUUCACUCAGCAGUAUUAUCUGUCCGCUGCAAAAUUGCAAAGCAAAGAGUUGGUCAGAAGAGCUGAGUGAUGAAGCAGGCCUAUAUUAGUAUGUAUGCAACACAGGUAAAGAGCCCCCUGUCCAAUCCAAUAGCAACCCUCGUAACACAUCACUUGAAACCUCAUACAUGCGAAAAGUAAAAGUGCAGUUACUUUACCUGAGUGCAUGAAAAUGUUAUCAAGUAUUAGAAAAACCAAUAUGGCAAACCUUCUUGGAUCCUGUGUCAAUUGCUUUACAAAAUCGACCACUGAUAGGUACUACAAUAGCAACAAGCAAACAGAAGUUUGCCAACUUACGGCUUCAAAAAGCGAUUUACAAUUCUGAAGUAAUCUUUUCUUUGGUGGAGUCCUAAUAGCAGAUGGAUCUUACAAACUAUAUAGCAUUAGGCUCCAAUUCUUUCCAUUUUAUUUUAUUACAUGCACCAUUGACUCUUAAUGUAACAAAAGCAGAAAGCUGAAAUAGGGUUCCCUUCCUAGCAGACCAGGUCACAAUAAGUAUCCAAGUCAAAGAAAAUCCUAAUGAUAUGAAAGUAUGCAUACAACAGGUGAUGAAAUCAACGGUGCUGAAAGUGUAACGUUGUAUAUGCAAGUCUUUAUAAAGAAUCACAGGGAAAUUAGUUUAAGAAGUUCGAAUGAAACUAACAAGAUGAAGGCUACAAAGGGAUAUGAAUCCAAAGCUGCAAACUGAAACCAAUUUUGGUUUUAAUGAUUAAACUCUUUGGCAUGGCCUUUAUUUCUGCAAUUGCAUUAAAGCUAAAGAAAAGAAAAUACCAAAAGAAAUGCAAUAAUUAUCAGUCAACUAACCAUGCAGCUCUAUAAUAUUAUAUACCAUCCCACCAUUAUCCAUCUAACCUUGUAAUUAACACUCAAAACAGUCAAAGUUAUGAGUAACACCAUGAUAUAAAAAUUAGCAAGUUGUUAGCCCCAACAACCUCAUGCUGUUCCAGACUCUCAUGCCCCACCUUUUGAAAAUUGAAAACAAGCAAUCAGGGUAAUCAUACGUUAAAUUAAGAAUUGUGAGAUUUGUUAUUACAGGCAAUAGUAGCAGCCGGAGAAGAAUAGGCAGCACAUUCAAAACAAGUUUUAUUUUGCUUUUCAACCUACAGAUGGAUAGCUCAAUUUUAUUCUCUAAGAAGGUACCAGAAAUCAUUCAUGGAGCAGGUCUAAGAGACAUAUGAACACCUAAGAGGACUAUAAAAUUCCUCAUUAUAAAUCAACCAAACAACACAAUAAUAUGUGAAGUCAAACUUACCAUUCUUUUGCUGAUGUAAGGCUGAAAUUGACUUGGCUUCUCUAUUUGACUGUCAACUUUGCGCCAUGUCUUGUUCUCCCCCAAAAAUUCUUUUCUAGAAUCUUUCCUACUUCCUGACUGCCACACUCUGCCGAAAUUGGGUAGCCAAUCAGCACCAAAAUCGUGUCUUACAAGCUCACCUCUUUUCUCCAAUUCCAGUUCUAUCUUCCUUCUCUCUGCCCAGGCAGCUCCAACCCUUUUUGGGUUUAAUUUUGAGGUCUUCAUUUGCUCACCAAGAGAAGAGACAAGAUCACCUAAUCCUUGAUUCAAUUUAUUGUCUAGUUGAAUUUUCUCAGCGGCACUGAACCAAGGAGGAGGUGCUCCAGAAUGAACAUUUCCUCCACCAUUUUCUUGUGCUGAAGAAGAGAUUUGAGUGAGAUUUUGCAAACCUAAUAAUCAAGAAACUUUGUCAAAAGACAUCGAUCAAUCAAAAUUAAAAAAAAAAAUUAUCAUCUUCAAAGCCAUCAUAAAAUUGGCAAACAAUGAAGACCAAGGAUGAGUAUCAAUGUAUCAUACCAAAAAAAAAAUAUGCUUCCCAUUUAUGGCAUGGAACAUGUCAACAAAAAACAAACUGAAAAGAACACAAAAAUAAAAGAGGAACUGUUAGAGAAGUGUUACUCUGCAAUCUGCUCUCUUCACUGGAGGUACCUUGGGAAUGUCUAUCUCCAAUUGCAAUUCCUUCAUAAGAAUAGACCUGCUACAUGCAGGUCGAUUACAUUACAUCUCGCUACCUUUAAUAUGAGAAAAUCAAAACCCAACAGAAGGAAACAAUAAACAGCCUCAUGCUGACAUUUCAAUCAAGAAAUGCAAACACAAUAUGACAAGUAACAAUUGCAAGUUAACAUCUUCCCAGUUUUUAUUUCCUAUUCUUGAGGCAUAACAGGCAAAUAACAAUAACAGGUGCAAAGCACUACAUCAGAAGAACACAGGAUUACAACACAACUUCCAGUCUUCCUCUCUCCCCAACAUUACAACGUCCAUAACAUGUCAAAUCAUACUAAGUUUAGUCAUUCAAGUCUUGUUGAUGUGAUAUACAGGUUUUUCAAGCAAUUUUGACAAUUAAAGUAAUGUAGUGGUAUACUUGUCAUUAAGAUAAGAAAUUACUGUUUCACUCCUCAUGUUUGUGUGCCUUCAAUAUGAGUGCUCAACCACACAAUGUCUUGGUUCUUAAACUAGAAAAACAUUAGGAGAAACUGCCGAAGUUAUUCUGUCAGCAUUUCACACCAAAAUGAAGUGCAUGUCCAGCCCUUUUGUGACCUAAAAGAAAUUUUCACCUAUUUCACUUAUUCCUUGAACUUCUCAUUCUUCAAAAGUUAGUUACCUUCCAAUUUCAUCAAACCUUCCCUAACAACUGUUCAGAAAUUUGCUCAUAGAAUAUUAAGUGAAACUUAAUGCUGCAACAGCCUCAUAUUUGAUGCAAACUCACCCUACAUCUUAGUACUCAAUUCCAAAAGCAUACUGGGCAAAACAUAUAAGGUUCUUCUAUUCAAAAUCUCAACCCACGUAAUCAAAAGGUUUGCACUUGGCUAGCAUAAUCACAGCAGCAAUGUGAAGCACAAUUUCUCCCUCCUUGUGCCACUCCUGCUGAACUUUUCAAUCUUCAAAUUUCAGCACCUUUUUUCCUAGAAAGUCACUCUUUAUCCCACUUAAUAUCACUGUUACAUUGUCCUCAAGCUUGACUAACAAACGUGUGCAUGAACUUAAAACCUCAUAAGCAUUAAAGUGAGGGAACAGUUGAACAGAAGUUUCGAGACAAAAUCCUUUUCAUAACACCAAAAUCAGAUUAGUGCACGCAAGAGUUAUGUACAGGAAACUAACAUCAAUAUGUAUACGAUGUCUAGCAUCAAAAUAGUUUACUGUAUCAUUUUAUUUAUCACAAAAGUCAUAACAUUGUUUGGAAAUUAAGGGGUGAAAAAAAAAACCUUAAUGUUGUAGAUAAAAAGUUUGAAAAAAAAGCAUAGAAAUUGACCAAAAACAAAAAACAAAGAAAUGAGCAAAUACUUCUGAAAAAGACUUACUUUUCCAUCAUUGGGACAGCUGUAAGCUGGACCUUCCUUGGGUACAGAAUGCGUAUAAUGUUGAUUACCGAAAAAACCUGGAUCAAGACGCGUCAUAUCAGUUAAUUAAACCACCAAUUCUUUCCCUGAUUGAAAUUGGAAAAAUGAUGAGAACCAAAAACCUGGUAACCCAUUUGGAGUCCGUGCACCUAAGCCAACACCUGUACCCGCAUGAAGUAUUUGAGGUCCAACUGUACAUAUUUUUGAAUGUGAUAUCUGAGAUCUCUCAAUUGUAUGAUCUUGUAAAGGCACAACACUAUUUGAACAUUUAACAUCAGAAGUUAAACAAUCUAAUUUAUUUUUGUCAAAACUGUUUACAUAUUCAGAUUUUGAUUCAUUGUGGAUAUCAUUCAAUGGUCCAAUUAAAGAUCCAUGAGAUCCUCCACCAGCAGCCUCACUCUUCAACAACUUGCACUUCUUCUCCCACUGCAUUUGUGAAUAAGUGAAAAAAAUGGUCAACCCAUGGUUAAACCACAAAAGGAACAAUAUGUCACUGCUAGUUUUUAGUACAAAUGUCAAAUGAUAAUGUAGAUACAGUUCAACUUCCAUAAAAUUACUCCAACGGCAAUGAAUAUAUGGUUUCCCCUAAUGAGAAACACUAGGGGUGUCUUCUUUUACGAUCAAAAAAUCACUUAUCAAUUUUGCUAGAUUUAUUGUUAUAUUUCUAAAUAAUUUUUAUGCCAUUUUGAUUUUAAAAAAAUUGUUCUCCUACAUAGGCAUACAAAUUACAGAUAAAUACAGGAUUUGAAGCCUAAAGCAAAGUACAUAAUUCUGCCCAAAACAAAAGGAAGAAAAUCAGGCAAAGCCACCUUAGUAAAAUCAGACUCAGAAAUCCGAAACGAAUCCAUGCGGUCCAUUCCACCUCCAUAUUUCCACAAAAAACUCUUCACUCCCUUUAAAUGUUCUGCACUUGCCAAAUGCGCGAUGGCGUUGCCACUGCUUAAUGAAUGAAACAUUCCCCCGCAAUUAAUCAUUUUCCAUUAACUAAAAAUAAAUAGGACAAAAAUCAGCUUAAAUUAGAUGAACAGAAAAUGAUUACCAAGCAAAGGAGCUGUCGGAUUCCAGAAUAUCAAAGUCGCAGAAGACGCACCAGAGGCGGUUGAGGGCGGCGUGUUCAGGACGAAGAGGCAUAGGCUUUUUAAGGUAAAAAGCGACGUCGUUCUUGAGCUUGGAUUGGAAACGAGAGAGGAAUGAAGAAAGAGCCUUCUUGUGGUUGGGAAAAUAAAUGUGGCGCCGGCCUUGAUUGUGAUUCAAUCUGCACGCCUUACAAAAUUCGAAUUGAGUUCGUUGCUUUCCCUGAACGGUGUCGUCUUCAUCAUCAUCCUGAUUGCUAUGCUUUUUCUUCUUUUUAUUAGGGUUAGGGUUUUGUAUGGGCAUUACUGUAGAAGAAAGAGCAGGAGGAAGAAGAUGGAGAGGAGGUGCGGAGGAUACUGCCUUUCCCCUCUUUCUAAAUUGGUUUAUGCGACAAUACAUUUGAAUCCCGCCUUUUAUUCCUUUUUAAAGGCGUGGUUUCGAAGGCAGAAGGAAUUUUACGACUUUAAUUGGGGGCUGUCGGUUGGGCCAGUUAGACCAGGCUCCACCAAGCCCAAGUUUGGCCCAAAUAAUUUAUCAAAAUUAACCGACCGGUCUAAUUCAUAUACCAAUACUUUCAUCAUUGAUUGCCUUCAAACUCUCCAAUCCACUCCGCUGAGGUCCACACUUCAAUUGGGUUUGUUUGGAUUGAGGAUUAUUUAUCAAAAUUUAUUUGCUUACAUCAUCAUUACAAUUUUUAACACACUUUUUUAUUUUUUCAAUUACCUUUUUAUCUCACAUACAUCACAUCACAAAAAGUGCUACAGUAAAAAUAUCUCAAAUAAUUUACAAUCCAAACAGAGCCACGUCAUCGUCCUUUUGAUUCCUCCACCAGCUCCGCCAUUCCACGUGGCAUCAUCUUCACUGCCGAUUGUCUCACCGUCAAAGCCCUUCUCUUUCGAGCUCUCCACUGGAGGCAAUUUCAUGUACUUCAUGGCUGAGUUCUAGAAGGAGGAAGAUUACGAUAGCAAAAUGGCUUAAUUUCUGCCUUUCCAAUGUAAUUUUGGCUUUGCCCUUCUACUUGUGGACUGGUCCUAGUAUUCACCAAACGUUCUUCCUCACGACAACGCCGUCUACAGAGCUCUCCUUUGUUCCAACUCUGGCCUCUGUAACUUUUCCUAUUGCUGAUUUCCUUCCCAGGUUCUUGUUCAUUCUUUUUGCCAUUUUCCCCACUUUUUUAUGUGCCCAUUUUCUUGCAGAUGACCCUUUCGGCGAUCCAAAGGUUAUAAAUUUACAAUCCAAUGCCAAUCCAAAGUUUCUAUCAAGUUGACAUAAAAAUUGAAUCUUCAAUGUUAUAAUCGAACCUGAAAUAUCUGAAACUGGUGGGCCUCCACUAAUUCUUCUGACGCUAUGAAGAAGAAAGAGAGGGAGAAGCUUUUACUGCUUUCCCUUUGGCCUCCGUUUGGCCUUUGCCCUUCUCUCUCGGAAAUGGAGUGGCGGUAAGCAAAUGUCAGAGGGGACUCGCAGACGUCAGCGUUUAGUGACUCUUUUUGGAUUAUAUUCCAGUGCCCAAGAUAUUAUACAUCAUCGCCCUUUGCCCCUCGGAAGUUUCUAACCUUGAUGGAAAUGAUGAGAAGUUUUAUAGGACUUUUUCUGUAGCAAUUUGCUUGGUACUUGUGUUUGUGGUCCACGUACUUUUCUGUUUGUGGAAUGCUGCAACUCUCUUGGGGAUGUUGCAACAGAGGCCCAUAAAUUAAUGGUGUGAUUAACACAAAAUAGUGCAGAUAAAUUACCUAGAAUUGUUGAUGUUCGCUCUAGCAACCGUUCUUGACUCUAAUAUAGUGUAGAAUCUCGUUUAGGGUUUGGAGGCAAUUUUGUUUAGGAUUUUCUGUGGUUAACUCAAAAGUAUUGGUAUAUGAAUUAGACCGGUCGGUUAAUUUUUGUUCAAAGGUUUAAAGGGUAGAGAAAACUUGUGUUAAACCAAAUCAAUUUGAAUUAUUAGAAAAUUAAAGUGCAAAUAAUAAUAAAACACUUGGUACAAUAUUAGUGGUGGCAUUGAAUUGGCAUAGAAAAUAUGUCACCAAGGAUCUCAAGUGGAUAAAGGGAUACCCUUUUUUGACUUCAAAGUCUUCGAAGUUUACUGGAAGGGGAAAAAGCUCCCAUCAGUCAAAUUGAUCAUCCGCAACAAUCGGGAAAUCUGACAAACUUCAAAUUGAUCAUCCGCAAUAAUGGAUAAGUCAGACGAUUUUUUUUUUUUUUUUUUUUUUGGCUGAGUAAACAACUUGAAAGGAUAGGCACUUACAGAAAAUAUCUUUGAUUUUCUUCCAAAUUAAAAAAAUAUAUAAUUUUGUAGCCGUCGCCCAUUGCGGACUGCCUAAGAAGCGUGGGCGAGUAAAUCAGUUUGAUGAAGCGGUGGCCCGGAAUAGAAUUGACAUGCCUGGAUUGUAUUGGAGGCCUUUCUUGGUUCAAUGUGCUGGCUACUAAACUGGGCCAUUAAAAAUGAUUUUUUGUUCAGAAAGAAAAGUACACCAUCCUUCUAGUUCGACAGGGGACCUCCGGGCUUGUUGGCAUACGGCUUGUGUCCUCUUUACAACUGGCUUCAAAUCCUUGGUCGUGGAUAGAGGUGGCAAUAUGGAUAAAUGACUCAUAAUUGAUUUUGACUUAAUGAACGGGGAUGAAAUUUAUUCAAUUCAUUUAGAUUCAUUUAAUAAAUGGAUCUAAAUAAAUGGAUUAAAUAAAAAUCAAUUAUCCAUUUAUAAUCCAUUUAAAUAUUUUGGUAACUUUUUUUUUUUGGUCAGAUCCCCCGGUAUGCAGUAACCACUUUGGACCCUGACAAAUCCGGAGUUGAGCUAGGUUGCACCCCAUAAGAGGUGCAAGCUCUCCCAGCACCUGUCUCUCCAUUCACAAGACUUGAAUCCGAGACCUUGCUUAAGGGAAGCCAAGUGCCAUGCCAGUCAGACUAAGUACAACACUUGGCCUAACAGCAAGGGUGGUCCCUCUCGUUUUUCAACAUCAGAUGAAGCUUUCAUUAUGAAAGCAUUUCCUUAAAUGUACAAGAUAGAAACAUGUUUUUAAGUAAAUGGAUAUAUAUGAUUUUUGUGGAUAAUCCAUAUAAAUUCAUUUAAUUUAAUGGUUUUACUUUGGUCAACCAUUUAAAACCAAUACUAUAAAUGGAUAAUCCAAAUCCAUUUAAUUAUGGAUUAUAUGGAUAGAUAAAUGGAUCUCAAUCCAAAUUGCCACCUCUAGUCGUGGACAUUCGCAGUCCAGUUGUGGACGUAAAAAAUUCUUUCAUGUAAAAUUCACUAAUUUCGUUACAUGACAAUUCUUUUAAUUUUAGAGUGUUGAGUUAGUGGAAUCCAUUUAAAAGUGUCUUGACCAACUUGGGACCGAAAACUUUCACGAGUGAGGAUUUGAAGCCUUUACAACUUGGUAUAGGCGAUUAGGGAACUACUCUCAGUGGAGUUGGCACUGUACUUUGUGUUGAUAUUGGCAAGAAAGUAAUACUUUGUGUUAAUUUUUUUUUGACAAAAAUGAGCUUGAAUUUGCAAUCAAGAUUACGUUACUUCUUGAUCCUACUGAUCCAGUAAAAUCUCCUUUAGCUACGGACAUGAUGGGGGAUUGCGUCAUUCUGUUUGUGUUCAAUGGACCACAAAAAGAAAAAAAAAACUAGAGAAAGAAAAUUACUUAUUACAAAAAGAGUGAAUGGCCCAAAAGGUCACUAAACUAUUAAAAAUGGCACCCUCUGGUCACUAAACUUUUUUUGUGGCCGAAAAGGUCACUAAACUCGCAAAACUCUCCAGCGAAGUCAUUUUACCGAAUUUCAGCGGUUCCUCAUCCGGUAACAUGGUCAAUAUGGAGUGGAGGAAUAUAGUAAAGGGGCAAAAAUGUCAAACAAAAUAUGGUCAACCUUUUUUUCUCUCGCAAGUCGUGCCUCAGAUCUAGAAAUUAGCUGAGUUCUCUUUUCAUUUGUUGAAAGACAAAUCUUCUCUCAUCUAUUCAAGGAAAAAUCUCCUUCCAUUUCAUCCUGUCCAAUGACUCAUGGCAAGACGCAAUAAACCGAUUCCAUUCUGCAAGUGCGGAACUAGAACUAUUUGAAGACCUCAUGGACAGAAAGAAAUCCAGCGCGAAGAUUUAUUGAAUGUGCUCAAAUCAGGUAAGAUAAUUACUUAAUGGAUAUUUGCGAGUUUACAAGAUGGAUAAAAUGUAAAUAUUUGUUGCUGCAGGUUAGAGGGUGUGGAUUUUGGGACUGGUAUGAUGAAGAAAUUUGUGAGAGAGCUAAGCAAGUAAUACCUGGCCUGUUAAGAAGUAAGAACAAAUUAGAAGCUGAGAAUGAAGCUCUGCAAAAGGAGGUUCGGGGAUGGCAAAGCAAAGCAAACGAGAUGGCACUGGAGAUAAAAGACUAAAGGAGCAAUUGGAAAAAAAACAAAGGACAAGAAAGCUAGCAAAAAGUUUUUUGUGAUUGGGGUGAUUGUUACAGUGUGGUUAAUAUGGAUGCAUGAGCCAACAAUGCCAAAUUCGAAGAGGUUGCAAAUUGCUAGUGUAUGAAAGAAAUGUUGCGAAAUACUAGUUUGUAGAAUGCAGAGAUUUUGGAUUGCUGGUAUGUACAAUGCAAUUGUACUUAAUGAAGCUAGUAAUUGUGUUGACUUUGGAUCUUUGAAAAUGUUAAUUAUGAGUUCUGCUGUUGACUAAUCAAUUAAUUUGACAAGACAAUAGCCCAUUCCAAUGAUUAAGUAGUGAAUGGCAAAUAAAAGAGUCAUUGCAUUGGAUCAGAAUUGGUUGUAUUACAAUAGGUGGACAAAAGGUAUGUUUGACUCCCACAAAAUGGCAACAAAAAGCUAUUACAUUUUCCUGCCCAAUGAUCUAAAAAAGAUUUACAAAAAGACUACAAAAGUUAUUUAACAGUUUAUCAUUAAGUUGCACGUCCUCUUCCAAAUGAUCUUCCUGCCCAAUUUCCAACCUUGAAUGGUGGUUCUUUUCCCAAAUAUGCAUAAUUGGCAUUGAUCGCACCCUUUUCGGCAUCCGUCAAUUUUCUCUUUUUUUGGACCACCCUUUUCUGCGUAUUAUCAGUAGAUGCAGCCGGACGAGGAUCUUUUUGACUUGUUGUUGUUCUGGGAGCAUCUGGUCGAGUUCGCCGGACCUGAUCACAAAAACCAAAUAACAUUUCACUCAGUUAUUCCAAGAACUACAAUUACAAUAUACAAUAGUUAGAAAGGUUGAUAGCUAACAGGGGUCUUUAUCUUUCUAAUUUGCCUCUUAUUAGUUGGACUGGCAAUCAUCCUCAACAUCUCUGUUGGAUUACUAGUGUCACCUUCGGCAGCAACAUUUGCUCCUUCCAUUGAUUGUUGUGCACCUUCUAAAGUUGAUGGCUGAACAGCAAUAUUAUCAUAUUGUUGGAAAAAUUGCCAACUUCAACGUCAACAUUUUCAGCAUUCUGUUCACCAGAUUCAUGCAUAACACUCUCUUCUCUAGAUUUGGGAACAGCAUCCUCUUCACUACAACCCGGAGCUACAAAUUUGUUUGGUUGGCCAGUUGCAUUUUGCUGUCUUAAAUGCUCAGUUUCAGCACCAUCUUGAGCUUUGCAUGUAGCUCGAUUAUGACCUGCCAAACCACAGUUUCUACAAUGCAUAACAACAUGUUUUUUCAUUUUGUGGACAGUUGCAUUUUGUGACCCAGAGUGGCUUCUAUUCUUUGUAACAUCUUUUCUUCUUGCCUUUCUAGGUCUUCCCGCUUGCACACAUGGUAUUGGGGGGCCUAACACCGGAUUUGUACUAGUUGGCCAAAGUGCUUUUCCACUGAUAGGGUAGAGGACAUUCUCAUAAAUUUUUAAAAUAGUUCCCUGGAGUAACACCCAUCAGUAUACAUGCACGGGUCCUCAUUCAUUCUAUGAAGUGCUGCAAUGGAAUGGCAGCAUGGCAGGCCACUAACUUGCCAUAAAUUACAAGUACAUGUUCUUUCUUGUACAUAUACAGCAUAUUGUUCCCCUUUAGGCCCUUUGACUGAUAACCCCCAUCACCAUUUGCCACAGUUUUCCAUUUCCUAGACUGUUUUGCCCUCUCUUCAAUCAAUUCUUAAUAGUUGGACCAACAGCACCAGGGCAUUUUUUCAUCCAAGCCGCCCUAUCUCCUAUUCUACCAUUAAAUACUCCCUAAUUCCUUCCAUCAUUCCAAUAAUAGGUAAAUCCCUGUAUUCUAAUAUUUUUGCAUUAAACGUCUCACAGAGAUUAUUAACUAACAUAUCAGAUUUAACAUGAUGAGGAAAGAAUGCCUUACACCAAUGCUGUGGUGUGGUGCCCUUUUGACCCAUGCAUAUGCAAGCUGGUCAUACUCUUUCAAGUCAUCAAGUUCUGCCUCAUACAACUCAACAGUUGUAGCUGUUGCAAUGCUCCAUAGUCUAUCUUUUAAAAUCUGCCCAGGAUGUUUUUUCUUGAAAUUUCUGUACAUGUGUUGAACACAGAAUCUGUGUUCACAAUAUGGAAGAAGUUCCAAAAGUGCACUAUCAAGCCCCUACAAUAACAAAUUGUGAAAAUUGGUCAACUCUAAUAAACCAAAUAGUAACUAAUAUCAACAAUAAUGAUAAGAUAUGAGUGCUUCACCUUUUGUUGGUCCGAAAUAAAUGUGUAAUGACUGCUGGCAGUGGCUAUUUGCAAGUCUUUAAUCAAUAAGCUCAGAACCAAUGCCACUGCUCUCUUGCCUCCUUUUCAACAACAGCCCAAGCAAUGGGCCACCAUCCAUUAUUGGGAUCUGGCCCAAUAGCUGUCAACAAUUGUCCCGGAUAUGCUCCUUUUGUGUGACACCCAUCAAGUGCUAUAAUGGCCUACAACCCUCAUUAAACCCAUUUUUGAGAGGUCCUAAACAGCAAUAGAAUCUGGUAAUGUAGGUCUUCAUCAGGAUCAUUUCUCGGAUUGUAUUGAAGUCAAUUGUUGUUUGGAUGGGUUCCUCUGUAAUUCGCAGCAUUCCCAAACAAAAGCAUAUUGUUCUGCUACACUUCCCUUAAUAUUCUUCCUAGCCUUAGUCCUUGCCUUGUAAGCCAUACUUCUACUAAUCUCACACUUAUAUUGUUCAUCCACAACCUGUCUAAUUUGCUUUGCUGGCAUAUACAUAUUUGACUUUAUUUGAUCUUCAUAUCUGUUUGCCAGCAAGAGGUAGACAUGUGUUUAUUUUUCCAGGCAUGACUGCAAUGAUAUGUGAACAUCAUUCAAUGUCUUCAAAACAAAAUCUGAGUUGUUCAAUGCUGGAACUUUAGAAGCAUACACAAACACGGACAGGGUGCCACACAUUUUGCCCUCAAUCUAGAUUUGUCAUUUGUGUACAUAAAUACGGGUCUCCAGUAAGAAUCGAGUAAUUCCUAAUAGCUUCUCUAAACAGACACUUACUUCCAAAUUUCAUACCAACCUCAAAUUCAGGAUUUUUCAUAAACUUCUCCAUAUCAAAGUUAGUAUAAUUCAUGUUUACCUCUUGGAUUUCCUCGUCAGACGACCAUUAUUGCUGUUGAGUUCCAUCUCCAUUCCAUCAUUCAAAAGUGGAUUUUCAUUGCUAGCAUUAGUUGCCCGUGUUUGCUGUGUAGUUUGGGGGCCACGGUCUUCACUUUCCCGUGUAGUUUCAGCAGCUGUGACAUCACCUUUCCAUUUGCUGCUCAACCUAGAACUCCUCCUCAAAUUUGUAAUUUUUGAUGCUUGAGUUCCUGCUUGGCUAGGUUGCUCACUUGGCUGCCUUUCACUAUCUCCUUCGCCAAUAUCAAUUUCAUUUUCUAGCUGCCUUUCACUUGACUCAGCAUGAGUUUCAUGUGGUUGACCACAUUGUGUUGGAGGCUGCUGCAUACUUUGUGUUUCAUACAUUUCAUCGUCCCGAUAAUAAUCUGUGUAUUGUUCAAAUUCCCUCUCGUCACAUGUUCCAUCCCCAUCAUCACACUCGCCUCCUUCUCCCUCAUUUUCACCAUCUCCAGAAGUUGAGUGCAAGCCUGCUGUAAUUGUAGAUGCAUCACCUUGGUCAAUAGCUUCAUGCACUGCUUUUUUUUGUAUAGUGCUAUCCUUCCACUCUAAAGCAGCAAAUGAUCGUGUACGGAAUCUACCCUUUUUCUUCACAGAUUUACUAUUACACGCAUUCAUUGUUUGACGUUCCUCCCCAUCAUCAAUUUCCUCAACGAUCACUGUAGACUUGCGCACAUCCGGUGGCUCUACGAUGGUCUUUGUUUGAAUUUUUAACACCUCAUCAUCUGGAACAUGGUCGCAUAUCACUUCCAUCAACUUGAACUGCUCCACCCAACUACAAAACUGUCUGAUAUGUUCGUCAGUUUGGAGUUCUUUCAAUCCAUUGUUGAUAUCACUUCUUGGAUCAAGAUAAUAGUACAAUAUGACAUCCUUGUUGUAGCCACACUCUUUCACCAUAUCAUUAAUCUCAUGCAAUGACAUUGUAUCACCAUCACAAAGAUCAAAAUAGUCUACCUCUCCACCAACAUAACUCUUAUAUUUAUCCCCUUCAAUUCUACCACCAUGCCGCAUCUUAACUGUAAAUAAUGAGCAUCCAUGCUCUGCAUCACAAAGAUCAAAUAGUUGCAGGUAUUGUUAAUUGAUAGAUAUCCAAUCUUUUAAUAAAAACUACAAUCUGAAAUUAAUUUUUAAGUCUUCAAUACAGGUUCAUUUCUAAUUCCCACACAAAACCUUAAUAUUAUACAGCAGUUAGUCAACAAAUACAAUAAAUUUCACAUUUUUUCUGCCUAAUUAAUUUAGUUUAACGAUAUGCGAAUGUAGGACCCUUGUAACCUACUAUGACGACAAAAGGGAGGACCAUUCUCUCUUGUCCCUUUCAUGCCCCCUUUGUUAUAUAUAAAAUAACCCAUUAAACCCUAAAACCUCUUCGACAUUUUUGCAUUUCGUAUUAACAUUUUCAGACUUUGCACUAUCUUUUACCAACAUUCUUCUUCACCAAAAUAAAUUUUUUAAUAACUUACCAUACAUCGUGUACGGGUCAGCAUACUCAUCCCUCGAUCGCUUCACCCACUUCAUUGAAAUCACCAGCUUCACAAUUUCCUCGGCUACUCUUGUUUUUUAGAUGGGUUUAGGCUGUAACUCGAAGAGGUUUGCUAUUCUGAUUUGGUUUACAGGUGGUCAAAGUCACUUUUUUUACUGCCGGAGAAGACGAAGUCAAUCUAUGGGUUCAAAAGUGGUUUGGGAUUGAGACAAUCUAUGGCUUCACCUAUUCCAAUAAUCUUUUGGACAUUUUUGCCCCUUUACUAUAUUCCUCCACUCCAUAUUGACCAUGUUACCGGAUGAGAACCGCUGAAAUUCGGUAAAAUGACUUCGCUGGAGAGUUUUUGCGAGUUUAGUGACCUUUUCGGCCACAAAAAAAGUUUAGUGACCAGAGGGUGCCAUUUUUAAUAGUUUAGUGACCUUUUGGGCCAUUCACUCUUACAAAAAAUACAACAAAACUAGGACUUUGCGUUUUGCAAUGAUACCCAUCACAGAUAUAUAAAUCUGUAAUUUGGCUCUGGCCUCUAUUCUAUCCCCAAAUAAAAAAGGCCAAAGAAUGAUACUAUGUGGCAUGGCAUGAGAUAUGCAUAUUGAAGCUAAAGGCUCAGGCCUGAGUGGUAAACUUCUUUCACUGAGAUGGUUUUGCGCACUCCAAUUGCUAAUUUACUUAACAAUUUGUUAUUGUCAGAUUUGGAGAAAAAGAAUUAGUAUUAGAUUGGAAAAGUCGAAAAUUUAUGGAUCCCAUUAUUUAUAAAUACUAAAUUGAUAUUUUUGUGUAUCCUAUUGGUAAAAGUUGAAACUUAGGUAAGUGCUUUAUAAACAUAUGUAUAUAAAAAAAAAAUUCAUUUAUCCCCUUCAUGCUUACUAUAACGCUGUUAGAUCCCAGGGCUCAACCCUGAAUACACGGUGGAAACUACCAAACUGGAGUAUGGUAGGGGUAGGGGGAAUUGGUGAUGGAGUGGUGAAAUGUGUAGAGAUUGAAAGAACACCAACGGCAAAAAUACUUUGCUAGGCUGACACUGACACUGUGAAACAAAAUUAUUGAUGGAAUAACUCAAGGGUAGUUCCAGGCUAAAAAUUAUCCACAGAGAUCUCAAGACAAACAAUUAAUUUAUUUUUAGAUAAUGAUUUUAAAUACCAAGUUUUCUGAUUUUGGAGCAGCUAGAAUUUUUGGAGAUGCUGAAUUGCACGCAAAUACAAAUAAAGUCAUUGGUAGAUAGUAAGAAUUCAAUUUCGUUUAUUUGAUUUAUGAGGAAUAUGAAAAUUUCCGAAUUCUUUAACUUUGCUAAGACUAAAAAUUUUGGUGAUAAAACAGUGGUUACGUGUCUUCCGAAUAUGCCAUGAAUGGUAUUAUUUUCUGUCAAGCCUGACGUUUAUAGCUUUGGGGUGAUAAUGCUGGAGAUCAUAAGUGGAAAGAAGAAUACUUCUUUCUAUGACUCUGAUGAUCAUUUGAACUUAAUAGGAUAUGUAAGUAGUCACAUUAUCACAGCCCUAGCUGAUACCUUAUUCAAAUUACACAUCAUUUUCUAUUUUUAGUUCAAUUUCCCGAAAUGAUCUAGUACAAAAACACAUGCUUUUCAUUACUUACUUCUGUUUCAGGUGUAGGAUUUUUGGGUAGAAGGAAGAGUUACAGAGGUUGCAGAUCGUAGUUUGGGUGAAACAGUUUCCAAACUGGAAAUUACAAGAGAUGUUCAAGUUGGAUUGUUGUGUGUGCAAGAAAAUGCAGUAGGCAGGCCAACCAUGUCGGGUGUUGUUCCAUGCUUAACAAUGAUUCAGAAACGAAGCUUCCUGCAUCUAAUCGACCGGGUUUUUCCUGUUCCAUCAACAAGGUCACCAUUUUGGACGAUGGAUUAAAUGUUAUAAUAGUUGUUUUCGUGCACAACAGCAAAAGAACUAAUAUUUGCCUGCGAUUCAUUCUCUGCAAAAAAUCAAUGAAUUACUUGUCAAAUGUGGUUUCCACGCAAAUCAAAUGGUAUUUUCUCUUACUACCGUUGUACUAUUGGCUCUUGAUUAGAAGAUUCAUUUUCCAUAUCUAUCACUUUUAACUUUCUGUUGAGAAUUCUGCACAGGCAGCAGCGGAUAAUUUCAGUUUGGUUUUGAACAAAAACGAAAAUUUUCAAUUGAUGCAUCCUGUUUCCUGCACUGCUUUUGAGCGUUGACCGAGCGCAUUUGCGAGUUGGUUCGCAGUCCUAGGGGUGUCACAGAAAAUCAAGGUAGAGAUCAUGGUAACCAGAUUAUGUCUCAAUUGAGAAAAAUACCAGUUAAAACAAUGAAAAUAUUUGAAUCCCUCAUUGUAUUGGGAAACCAUGAAGCCAGCGCUGUCCUUGCAGGAACUAUUUACUAUGGCUCCUUAAUUGUAAGUAUGGUCAAAAAGACACUACGGAAAACAUUCUUUUAGAUGUUAAUUAAGUAUGUAUUCUAGGUACAAGUGAGGAAAAGCUGGUGUAGCUUUUCUUGUCUACUGCUAUGUACUAAAAUUUCGGGGAAAAAAACAAAGAAAAUGUCCACUUCUAGAGAAGAAUACAAAUUUGAUUAUUUACUAGAAAUAUACUAAUUAUCGAGCCUCCAAAUCCGAAAUUGUCAGUGUAUUAUCGGAGGAUUCCGGAUUUUGAACUAAGUUGUUAUUAUUUCGGUAUCUGUUGGCGGCAGAAAAAGCCGGUUGAUUUGGAACAGGAAGAUCGACCAGUGAUUCAUUGUUGAGAAUGGAAACCACAUCAGACAUGGUUGGCCUGUCGGCUGCAGUUUCUUCUACGCACAGGAGCCCAACCUGAACAUAUCUUGAAAUUUCAAGCAUGGGAAUUGUCUCACCUAAACUAGGAUCUGCAAUGUCCGAAAUCCUUCCAUCUUUCCAUAAAUUCCACACCUGAAAUGUAAAGAGGCAAGAAGAUGUAAAUAAAUGGAAUUGAUGUGCUCUAAGAAAAUCUAAUAUACUAUCAACAAGAACUGUAAAUGUUUCAAGAUAUAUAUACUCACAUGUCCUACUAAGUUUAAAUGAUCAUCCAUAUCACUGAAAGAAGUGUUCUUCUUUCCAGUUAUAAUCUCCAACAUCAUGACUCCAAAGCUAUAAACGUCAGACUUCUCAGAGAUGAUACCCUUCAUAGCAUAUUCAGGAGACAUGUAACCACUGUUUCAUGGCCACAUUAAUUAAGUUAUACAUAUCACAGCUAAGUUGCUAAUGUGUUUGGAAACUUCCAUGCAUGGUUUUCUGAAGUUUGAUUAAGCAAAUAAGAUUGAACACUUACUAUGUCCCUACGACUUUCAAUGUAUUUGCACGUGACUCAUCAUCUCCAAAAAUUCUUGCAGUUCCAAAAUCAGAAAUUUUGGGAUUCAAGUCAUUGUCCAACAAAACGUUGCUUGCUUUGAGAUCCCUGUGGAUGAUUCUUAAUCUAGAAUACUUGUGGAGGUACAGUAGCCCUUGAGCUAUCCCUUCAAUAAUCUGAGAACGUCUUUUCCAAUCAAGUACUGCCCGUUUUGUAGUAUCUGUGAAAAGAGCAUGAGCAUUUUGGUGAUUCAUAAUAAAGCCUGCCAUAGUCAUGAAAAUGUAGAUAUAUAUAGUCGUCUUUGUUUCCCACGUUGAUAUCCCUUUGCAGGCAUACCCAUGUGGGCUAAAGUAUGCAGAUAGUUGAACUCACCAAAUAUAAAUGAAUCCAAGCUACUGUUUGGCAGGAGCUCGUACACUAAUAACCGAUCCUCCCCAUGAAUGCAAUAUCCAGAAGUUUUACAAGGUUUCGGUGUUGCACCUUAGUUAUCACUGUAAUUUCGGUCUUGAAUUGUUCAAUACCAUGCCAUGACAUUGUAUUCAAUCUUUUCACCGCAAUCUCUUGCCCAGUAGGCAACUUACCCUGAACCACAACAUAUGCUAGUUAAAGCACAUCGAAAGGGGAUGGAGGGAACAUACCUGUUCGAAUUACAUUUCUGAAAAAAAAAGAAAACCCAAGGGAGCAGAAUUGCUAAUACUUAAGUAAUGUCUUUGAACAGCUUCUUAUUGCUGGCUAUAAGGAACAAUUGUAUUCUGACUUGAAUGCCUAUUUUCAUUUGGUAGCCUAUUUCUUAAUUUUAAAGACUUUGUACCCUAAAUUUUCAUGUUCGUCCCAUUUUGAUUCUUUCGUUAACCGCAUUUUGAAAAUCAUCAAAGUUUAUGUGUUUGAACUCCAUAUACUUCGAUUUCAUAUAUCCACUUUCACUUUACGACCUAAUUUGUUGCCCACCUUAACUUUAGACCUCCAACCUCUAAUAUUUGAACACAUUGCAUCCUUAAAUUUUGCAUCAUAUACAGUUACAAGCCUUUUUAAUGUAAUAGGCAUAUAUAGUAUAUUUACUGGAUAUUUUACAUAUCUUAGCCGAAUUUAAAGAAACACAUUUGCGAAUCUUUUAUCACACAUACAUACAUAUAUAUACAUAACUAUAUUGAACAUAAAAAUGUGACUAGAACAUUUAAUUGGACUCCAAUGAACGAAUAAUUAAUCAACAACUCGUGUAUUUUUAGAAUUAGGAUCCAUCGUCCUACUACAGGUACCCAUAAUUGAUUAAGCUGGUUGAACACAAUAAAUUGAUCAGUUACAUUGUUAAAUAAGUAUUAAUGAACAAGUAUAUUGCCCUUUACUUAUAAGAUCACUUAAAACCCUCUUGUAGUUUUGUAUAUUACCACAUCAUCUCCUAAUAUUUGUAAAUAUCUAUAUAAGCUUCUGUAGUUUUAUGUAAAGUAGAACUUGAUAAAAAAACAAUCUCCAUAAAGUCGUUAGUCAACAUGCCAAUGUUAUCCUUACUUAAGUACUAAACACAGUGAGGAUCUAAUCAUUUUGUAUAGAACCAUAGGAGAAAUAUUACAUGGAUAUAUAUAUAUCAAAGUAUGGGAAGGUCAAGUACCAAGACAAAUCUGUGCAUGCCUAACGAUAGGUUGCAGUUAAAUGAAGAGGUGCAAUUUUGUCCAGUUAUUAGAGUUUGGUAGGGUCAUAUAAUGUAACAACAAGUAAUAAGUUGGGGAAGCAAGUAAAACUGAAUUAUUUGUGGCUGCAUAAAAUCAUUAAUCUUCUCAAAUCCGUUAACUAAUGGGUCAAAAUGGAACUAAAACGAAAGCUUGUUGUACAAAUUGUUAUAAAUUAGACUUUAAGUGCAACUGGAAAUGGAAAUAGGGAAUAAUGUAGGAGGUGCAAAGUUGAAAUAAUGACUGCAUAUAUAACUUGAGGACACUAGUCUAAGAUCAUGAGAUAUUGCAAAUGCCAAUAGGCAUUUUUUAUGAUAGGUUUUUAGAGAUAAUAACAUCUUUACCUUAUAUACAGGACCAAAUCCUCCCUGACCAAGUUUAUUUUCAUCAGAAAAAUGGUUGGUUGCAAUCUGUAUGCUGGUAAACUCGAAAAUAGGUGAUUCAUCAUCCCUUCUUUCUGGUUGCUGGAAAUUCCCUAAACCCAAUAGAUAAACGAUAAUGUAUGAGUCUCUACCCUUGCCAAUAUUAAAAGUGUUUAAGGAUAGAAUACAAUUAGGGUAAAAUACACUUUACCCCUGUAAUUUAGUGAUUUUCAAUAUAAUCCUUUUGUAGUUUCAAAAACUAUAUAUAACCCCUCAUAAUUUGGAUUCAAGUGUCAAAGUCACAGAAUUUGCAUUCCAUAACGAAAUCAACUAAAAUAUCAAAAGUACCCAUGUGUGAAAUUGGAAAUUAUUAAUUAGCCACAAGGGGUUUAUGUACAUAUUUUGAAAACCAUAAGAGGGUUAUAUGGUAAAAUACUAAAUCAUAAGAAGGUUAUAUAGUAAAAUAUAAAAUUACAAGGAGUUAAAGUAUCAUGUAUAUUAAGUUUAUAUAUUUUGAUCACUUCAACUAUUUUAAUUUUAAAUAAGAAUAUUCUCGACAUUUUCUUAGGUUUCAUUAUAGAGAAUCAUUUUCAUUAUAUUGACACUUUAGUCCAAACAAAGAGGAGGUUAUAUAUAUCUUUUUAAAAUACAAGAGGGUUGUAUGAAAAAUUACUAAAUCACAAGGGAGUAAAGUGCAUUUUACCCAUACAAUUAACAGUUGUAAUUUGCUGUCAAUUAGCAAUUAAGAGUAUUAUUACGAAAAGUAAUGUACCUUUAUGGUGGCGCAUUCUGCUUUGCAGCUUGCAAAAUAAGUAUAGUAAUGCAAGAGCCCCCAAAAAUGUCACUAGAGCACCAACAGAUAACUUCACUUUCCAUGUCUUUGACUUCAUUUUUUGGCUUGGAGCAAGCUGGGUAGGAGGAAGACCUAGCUCUGUUGUGGCCAAACGACAUUCACGGCAAAAAGUGAAAAUACACUUUUUUUUUUUUUUUAAGCAAAGAAGAGGUGAUGUUUAAGAAACGAGAAGAGGGAUUGAAGAAAGAUUUGAACCCAGGUGCUCUAAACCCUGAGGUCUCAUACUGCGGCUUGAUCAUGGCUACAAGAAAUUAGAUGGUCUUAUCCUUACUGUACAAGUUAGCUGUGCACUUUUUUCUUUACAUUCCAUAUUUCUUCUACCUAAUCAGAGACUCGAACAGGACACAAUUAAAGGGAAAAAAAAUGAAAAAGAAAAAAGUCUCGCAUACCUUUCUCCAAGACAAAGCUUUCGCGAAAGAAAAUUCUUUGUUUAUUCGAAGAAAUAAGUUUUCCUUUGCUUCUGCUAGCUAUUUUACAGCCCAAAGCAACACCGUUCUGAUCGUAUGCAGUAUUAGAAUAAGCGUAGCAGGAACAGUUUCUUCUGCAUUUCAACUUACAAAAACGAAGAGCAUUGUCAUUAUAUGACAAUUCAUUCCAGACAUCCAAGUCACCCAUUAUUUCCUUAAACCCAUCACCAGCGCCACAAGAAUUCGUGCACCCACGGACUGAUCUUUCCUCGUCCUGUAAUCAAUCACAUCACAAACUGCCAAUGUCUGAAAAUUGGUAAAAUCCCCACUACUAACAGUGAUGUUUGCGCUUUCACUAAACAUAAAAAGACAAAGGGAUCGGUACUACUAUUCCAUGUGAAAUAGGUCUCAUUCGGAUUAGAAACGUAGUGAAAUUUCAAACCAAAAUUAUCAGAGAAUUCAAGAAAGCUGAAAUUUUGUCCAUUCCAUAUCCCACUUCGCCAAUACAUGGAUCCGUAUUGCACAAUAGUAAUUUCCUUUGUAUUAUUGGAAUCAACGCCUAAUGUAGAAGCAGGCUGCUCGAAGCUUGGUUUUGAAGUUAGAACUCUUGUGCUUGAUUGGAAAAUCCCAAGUUUCAUGCCCUGAAGCCAUACAUAAGUGGGAUAAUCAAAACUUUGCCAAACAGUAUUCCCUCCAGGUGCUCUCAAAACCAGGUUUCCAUUAUCGAGUAUAGUUGCAGUAGUGCUGUUAAUCAUAACAGGCUGUUGGGAAUUUACAACGAUUAGCCGAUGUUGAGAACUGUCGUAUACGACUAGCCUUCCAUCUGCAUUCAUGGUUAGAUAUGCUGGCUGUAAGCUGGCCGGAGUCAGGUAGUUGUCAUGAGCCCAGACAUCGAUUGAUUGACCAUAGACACAUAUUGAAUCGUCACGUACCAUCCCGCCAGCGAAUAGUUGGUUGUGAUCCGAAAACGCUGGUUGGCAGACUCCAAGUAGUCUCCUUUAUAUACAGCUAUGGACUCGUCAACUCCUAGUGUAUCUUUAGCUUGAGAAACGCAAAACAGGGACAAGUAAUAAGCAAAAAUACAAUAAAAGAUUGCCAGAUAACUGGAAGAUCUGCCCAUGCUUGAUAUCUUCUGUAAAAGACAAGUACAUGGGUUCUUCUUUUUUUUUUCCUUUUUCUUUUUUGUUCGUUGGUUGCUUUCUGAAGCUUAGAGUUGAGUCUUGCAGGAGCUGAUAUAAGAAUGAAGCUUCUUUUGGAAAGCUAUCUUAUAUGCGAGGGCGGCCACAUGUGCUUUAUGCGAAAGUAGUCAAUGAAUUGUGCUAAUCAAACUUUUCUAUAGUGCAACUUGGAAAGUUUCCACAAUUAGCACUUAAUUAAGCUCUUAAAGUUGGAUACGCAUCACAUUUAGCUAUCUUAAACUUACUAUUGCCAGAAUAAUUUAUUGUUAAAGGACAAUGUUACCAUCUCCUAGUCAAAUGAUUGUAAUCUAAUUAACUUCAUGGACUCCACUAACGACCAAAAACAAAGCCACCUUCCAUCCUCCCUUCACUUUCCCAUCUCUUGAUCAAUGCUUUUAACCCGAACAGGAAUGAAUGGAAAAGAUUUUGAUUCUCGAUUAAAUCGGUUCGACUGGUUCAACUCGAGUUCAAAAGUUUAAUCAUUUAUUAUUUAUUUUAGUAUUAAAAAUUUUGACUAAAAUUGAUAUGUUUGUUUUAAAAAAUAAAAAAUUGGUGAACUCCAAUUGAACCCCUCAAUUUUUACCAUUUCUUAACCACGUUUGACCGGUUCAAUUAAGUUUUUGCUCUUAAAGAGUUGAUUGACAGUGUAAAGUUUUUUUUUUAAUACCAAGUAGGGAGUGCCCGCACAUCGCGCAGAUAUUUGGUGUCUGUGGUUAAAGAGGAUUUAAGAUAAUUGUUUAUUGGUAGUUGUGUUGUUAUUUUGUGGAGUUUCGAAAAUAUUUAAACUGGUAGAAGAGUAAGUAAAUGAAAAUAAGAGUGCGAUAUCAUAUUAAACGAUAAUAUUUCAUCGCAUAUGUUUCAAUAAUAGAUUGUCUGCAAAGGCCAUUUAAGUCUCCAUUUCUUUAGAUUAUUAUUUAACUUGCAUUUCACAGAUUACAGAUAAUUUCAUUAACUGUAUGUCUAUUCUUGAGGUUAAAAUGCUAAUCAAUCGGUUGAUCAAUAAGGAUUAUAGCAUAUGUAAAAAGUCAUUUAAGUUUCCUUCUCUUCAGAUUAUUAUUCAAUCUACAUUUCAUUGAUUACAAGUAAUUUCAUUAGUUAUAUGUUGUUCUUGGGGUUAAAAUUCAAAGCCACACUCAUUCUUGUAUAUUGUGAAGUUUUGUUUCACAUUUUUGGUUUCUUUUUGGUUCAUCUUUUUAGUUUUUUGCAACAAUUUUAGUUUUGUUCACCGUAUAAGAAAGCAUUCAAUGUUCUAUAAUAUAAAAAAGCACUCAUUGAAGUUGUUUGCUUGAAGGAGUUUCUACAACUUCAUCACUGCCUAAGGAAAUUGAAUCAUUUCUAUUACCUUUGCUUAAUUAGAAGGUAUAUGUGAAACACUACCAAUAUGAAUGACUUAAAAGGUGUUAUUCUACUAAUUCAUCGGUGGCUAAACAAUUCAAAUGCAAAUCAAUAGUAUACCAUGUAACCUACCAAUUCACAAUGCUUCACUUUCAAACUACUAUCAAAAUGAAUUCAUAUAUGAAUCACUUACUCCAUGCAGCAAAAAACACUCCAUAAUUGAACUAAUUAAGGUGCUUUUUGGGUUUACCUUAUUCAGAUACCCUCCCCCGCAAGAGGGAAAAUUUUUUUUCUUAUAGUUGCUCCAAACCUAUUACAUCAUAACCACACCAUUCAAAUUACAGACCAACCAAAUUUGUGAAAAAAUCAUAAUAUUACAGUUAAAUUAUACAACCAGAUUUUCAAAUUUUACAAUGGAAAUAGUCACCCAAUACUACACACCUCAAACCCACCCACAUAAAUAAUAAAAUUAAGGAACAAAACUACCUCAAGUUGAACCACCAAAAAUAGUUUCCUAAAAACCGUUUUGUAAUGCAGAGUAUAAAGGUAGCAAAAUAGCCCAAUCCUGAAAGUCGAAAGGCAAAAAAUCAAAGAAUGUGAAGAAGAAGGCAUUUGAAACCAUAACUGAUGUUGAGGCAUUAAUUCAUUAACAUACCCAUGUUUUCUUUAGUUUAAUUGAGAUGUAAAUGGCAAAAGCAAUUGAAUAUGUUUCAGGCAAUUGAAUAUCUUUAAGCGGAAAGAUUGUAAGAUUAGGUAAUGUGUCUUCAUUUCAAUUCCACAAUAAAUACACACUUCAAGAACGUGUCUGUAACAUCAUUUAAGUAAUUACACCAAUACAUAAGCUUGUAUGACUUGUACCGAUGCAAAAAUGAUUAUAAAAUAAUUUCACAUUCCAAAAAUACCCAAAUAUCUCCAUAAAUAAAUGUUUUAAAUGUACAAACGUGAGAAGAUUUUUGUAAACAUACCAAAAUACAUGCUACCAUCACUUGUACCAAAUCUAAAAAUAAAGCUCCACAUCAUUCCACAUUUCGAAAAUGUCCCUAUUCGUGCAGUUGAAAUUUAAAACCCCUCUCUAACACAAUUCAUUCUUAUAGUAUAAGGAAUUGUGGUAGUGGAGUUUUUGAAUUGUUUGGUGAUGAUCAUUUUGGCAAGAAAGAAAUUAUGAUUUUGUAUUUUUGGGCACUAUAUUGAAAAUAAAUAUGGUGACUUGGGUGAUGAAUAGAUUUGCAUAAAUGACUAUUCUGAUAGAGAAGAAAUUGUUGAGAAAUUUUUUAUAAAGUGUAAACUUCAUCCACUAUCACGAGUAAAGAUAAAAAUUAAUUUCCAGGUGUUGCAGAUCGUCUCUAUGACUACAAAUUUCUCAAUAACAUUAGUUAAUCAAGAAUGAUGGGCCCGUCUUAAAUGGAGAGUUUGAUUUAAGAGGACAAUGUUGAUAAAAUAAAUCAAAUCUUAGAAGUAUUUGUUUAUUUAUUUACUAGUAUUAUUGGAGUCAGAUUUUAGUAGUUGUGUGAUCUACGAGUUCGUGUUUUAUUUCGUAAUUAUUGAUGUAAGUGAUUUCUUACUCAAUAAGUGUGGAAAGUUAUAAUAGAGAAUUAGUUGAGAUAUUUUCUUAAGAGAAUCCAGAAAGAAGAAUCUAUAAGGUUAUAUUGUUAUGUGACUUUGUUCCAUUGUUUGAAAUUUCAAUAAUAGUGUGAAUUAUUAUUUUCUUCUCUCUCACAUAUAUUUUAAAUAAUUAUUUUAUUCUUUCAAUUUUGUAAACUUGCAAACAUUAAUUUUUAUUAGAAUCCUAAAUUGGGUUCUACAUGUGACAAUAAAACAUUUUAAUCUCUCACAAAUUCAAAUUAAACAUAUCUAUUUAAAUGAUCAUUCUUGCUCUCCUUGACGCAUGGGUGGAGGCAAUAAUAGCCUGUAGGCGAGGAAAAGGAGUCAGCAGCAUCACUGACUGCGGCGAGUACAAUCCAUUCCUAUGACUGCUGUGGUGGUAAUGGUAAAGGUGAUGCUGGUAAGCAUUGACACUAUUGGUGGGGAUGAUUUUGUUGCCUUUCACUCCGAAUUUGGCACAUUUUGAUUUGGUUUUUUUUUUUCUUUUUAAAUACUUGAGGCUGUAUACUGGUGGGGAUGAAUAGUGGCUGUAUAAUUUUAGAAAAAAAUACAAAACUAACACUGAAAUCAAAUUCAGCCUGCCAAUUUUUUUUCUUUUUAUUUUGAUCCACAUUUGUUCAUCUUUGCCAAAAACUAAUGUCGAAAUCAGAUUUCACACAAAAAACUGAGUCCAAAGUUGAAGUUUGAUAAAAUUUUAUGACCUAAAGUUCAGCGGCCAGAAGCAGUCAUGGUACGUUUUUGCCACAUUCCGAGUUAAGAAAUUAGGAUAAACAAGAAAGAAAUAUGAAGGUCUUUUUCUUUUUGUAAUCUUUCAAUUUUACCCCUAAAGUUUGUGAGGCAUGAAGUGUACUAAAUUUUUUUUUUGAACAAAAAAUAAGACGAUGGACUAAAAAAAUCAUCAUUUCACAUAUAAAGAACAUAAAAGAUACAAAAUCAACACACGAGGAAUGUAAAAGGAAUAAAGUCUCAUAGUACAAAGUCAAUAUUUGAAGCACUAUUUAUUUGGUUUUUACGUUUUCGAAUACCUCAAGCUCUUAUCCACUUUGACGAAGUGGUCAGCGGUCUUCGCACGUAUUUCAAGCUGCAGUUGGAAUGGACCCUACAGGGAUUGGAACUGACCGAAAAUGGUUAAAACCGGGGGAAGGUCACAAAACCAGCCAUAUUUGUACUAGGACGACCCGGCAACAGGUAAAUGUUGACCGAGACUCUCUCAAAUUCAAUUGUCCGUAGAAAUGAUUCUUUAAGCCAAAGCCCCAUCAUUUUAUAUUGGGAACUACUUCUUUACGUAAAUCUCAAAUUUACCUCACAAAAAUUCCCUGCCGACAAGAAAGAGGAUCGAAUUUAUACUUACAGACAAAAUUUCGUGCUGCUAACUCACAUAUUUAAUCAACGAAGUCCUUAAUUACAUUAAAUUAUGCGAGUAAAAGUGCUGCUAUUAAAAUAAUGCUAAUUGCUGUAAUCCUUUGUCUGACUGGGACGUAGGAAAUCAUUCAGUCCAUUCCGUCCUUCCAAAGGAUCGUCAAUUCAGGAGAAGGAUGGUAUGGUCAAAAUGAUGCCCGGAAUAUUCUUUGAAUAAAUUUUAUAUAUACUGUCAGUGUAUAUAUUAUUACGGUUAGAUGGAUGAUACAUAAGUAAAUUUUGAAUUUCACAUUCAAAUUUUGCACAUGUAUCAUAUAUAUAAUGGUAAUAGUGUAUACACUGACGAGGCAUAUAAGAUUAGUGUGUAUACUCAUAUAGUAGGUUGGAUGCAAUUUAGAUAUAUUAGCGAGUGCUCCACGAGCAAUCGUUGAAAAAACAAGCCAAGAGAAAAUAGAAAUGCAAAUUAAUAAAAUUUUCCAUUAAUGGCAUGCCGGUGUAUAACAAUAGCAGAGAAUAUUAUAAUCAUUCACGAAUAAAUGUUGAUGAAUCAAUGGGUGUAACACAUCGAAAUUCAAGUGUGUCAUCGGGUCCAUUUGACUAUGUAAUUUAAGCAAAAAAUUACAAAUAUUAUUCUACUUGCAUUUUAAAUACAAUAAUCGAUCACUUUCUUUUAUUUUACUUGCAUCAUAUUACAAAAAAUACUAUUAUUUUCAAAUAAUCUCAUAUCCAAACACUAUCGAUGAAUUCCAGAAAUAAAAAGGGUUUUGUUAUAGUAAAGACUCGGAAAGACCACAUAUAAUUAGCUGCAAGUCAAUGUUCACCACAAUUCCUGCGUAACAACAUAUAAAAUUGGAAAAAGCAAAUGCAUGCCAGAUAACUGCGGAAUUGUACCUUUUUAUUUUAUGCAAGUCUUUCCUACCAAAAAAAAAAAAAAACUACGGAAUUGCUCACAAGAUGAGAAUUCAUCUUAAUCUUAGCUUAUUUCAUUGUUGAUCCAAUGAUCCUAGUUAUUCUCAUAGAUGAGAAGAAAUUCUGCAAUUCUAUAGAUUAUGAGAGAUAUAUCUGUACAAUAUAUGCCUGAGCAAUUGCAGUUGGUGUAAACACUUUUUUAUCAUCUUUUGAACUUUCAAUUUUAUUCAUUUAAAAAUUAAUUUUUAUCCUAAUCAUUAAUCACAUUUUGCCAAUAUAACUACUCAUAGCACCCUAUGUAUUGUAAUUACAAUAUAAAUCAAAAUUUUCUCAUGAAAAUUUUAUAUUGUUAACUGGUAUUUUGGGAAAAACAUCUAGUCACCGUAUUAUGAGUGACCAACUAGUAUUUAUAGGAGUACAAACCUAACAAACUAUUUACAAGAAUACCCUUACUAAUUUAUUAUCUACAAGAAUACUUAUAUUCUCUUAACACUCCCCCUCAAGUUGGAGCAUAUAUAUCAUAAGCACCCAACUUGUUACAAAUGUAUUUCACCCUAGAGCCCCCUAAACUCUUGGUAAACACAUCAGCCAAUUGAUCUACAGACGGUACAUGAGAUGUCUUGAUGACCCCGUCAAGCAAUUUCUCUCGAAUGAAAUGACAAUCAACUUCAAUAUGUUUUGUCCUUUCAUGAAACACUGGAUUAGACGCAAUAUGAACAGCCGCCUGAUUAUCACACACUAAAUUCAUAGGCUGUUUAUGCUCAAACCCAAGUUCAAGUAACAUGCUCUUCAACCAAACCAACUCACACACAGUGUGAGCCAUAGCGCGGUAUUCAGAUUCUGCACUUGAUCUGGAUACAACUGUUUGCUUCUUACUCUUCCACGACACUAAAUUACCACCAACAAACACACAAUAUCCUGUAGUCGAUCUUCGAUCUGAGGCAGAACCAGCCCAAUCUGCAUCACUAUAUCCUUCAAUAUCAGUGUGUCCAUGAUUUUGAUACAGCAACCCUUUUCCAGGAGCACUCUUAAGAUACCUGAGAAUCCGUAUAACAGCAUCCCAAUGACUAGUACGAGGGGUAUCAAGAAAUUGACUCACAACACUCACUGCAAACGAAAUGUCAGGUCUCGUUACAGUGAGAUAAUUUAAUUUACCCACAAGUCUUCGAUAUUGCUUAGGAUCAUCAAGUAAUGCACCUUGAUCUCCUGCUAAUUUCACAUUGGGAUCCAUAGGAGUAUCUACAGGUCGGCAACCUAACAUCCCAACUUCACUCAACAUAUCGAGUACAUAUUUCUUUGACAUAAAUAAAUCCCAUAUUUAGACCGAGCUACCUCAAUACCCAGAAAAUACUGUAGAUGACCUAAAUCCUUUGUCUGAAAGUUUGCCUGCAGAUUGGAUUUAAGUUUCUGGAUCCCCACAACAUCAUCACCUGUAAUCACAAUAUCAUCCACAUAAACAACUAAUAAAAUUUUACCAGCAUUAGAAUGCCGAUAAAAUACAGAGUGAUCUACUCCACAUCUUGUCAGACCGAACUCCAUGACAACACUACUAAACCGGCCAAACCAAGCCCUCGGAGACUGUUUCAAUCCAUAUAAGGAUUUUUUCAAACGACAAACCAACCGCGGAUUCUCCCCCUGAACAACAAAUCCAGGAGGUUGUUCCAUAUAUACCUCUUCUUCCAAAUCUCCAUGCAGAAAUGCAUUUUUCACAUCCAACUGAUGCAAUGGCCAAUUAUAAGUUGCUGCCAAAGAGAUAAGAAGACGAACAGAGGUAAUCUUUGCAACAGGAGAAAAUGUUUCUAAGUAGUCUACUCCAUACACCUGAGUAAAUCCUCUAGCUACCAGACGAGCCUUCAAUCUAUCAAUAGAACCAUUAGGCUGCACUUUUAUAGUGUACACCCAUUUACAACCAACAACAGGCUUACCUGAAGGACGAGGGACAAGAUCCCAAGUACCAUUUUGUUCCAAAGCAGACAUCUCUUCUUGCAUAGCUAAUCUCCAACCAGGAUGAUUAAGAGCAUAGGUAAUAGACUUAGGAAUGGAGAUAGAAUCAAGGGAAGCAACAAAAGAAGAAUAUGACAUAGAGAGACGAGAAUAAGAAACAAAAUUAGAAAUAGGAUGGGAAGUACAAUGUCUCUUACCUUUGCGUAAAGCAAUAGGAAGAUCUAACUCACAGGAGGGCGUCAUACCUGGAUUUGAAGAUUGAGAGUUAAUUGGUGAAGUGCGUGGCAUAUCAGGAACUUUCUCAACCAUGGAACGACGAGAGUAAACUUGAAGAUGAGGACGAGAUAAUCGAGCUAUGGAAUCUGGUGGACUAGAUGACUCAGGUAAUAAAGGGGAAGGGACUGGUAAAACAGGAGAGGAAAAAGAGGGACACUGGUCUAACUCACAAGACAUACUUUGUUUGAUAAAAUAUGGAGUGGAUUCAAAGAAAGUAACAUCAGCACAAGUAAAAAAUCGAUUUAAAACUGGACUGUAACAUCUAUACCCUUUUUGCGCUCGUGCGUAUCCUAAGAAAAUACACUUAAUGGCACGAGAAUCUAAUUUAUCCACCCCGGGAGUAAGCUGAUGAACAAAGCACACACAUCCAAAAAUACGAGGAGGUAAUUUAAACACAGGUUCAUGAGGAAAAAGAAUGGAGUGAGGUAAUUGACCUCCAAGAAUAUUAGAUGGCAUGCGAUUAAUUAAAUAACAUGCAGUUAGAACUGCAUCACUCCAAAAUUGUUUGGGCACAUUCAUGUGCAACAACACUGUUCGAGCAAUUUCGAUUAAAUGUCCAAUUUUUCUUUCAGCAACUCCAUUCUGUUGUGGAGUGUGAGGACAAGAGGACUGAUGAAUAAUACCAGACUUACUCAUAAAGGUAUUAAAAGGAGUGGAAAAAUAUUCUUUCGCAUUAUCACUGCGAAGUAUACGUACCGGCACACCAAAUUGAUUCUUUAUUUCUGCAACAAAUGCACAAAAAAUGGAAUAUAGUUCUGAACGAUCUUUCAUUAAAUAAAGCCAUGUAACUCUUGAAAAAUCAUCAACAAAGAUUACAAAAUAUUUAAAACCUAACUUUGAAGUGACUCGACUAGGACCCCAAACAUCAGAAUGAACUAACAAAAACGGUUCAGAAACCCGUUUAUUGACUCUAGGAGCAAAAGAAACACGAUGAUGCUUUCCUAACUGACAAGACUCACAUUCUAACGAAGAUAAUUGACUCAAAGUAGGAACCAACUUUUUCAAAUUUUGUAAAGACGGAUGACCUAAACGACAGUGAAUUUCAAGAGGAGAAACAGUAGCAGGACAUGCUAUCGGACCAUUGAAGUUGAGAAAGUAAAGACCAUUAUGCUCAUGCCCUCCACCAAUCGUCCUCUUUGUCUUCAAAUCCUGAAUGACAACAGAAUCAGGAGAAAAAGUAACUGUACACUGUAGAAAUUUAGUGAGCUUACUAACAGACAUUAGAUUAAAGGGCAAAUUGGGUACGUAAAGAACAGAAGACAGCGGAAGUGAUGGAUUAAUUUCUACAGUGCCUAGUCCUUUAACUUUAGUGGUAGAUCCAUCAGCUAAAGUAACAUGAGGAAAGGGAGUAGACUCUUGAAAAUUAGAAAAAAUUUUAGAGGUACCUGACAUAUGAUCAGUAGCCCCGGAGUCAAUAAUCCAUGAGUCAUUACCUUUUUGUGCUAAAGAAGCAGAGGGAAGAGAUGCGUGAUUUGUAGUUGGUACUGUAGGAAUUUAACAUAAUCUUCCUCAGAUAUAGUAACAGUCUUCUGGGACCCAUGUGCUGAAAAACUCGAUUCAAUGUGGUCAUUAACCGCAUUAACAAACCUUUCAACCAUGGCGAAUGGCACGUCAAACCAAAGAAAAGGUCAAAAUCGAGAUGACGAGUAACAGUGACGUGUGAACAGUGCGCGUGAACAGUGCCGCGAUGAACAGUGCGGCUGAACAGUACUUUUGACUAGAUGUUUAACCCUAACCCUAGGACUUUUGCUCUGAUACCAUGUUAACUGGUAUUUUGGAGGAAAACAUCUAGUCACCGUAUUAUGAGUGACCAACUAGUAUUUAUAGGAGUACAAACCUAACAAACUAUUUACAAGAAUACCCUUACUAAUUUAUUAUCUACAAGAAUACUUAUAUUCUCUUAACAUAUAUAAAUCUUUUGUAUGUAACAAACAAAAUCCAUACAAUUGGGUGUGCCCUUAACACUAGUAUAUGUAGUCCGCGUUACCGUUUCUCGAAUGAAAUCGAGCCUUAAAUACCACCGCCAAUUAAAGAAAAGGGAAUGUAUAUUUUUUUAAUAUUCUGUAAUUUCGUUCGUACUUGCUUUUUGGACAAGUCAAUUUCUUUGUAAUUAUGAGAUUGGAAGGCAAUUUCCAAGUCACUUGUUAUAAAUUACACAAAACUAUGAUUAACCAUGAAAUUACCUGUUGCCUGUAAAAAAAUUAAUAACGAUGAUGAUGAUGAUUGAAAAAUGUCACAAGGAGAUACUUUUAGGGGGAGGGUAUGAGAAAAGGUAAAUGUCAAGUGUUAAAAAAGAAUACAAAUUAAUUUAUUCCUCUGUAAAACAUCAUCGAGCCUCCAAAUCCGAAAUCGUCACUGAGUUGUUGGAGCAGUCUGGAUUUUGAACGAAGUUGCCAUUGUUUCGGCAGCCGGUGCUGGCAGAAAAAGCAGGUCGAUUUGGAACAAGAAGGCCUACUAGGAAUUGGUUGUUAAGCAUGGAAAUCACAUCAGACAUGCACGGUCUAUCUGCUGCAUUUUCUUCAACGCAUAACAGCCCAACUUGAACACAUCUUGAAAUUUCAUGCAUGGGAAUUGUUUCACCUAGACUGGGAUCUGCUAUGUCUGAAAUCCUUCCUUCUUUCCAUAAAUCCCACACCUGAAAUAUACAGAGCAAGAAAGUGUGAGACACAUGAUAUUCCUCAGAUAAAUUGAGCUAAACUUGAAGAAAUUGGAAUAUUCUAUGAAUUAGAACUGUAACAUGUCAGGAUACUCACAUGUCCGACUAAGGUAAAACGAUCAUCUGUAUCAUUGACAGAAGUGACUUUCUUGCCAGUUAUGGUCUCCAACAUCAUGACUCCAAAGCUAUAAACGUCAGACUUCUCAGAGAUUAUUCCAUUCAUUGCAUACUCAGGAGACAUGUAACCACUGUUUAAUAACAUCACUAAGUCAUAUACUUCUAUCAUAGUAACAAAGCUGCUACUCAAAAAAUAAAUAAAAAGCUGCUACUUAUAAGUUUGGAAAUUGCCAUACUUUUCUAAUUAGGUAAAUGAGAAUGGAUGCUUACUAUGUCCCUAUAAUGUUCAAUGUACUUGCACGUGAUUCAUCUUCUCCAAAAACUUUUGCAGCCCCAAAACCAGAAAUUUUGGGAUUCAGGUUAUUGUCCAGCAAGACAUUGCUUGUUUUGAGAUCCUUGUGGAUGAUUCUUAGUCUGGAAUACUUGUGGAGGUACAGCAGCCCUUGAGCUAUGCCUUCAAUAAUAUGCGAACGCCUUUUCCAAUCAAGUACUCCCUGUGUUGUAGCAUCUGUGAAAAAAGAAAAUCUAUUACAUAUAUAAUUUAUUUAUAAGUAAAUCAGCCAGAGAUAAGAAAACAUAGAUAUUCUAUCUUUUGUUUUCAUUUUCUUUUCUAUGGCUAAUCUGUAGAGGACUAGAGAAUAGAAGGCAAACCCAUAUUGGGCAAAAUAGGUAUCUAGCUGGUUGAUCUCACCAAAAAUAAAUGAAUCCAAGCUACCAUUGGGUAGGUACUCGUAAACUAAUAUCCGGUCCUCUCCAUGAAUGGAGUAUCCCAAAAGUUUUACAAGGUUUCGGUGUUGCAGCUUAGACAUCGCUGCAACUUCGGUCUCGAAUUGUUUAUCAAUUCCAUGCCCAGACAAUAUAUUCAAUCUUUUCACCGCAAUCUCCUGUCCAGUAGGCAACUUACCCUGAACCAAAAACUUGCUAUUUAGGGAUAAGUGAUUGAAAAAUAAGAAAAAGCAUAUAUGGCUCAAUUACGUUCCUAAAAUAGAAAAAUCAUGGGAACAAAAUAGUUAACGUCUAUUGUCUAUUGUCUUGUAUAACUUUUCUCCUCUUUUUUUUUUUUUUUUCCUUUUGGUGUAAGCUGUACUUUUAUUCAUAUCUCGUUGUACAACUUCACUGUCUCAUGCUGGAUACAAUCUAAAUGCAGCAUAAAAUCUUGAAAUAUAUCAUGAUAAGCUUUUCUGUAUAAAAUAACAUCUUUACCUUGUAAACAGAACCAAAUUCUCCUUGGACAAGUUUGUUUUCUUCAGAAAACUGAUCAGUCGCAAAUGUUAUGAUGCUAAAUUCGAAAAGGGGUAAUUCAUGAUCCCUCUCAUCAGGAAGCUGGAAGUUCCCAGGCCCUGAUAGAUCAAACAACAAUAACUUUGUCCAUCAGGAUGUUGCAAGUGUUUUAGCAUAGAAUAGAUAUGACAAUUAUGAUUUACUGCAAGUUAACGACGUACCAUGAGUACUAUUGUUUAAUGUAUCUUCAUGAUGGUGAAUUUUUCUUUGCAGAUUGCAACAUAAAUAGAGUAACGCAAGAGCCCCGAGAAAUACUGCUGCAGCAGCAAUAGAUAACUUCACUUUCCAUGCGUCUGAUUUCUUUUUUCGCCGGCAGGAGGGCUUGGAGCAAGCUCAGGUGAUUGGGUAGGUGGACUGACUUCUGUUAUGGUCAAACGACAAUCAUAGCAGAAAAUGAGAGACGAUGUUGCUUGAUGACGGCAAAAAGAAAUUAUCUACGCUUCAUCUCUCGAGUACAAGACUAAUAUACAUGAAUUUCUUCUCAACUUUAGAAGGUGAUCAUCACUAAUCAAGUUCAUGAGUUUCGGGGUUUUUUUUUCCCAAUUUGUGCACACCAUACCUAUUAAUCACCUUAGUGUAGGAAUUGUGCUACCCAAAACGUUAAAGUUUCAAAUAUAGGAUCUGCAGUCAUAGAUUUUAGACAAACACAUGAAGUUGUACGGUAUUUUGUCAUUGUUAACAUACUGCUAAAUCUUUCCAGAUGAUUAACAUUGUGCCUCAUUGGCACAGCUUAGAAGAAAAUUUUUUUUCUUGGUAGAAUCUUGCCAAAUUUGUUUUCCACGUUACCUAGAUUCUGCAUAAAAUGGCGUACAAUACAUGAACAAUUAUUGGACAAUUCAGAUGCAAAGAGAGGAAGCAGAAAAAGAAAAAUGAACACAAGCUACAACUUUUUAUUUUAUUAUUUUAUUCUUUUGGGGCAAGCUUCGACUUCUACAUGCAUAUGUUCCAUCAAAUCUUAUGAGAAGAAAUACUUUUAUGGAAUCAAAUAUUUAAACAGGACAGGAUAAACAAAAAAGAAAAAGGAACCAUUUGAGUGUACCUUUCACCAAAACAAAGCUUUCGCGGACGAAAAGUUUCUUGUUUAUCUGAAAAAAUAAGAUUUCCUUUCUUUCUCGUAGCUAUUUUGCAGCCAGCGCAACACCAUUGUUAUCGUAUGUUGUAUUAGAGUAGCAUAGCACGAGCAGUUUUUUCUGCAUAUCGACUUACAAUAAUGAAGGGCAUUGUCAUUAUUCCAUAUUUCAUCCCACGCGUCCAAGUCACCCAUUAUUUCCUUAAAUCCAUCACCAGCGCCACAAGGAUUCGUACACCCCAUGGUCUGAUUUUUCCAGGUCUUGCCAUCAAUCAUGUCACAAACUGCCAAUGCUUGAGAAUCAGUAAAGUCCCCACUACUAACAUGAAUUUGCCCAGUUGCAGCAAGGAUGAAUAGGGCAUAGGGAUCAGUGCUACUGUUCCAUGUGAAAUAUGUCUCGUUCCAAUCUGAAACGUAGUAAAAAUUCAAUCCAAAAUCAUCUGAGAUAUCAAGAAAGCUGAAAUUCUGGCCAUUCCAUAUCCCACUCCGCCAAUAAACCACUCCAUCUUGCAUAAUAACAAUUUCCUUUGUAUUGUUCGGAUUAAUUCCUAAUGUAGAAGCAGGAUCCCCAAAUGUUGGCCUUGAAGUUAGAAGGAUUGUGCUUGAUCCAAAAACCCAAGUUUCAUGCCUUGAAGCCAUUUAUUGGUAGGAUAAUCGAAACUUUGCCAUACAGUAUUACCUCCAGGAGCUCUCAAAACCAGGUUUCCAUUAUCGAGUAAAGUAGCAGUCGUGUUGCUAAUGAAAACAGGCUGUUGAGAGUUUGCAACAAUCAGCUGAUUGUGAGAAAUGUCAUACACAACUAGCUUUCCAUCAGGAUUCAUGGUUACAUAUGCGGGCUCAGUUCUGGCAGGAAUCAGGUAGUUGUCGUUAGCCCAGGCGUCGAUGGUUUGACGCAUAGACACAUACAGAACCGUCAAGUACCAUGCCCAGCUAAGCGGAUGAGUGAUGGUGAGCUGAAAACGCUGGUUGGAAGACUCCAAGAAGUCUCCAUAAUAUACAACUAGGGACUCAUUAACGCCUAGCGUAUCUCUAGCUUGAGAAACACAAAACAGGGAGAAAUAAUAAGCAAAAAUGCAGUACAAGAUUGCCAAAUACUGAUUGCCCAUUCUUGAUAACGUCUGUAAAGACUAGUAUAUGUUUUUUCUUUCUUUUUUGCCUUGUGAAGCUGCAGAAUUGAAUCUUGUCGGUGAUCAUAUAAGAAUGAAGCUCAUUUGGGAAAAAUAUACUUCUGCAGCCCAGGUGCUUUUCGCUAUUACUUCACUGUACUGCAAUUUGGGAAAGAGCCCGAAAGAGAACUUAAAUAGUUAAACUAGUAAAAAGUUGGAUAAGCAUUAGAUUUAAUGUACACAUCUGACGACCAAUAGUUUCAGAAGGAAGCCAACGGAGAUGAGUCUAUUUCUAAUUUGGCAAGGCAACUUCGUGUUUCUUAUAAAUUCUCCUGGUCAUAAUUGGGUACCAGCUAAAAAAGAGUAAAAGAGUAUGUAUAUAUCAGCCCCGGUUAUAUUCAGUAUUUAAAUAAGGACAAUACUAGCAUUUCAAUUAUCAUGAUUGAUUUCCCUUACAUUUUCACUUUACUUAAAAACUGAGGAGAGUAUUGUAGAUAUUUUGAAAUAUUAGAGGAGUCAUGUGAUAAUAAACGGAACAACAAAAACGUACAUACUAAAUUAAUAAUUUAACCUAUAAAAUUUUUGCUUGCUUCAUACUUUUUAAUGACUUUAAUUGCACCCUAAACUGGACCCUUUGUACACUAAAGUUACCAAUUGUUAACUCUUGACAUCUUAUAAUUUCAUUUAAAACACACUAAGUCUGCAGUUAUCAUAAUCUUUAAAUCACCCUAAUAGCUAAGCUGUUGAUAAAAGUUGAAGCAAAAAAUGUAAGGGAAAAAUUGGGAAGCAGAUACGUUUAAGUUCGUAUUCUGUUUUUCAAUUACGUGUAAUGCUAUUUAUUUUGGAUUUGAGGAAACUUUGAAAUUUAUAAGAAUGUGAAAUGGGGAUUAUUUUGAAUAUUUCAAUAAACUGAAUUAAGAUGCUCAAUUUGAAAUACUAGAAGGAACUUACUGCUUGAAGUGUUUUUAAUUUAUGAAAUUUAAAAAAUAGAAACAUUGAAUACUAGCUGAAAAAGUAAAAAUAAUAAUAAUAAGAAGAACAUUGAAUGCUAGCUGAAAAGGUAACAAGAGCUUAUAGACACACACAUAAAUGUAUGUAUCUACAGGACACGGGGCUCGAACAGUCAUCAGAAAAAUCAUUUAGAUCGGUUUUGUGCAAAAUGCAUAUAAGAUGUAAUUUUGUAUGCAAACGGUGUAACUCAUUUUCAAUAACAUGUAACUAUAGAACAAAAUUUUGUGGAUCCCACACAUAGUGUGAAAAACGAUGUAUAAGAUGCAAUCUGAUCUUACAUUUUUUUUUUGACAAAUCAUUGCCAUCAACCUUCCAGAACGGUUACUUUCUGCAACUGUUCCUACCCCUCCUCUGUAUGUACAUACGUCAAUACGUAUAUAAAGUAUUGAAACUUACGUUAUUGAACUAGAAUUAGUCUUCCUACCACUUGAAGUGUAGAAACAUUUUUUUUUGUUUAAAGUGUAGAGAUAUAUUUUUGGGGUCUAAAUGCAUGUAAUUUGUAUGGAAAAGAUAGUAGAAAUUUUAAAAUUGUUAUGUGCAUAUACUGGAAUCUACUUUUUAAACAAAUCGAACAAUCCUUUAAUACGUACAAAUUGAGGCGAUUAUGUGGUAACAACUUUGGUUUUAGUUGUCAUGAUUGCACCAAAAAUACUCUCCAUAUAAGCAUGAAGUUUCCUACAUUGUACUUUUAUAUGAACAACGUAUUAUUGACUCUAUUCUAUUUUUAUUUUUUCCUUUUAGGUUAAUAAAGUCCGAUGCUCGAAAAGUAAACAAGUCAAGUCAACAAACUUAUUCUAUUAAAUAUGAGGAAAACCCGUCAAGAGAUAAAUAAUAAAUUUUGACUGAGAGACAGCUAGCCUUGCUCAGCUGCCUCCCAGAUUCUAUUAUUUUGGUUCGUUGAACUCAAAAGCUCAAACAAUUACUGGAUUACAAAAAUACUCCCUGCCGACAAGAAAGUAAGCAAAAGUUCUUGUAAUUUGGAUUAUUCCACAUCUCUCAUACUUUAAUCUCCUUCUUAUCAUAAUCUAAACCGCCUAAAUACAUUAUUAAAAUUCAUAAUCAUGUAGCCCAUACCCAUGUGUCUCUUUCUAAAGUUUUACUAUGUUUAUUAUGUUGAAUAUGAUCGUACGGAUGGUAGGCAGAUUAUAAUUAAUUAGGAAUCAUUAAUUACUAAAAUAUAGCAAUUGUUGUUACCCUCUAUCGUAUGAAGGAAACCAUCAAGUCACUCCUGUCCUUCCAAAGAAUUGUUGAUUCACGAGAGGGGAUGCAUUGUCAAAAGGAAACCUGGAAUUUUCUUUUUUUGGCAAUUAUUAAGCUAUUUGUCGUAGAAAUGAAUGGAUACAAUGCAGGACUGACUCUUAGGUCAAUUUUCAUGUAAGCCUGGUCAACAGUUCAAAAUAAAAUGUAUCAGUGAUAGUCUGACAGAUAUACAUGGAAAGAAGAACCAACAAAUAAAACGUGUGGAAAAGGAUGGAAAUUUGGAGGGGGGAGGGAGAAAUUUUAUUAUUUUAUGUCGUUUGUGGCGCUUCCUGUUUUUGACAAGUCGAUUUCUUUGUGAAUGGUGAUUAACGCUAGAACUUAAAAAGCAGUUUCACAGAUUAGGAUUUUGGGAGCCACUUCUGCACCCAAAAUGGAGCCACUCGGAGAAGGUAAUGGUUCAUAGCCAACUUUAUGUACACGCAUUAGAAACACACUAUUGAGUUCAAAUUUAAGAUCAAAGUUUAAAUCAGUUUCGAUUAAACGACUAAUCUGGUUAAUUAAUGACCUAAUUACUAUUUCAUGAUCAUGAGAAUUCUUGAAGUUAAGCUCUCAAAAUGCACAAUGUGUUAGGCCUAGGUGAUACUAAACCGAAUAGCUUGACUCGAGCUUGCAAACUACUCGGUCAAUAGCUCGGUUCGAGCUCAUUUUGACAGAGCUCAAACUGCUCAAUAAAAGCAGCAAGCCAAGCUCGAGUUUCAAUAUUUUACACUCAAAGGCUCGACGAGACUAAUUGAUUUUUUUAUAAUAUAUAUUUUAAUUUUUUUAUAUUUAUUAUUGUGAAAUAUCAAUAAUAUCCUUUAUUUAAAAUUAUAUGUAAAAUAUUAAUUUUUAUUAUAUGAAUUUGAUUAGGCUUGAUUGAGUUCGAAUAGGCUCGAUUGAACUUGAUUUGAUUUAAUAAAUUUAAUGAAACUCGAGUUCGAGCUCGAACUCAAAUAACAUAAAUUGAAGUCGAGUUCGAACUCAAGCUCGACUUCUAAAAGUUUGACGAACUCAAGUUCAAUCUCGAACUUAGUUAUUUUACCUUAAGUCGAGCUCGAGUAGUCGAUUCGGCUCGAAUACACCCUUUGUUAGCCCUCGAAAGGUAUUGGGUCGAGCACUUCAUAAGCCUGAAUUUUUAACCUGCAUUAGAUCACUAUUGAAUUCGUCAAUAAAAUAGCUGUGAUUUUUUUUUUUCAUGAGACUUAGUUCAUUAGCAUGAUCCACGAUGACUUAAUUUAUAACAAAAACAACCAAUUCUAAAGUUAUUAGUAUAUAUUUUGUAUUAUAUGGCAUUAUUAGAUUUUUCGUACCUGUCACACCAAUCCCUGAAAGUAGAAAAAUGACAAAUAGAGAAAACCAGAAUGGAAACAAAAAGAAAAGAAUUAUGCACUGGUUAAUUCCAUUUGUAUCUUCUUGCUCCUAUGACGUAAAUAUCCAUAUCAUCUUAUAAGCACUGGAGUCUAAGUUUUUCUUCUUCUUCUUCUUCAUUUUCAUUCUUUUAUGGUGAUCAUGUAAAGCAAAAUAACUUCUUUUCUCAAUUGUAACACAGAAUUCUACCAGAUAUCGAGUUGAUGAAGCCCCCAUCAAAGUUCUUGAAAAUGAAGAAGAAAUUGUUGUGCCAUUCCAAAGCAAUCCCCCCUUUGUUGCAACAUUCGGAUCAGUUGUGGCUGAUGCAUCUGGGAUUAGUGAUCCUGUAGCUAAAUGUGGAAAGCCAGGGAAAUUAUGUUGGAUACCAGUAUGGGGGCUCUAGAGGGCAAAUUACACUUUCCCCCCUGCGAUGUAGCUAAUUUUCACAUAACCCCCUAUAGUUUUAAAAUUAUAUAUAAUCCUCUUAUAAUUUGGAUUAAAGUGUCAAAGUGACAGAAAUGAUCAUCUAUAAUGAAACCUAUAAAAAUGUCGAAAUUACCCUUAUUUAAAACUAAAAUGGCUGAAAUGACUAAAAUAUAUAAACAUAAUAUGCAUGACACUUUAACCCUGUAUGAUUUUGUAUUUUACCAUAUAACCACCUUAUAUUUAGUAUUUUACCAUGUAACCCCCUUAUAAUUUUCAAUAUAUAUACAUUACCCCUGUAGUUAAUAAAUAAUUUUUAAAAUUAUACAGGGUUAUUUUUGAUAUUUUAGUUGACUCCGUUAUGGAUUAUAAAUUUCGUCAUUUUGACAUUUUAAUCCAUACCAUAAGGGGGGUUAUGCAUAGAUUUUGAAAUCAUAGAAGAGUUAUGUAAUAAAAUACUAAACCUAAAGUGUAAUUUACCUGGCUCCAUAUGGUAGAAUGCGAAAGGGUAAAUUACACUUUACCCCUGUGAUUUAGUAUUUUUCUACAUAACUCUUCUAUGGUUUUAAAAACUAUACAUAACCCCUCGUAGUUUGGAUUAAAGUGUCAAAGUGACGGAAAUGGUUAUUCGUAACGGAACUUUUAAAAAUAUCGAAAUUACCCUUAUAAAUACAUGACACACUAACUCCGUAUGAUUUUAUAUUUUACCAUAUAACCCCUUUAUGGUUUAAUACUUUAUCAUAUAAUCUCUUUAUGAUUUUUAAAAUAUACACAUAACCCCCUUGAUUAAUAAAUAAUUUUUAACUUUACAAAGGUAUUUUUGAAAUUUUAGGUGAUUUCGUUACGAAUGAUUAUUUUCAUCACUUUGAUAUUUUAAUUCAAAUCAUGAGGGGGUUAUGUAUAGCUUUUGAAAUCAUAGGGAGAUUAUAUAAAAAAAAAUUAAACUACAGAGGGUAAAGUGUAAUUUGCCCAAUGCGAAAUCAUAGCCGGUAAAUAUUAAAUUCAUGCUAUUCACUUGAAUCCUUUAUUCUACAAGUGAAACCUUGGAAUCAAUUAUGCCCGUCAAAGUGCGGUUAAUCACGCGGAGUUAUAUGGUCAAAAAGGGAUUUGGAAAAUGAUCCUCUUUUAGACGUUAAUUGUGUCUUUUCGAGACUAAAGUGAUGCAAUGCAUGUGUAGCUUUCUCUUGUGUAUACCUGCGUGCCAAAGCUUUUAAAUUUCUUUAAACAAUAUGUAAAAGCAACAUAGACUGAUAACCAAAAGUGAAUCCACAAAAAUGUUUACAAAGGAAAUAAGAGAGAAACCUCUUCCAAGAAGUACCAAGCAUAGAGACAAAAGGACUCGUAAAAAUUUUGCCUUAAAAAAUGAGAAGAUAUUACAGAAGAUAUAUACCGCUGGGGAAAAAAACAAAAAAAAAUAAAAAUCCAGUAGUGCAGAAACAAUACAAAUGGCUUUAUAUUUAGCUUGAAAAAAAUGUCAUCGAGCCUCCAAAUCCGAAAUUGUUACUGUAUUGUUGGAGCAAGGUUCUGCAUUCCGAACCAAAUUGUCAUUGUUCCGGCCGCCGGUAGCAGCAGAAAAAGCCGGUCGAUAUGGAACACGAAGACUGACUAGUGUUCCAUUUAGCAUGGAAAUAACGUCAGACAUGGUUGGUCUGUCGGCUGCAUUUUCUUCACACACAACAGCCCAACUUGAACAUAUCUUGAAAUUUCAUGCAUGGCAAUUGUCUCACCAAAACUAGGAUCUGCAAUGUCCGAAACCCUUCCUUCUUUCCAUAAAUCCCACACCUGAUCAAAUGUUUAGGAGCAAGAAAAUGUCAGUGAUCACAAUCAUUCUUCAGAAAAUGUAUGGAACUAAAAACUGAGAAAUUGUAUGUAACUGUCUGUAUAUGUGUCAAGAUAUAUACUCACAUGUCCUACUAAGUUUAAAUGAUCAUCGGUGUCAUUGAAAGUUGUGUUCUUCUUUCCGCUUAUGAUCUCCAACAUCAUGACUCCGAAGCUGUAAACAUCAGACUUCUCAGAGAUGAUGCCAUUCAUGGCAUAUUCAGGAGACAUGUAGCCACUGUUUCAUUGCCGCACUAACUAAGUUUAAUCUCCAUACAUUCUGAUAUUAUCAUAAUUAGGGAAGAUGGAAUUUAGCAAGCAGGAAGAUUGAAUUGGUACUCACUAGUCCCAACGACUCUCAAUGUAUUUGCACGUGAUUCAUCAUCUCCAAAAAUUCUUGCUGUCCCAAAAUCAGAAAUCUUGGGAUUCAGGUCAUUAUCCAACAAAACAUUGCUUGUUUUGAGAUCUCUGUGGAUGAUUUUUAAUCUGGAAUACUUGUGGAGGUACAACAGCCCUUGAGCUAUCCCUUCAAUAAUACUGGAACGCCUUCUCCAAUCUAGUACUGCCCGUUUUGUAGUAUCUGUGAAAAAAAAAUGCACAAACACACACAAAAUAGUGGGUAAAUGAUUAUCAUUAAACAAGCCAUAGACAAGAAAAUAUGAUAUAUAUCGUGUCUUUUUUUUUAUAACUAAGUUUGUAAAUAGACAAGAGAAAAGAAAAUUGAUGAAAUUGAUUUGAAGUCGGUACAACUCUCCAAGCACAUGUUGGGCAAAAAAAAAAAAAACGAUAGUUAAACUCACCAAAAAUAAAUGAAUCCAAGCUACCAUUGGGCAAGUACUCAUAAACUAGUAUCCGGUCCUCCCCAUGAAUGCAGUAUCCCAAAAGUUUUACAAGGUUUCGAUGUUGCAGCUUAGAGAUCACUGUCACUUCAUUCUUGAAUUGCUCAAUUCCAUGGCCUGACAUUAUUUUCAAUCUUUUCACCGCAAUCUCUUGCCCAGUAGACAACUUUCCCUGGACCACAAAACUUGUUAUUUAAAGCCAGUUUAAAGUCUUGAGAUAAUGCAAUUGCAAAAAGAAAUUAGAAUGCUAGGUCCUUAAGAGUCUAGAGAUGAUAGCAUCGUUACCUUGUACACUGGACCAAAUCCUCCUUGACCAAGUUUGUUUUCAUCAGAAAAAUUAUUUGUUGCCAUUUCUAUGCUGGUAACUCGAAAACAGAUGAUUCAUCAUCCCUUUUUUCAUGAAGCUGCUGGAACUUCUCUAAACCUGACAGAUCAAGCAACAAUAGCUCAAGCAACAGUAAACCUGCUCGAACUUCCCUAAAAAACUCAUGAUUGACAGUCAGUUAACAUUAAUCUACCUUCAUGGCGACGAAUUUUGCUUUGUCGAUUACAACAUAGGUAAAGUAACGUAAGAGUCCCCAAAAAUGUUACUAGAGCACCACCAAUAGAUAACUUCACUUUCCAGGUCUCUGACUUCUUUUUUCGGCAUGGAGCAAGCUCAGGUGAUGGGAUAGAUGGAAGACCUAGCUUGGUUGUAGCCAAACAACAUGCACAGGAAAAAAUGAAAGAUACUGCAGCUUGAUAUCAUAGCUAAAAGAAAUUAAAAGUUCCUUAAUGUACAAGUUUUCUAUGCGCUUUUUUUUCUCUCUUUUUUUUUAAUUUCAAAAGUGGAAAUCAUCAUCAUUCAAGUUCAUCAGUUUCGGUGUUUUCCAAUUUGUGCUCACCAUAUCUAGAUGAAUUCGGAUUAAUCACUUCAACCAACUAAUAUUAGGAGUUGAACAAGCACUUGAACAAAGACACAAGUUAAAACAGAAACAGUUUGCGUGUACCUUUCUCCAAAACAAAGCUUUCGCGGGCAAAAAUUGUUUGUUUAUUUGAAGAAAUAAGUUUUCCAUGUCGUCUGAUAGCCAUUUUACAGCCCAUAGCAACACCGUCCUGAUCGUAUGCAGUAUUAGAAUAAGCAUAGCACGAACAGUUUCUUCUGCAUCUCAACUUACAAAAGCGAAGAGCAUUGUCAUUAUAGGACACUUCAUCCCACGCAACCAAGUCACCCAUUAUUUCCUUAAAUCCAUCACCGACGCCACAAGAAUUCGUACACCCUUUGGCUGAUCUUUCGUCGGUCCUGUAAGUGAUUACAUCACAAACUGCCAAUACCUGUGCAUUGGUAAAAUCCCCACUACUAACUGUAAUAUUCCCACUUUCGCUAAAAAUUAGUAAGGCAAAGGGAUCAGUACUACUAUUCCACGUGAAAUAGGUCUCAUUUGGAGUGGAUACAUAGUAAAAAUUGAAACCAAAACUAUCCGAUAUAUCAAGAAAGCUGAGCUUUUGGCCAUCCCAUGUCCCACUUCUCCAAUAAACCACUCCAUCUUGCGUAAUAGUAAUCUCCCUGGUAUUAUUCAAAUCGACGCCUAAUGUAGAAGAAGGUUGGUUAUAGCUUGGUGAUGAAGUUAGAAAUCUUGUACCUGAUUGCAAAAUCCCAAGUUUCAUUCCUUGAAGCCACUUAUUACUCGGAUGGUCAAAGCUUUGCCAGACAGUAUUCCCUCCAGGUGCUCUCAAAACCAGGUUCCCGUUGUCAAGUAAAAUUGCAGUAGUGUUGCUAAUCAUAAUAGGCUGUUCAGAAUUCACAACGAUUACAGGACUGUGAGAAGUGUCAUAUACAACCAGCCUUCCAUCUGCAUUCAUGGUUAAAAAUGCAGGCUCUUUGCUGGCUGGAGUCUGGUAGCUGUCGCUGGCCCAGACGUCAAUUGAUCGAAGCAUGGACAUGUAUUGGAUCACCAGGAACCAUAACCAGCUAUAGGGAUGAGUGAUGGUGAGCCGAAAACGCUGGUUGGAAGACUCCAAUAAGUCUCCAUGGUAUACAAGUACGGAUUCGUUAACUCCAAGUGUAUCUUUACCUUGAGAAACACAGAACAGGGAGAAAUAAAAAGCAAAAAUGCAAGAAAGAAUUGCCAAAUAUUGCCUGCAAGAUCUGCCCAUUCUUGGUAUCUUCGGUAAACGCUAGAAUAUGUUUUCUUGCCGCUGUCUUGCUAAUGCUGAUAUAAGGAUGAAUGUCCUUUCAUUUCUCAAAAUAAAAAAUUGCCUGAUUGGGGAUACUAUGAAGUGGGAAAGGCUGACUACAAGGAAACUGACGAAAAGUGGAAAAAUUAUACUUGGGCUGCCACUGCCCCAUGUGCUUUUGCUAAACUAGUCAAUUAAUUGGAAUUCUCCACAUUGCAACACGGGAAAGAUCCUCAGCAUGGUUCAAAGUCGCGGUCGCGGUCGCGGCUUGGACCGUUUCACAUCGGUCUCGGCAUAUUGGUCGUGGCCUCGGCGAGACGUGAAUUUUUAAAAUAUUUAAUAUUCUAAAAAUUGUAAAAAAUAUGAUAAAUAAAAAUAAUUAAAAAUUAAUAAAAAUAAUAAAAAUUCAAGUUGACUCGAAGUGACUCGGCCGUUUUAACCCUUCACGGUGACGUCUCAGCCUAUCACGUAUCUCGGAAACGUUUCGUCGCGAUCUAGCCCGAGAUGUCUCGGUCUCAACCGAGUCUUCGAACCAUGAUCCUCAGUGAAGGACUUGAAUUACUAAAUCCUCAGUAUGAUAAAAUUACAAUUAACCCACAAUGAUAGUAACAAUAAUACAUACAUAAAACAACUAAUCCAGAAACAUUAACCAGCUGAUGUCGAACAAAUUUUCAAGUCUUAUUGGACCUCACAAGACCUUUCGAUGGCAAGCUAAGGUUGGAAGAAACUUGAACGUGCAACAAAUUUUUAAAAAAUAUUAUUAAUCUUUAGCUCGAGAAGAACUUUUGAGUUUAUAAGACAGUGUCUGAAUCGUCUUUAAGAGGCUAUAGCUCCGUAAUCUACCUGGUUAAAUUUAUUGAACCCAUUUUUUAGGCCAAAAUUCCUUCAUUUUGGUUACUUUUGGACCACUUUUAGUUAUUCCUUUAGACUAACGAUCCAAAGAUUAUUGACUUUGACGACAAUAGGAUGACUAUAAUAGCAUAAUUACAUUAAAAAAAGAAAAGAGUGUACUAAGCAAUCCAUUGAUUGAGACUUCGUUUGUCCGAUAGCUGCCAAAUUCUUACGUUGGAGAAAAACAAUUUGUUAAAUAGAAACUAUAGGGCGAAAAAGUGGCUUUUUCUCGGUGGGAAACUGCUUCCAUACAUCGUAUGUCCCAAUCGACCCGAUUACCGGGGAAAAAAAAAAGCCGAAUAGAGAGAAAAUUUGCUGAAUCACGAAAAAAGAAAAAAAAAAUUCUGAUUCCACAAAUAUAGAGACGUGUUAUUGAGAAUAUUACAUUGGUUUCGAUUUCUUUUUUUUUUCCCUUUUCUUGUUUACUUUUAUGCUUCUUCUUGUUAAUUUCUAGUUCAUUCCAAUGUAGUCAAACAAAUCAGACGUCAUCAAACAUUUCUUCUUCCUUUCGUUUUGCAAAUGAUACACUAUUCUCAAACCAAUCAAAUGUCAUCAAACAUCAUGCACCAAUUUGAGUAGUAACUAUGGCUAUGGCUGUAAAUUAAAUGAGAUCGAUCUUAACACACAGUUUUGACUCGAUUUCAGUUUAAUUGUAACUAACUCGAGUUCGAAUUCAAAACGAAUUAACACUCCACUAAUGGAGUGCCAAAGCCAAUCCCAAAUAUACAAUCAUAGAAAGGAGCCACGGAUAAUUGGCUGGAGGUUUAUCUCCGUUCUUAGCCCUUUCUCACUCAUGAAAAGUCUCUUAAGAAAUCUUGUCUCACUUAGCAAGAUGAGGAUAUUCCUUUGGACUAAUGGUUCGCAAAGUGUGUGUAGUGGGAUUUGAGCAGAGCCAAAGAAGAACCAACCUCUUUAGGAGAUUGGUACCCACGCAGAAGACAAGCCCAUCAUCCUAAAUUUCAACAAAUUUUUUCCCCUUAACAAAACUGUCCCUCUUCAGUUUAAAGCUUUUUUUUUUUUUUGUGGGAGUAUGCCUUUGAUUGACAGAAUUCUGGGCACCUUUCUUCCUAGAAUUCCGGGCACCUUUGAUUGAUAGAAUUCUGAGCACCUUUCUUCCUUUCUGAUGAUGUAUUUGGAAUUCUGAAGGACACACUAUUAUUGCCUUCCUGGGAAAUAUUGAAAAAUUAAGUUGCCCCACAGAUAAAAGGAAUUGUAUUUGGAAUCAGUACAUCAAGUCAGUUCUGUCUUUCCUAAGAAUUGUUAGCUAAAAGGCGUCAUAUGGUCAAAAACAGAUAAUUAAUUGUGUCUUCUAGAGUGUAAUAGUGCUAAUUUCUUUCUUCUUUUUUUUAUCCCUUCCUUUUCUAUUCGCUUAUCUUUCUGCGAAAUCUUUUAAUAUUUUUAUUUUUAAAAAAAAUGUAAGAGUAGCCUAAAUGACAAAAAAUGAAUGAAAAGAAUACCAGCAACAAAAAAAUGUGGAAAAUGGGGGAAAAUGUGGAAAAGGAAAGUUGGGAGGGAGAAAAUAUAAAGAAGAAAGAACCUGAGAAGAUGUUACUACAUGGAGGGAUAUUUUUAGAGGGGAAAAGUUCAAAAUAAAAUUGACUCAAAUGAAAGAUGAACAAAUUUCCAUCAAGUGUAUCCAUUUAAUAAUUAUCAUUUUCACCCUAAAACUAAAUACUGGAGCAAUUUCUUUUCCAUCUCAGCAGAUUAAUUGUAUUUUUUUUUCUUUUGUGAGUUUAUAGCAACAGUAGAUAAUAUUCAAUCAUCAAUAAAUGAAUGUAGAAACAAAGGACCGGGUAUAACAUAACAUGUUGAAGUUCAAGUGCUGAAAUUGCAGCUACGUCAUUAAUUCUCAAUUUUUUUUAACUACAAAAGGAAUUUUUUUUCCUCUUUUUAUUGGAACCAAGACUCAAAAUAUGGCACAUGAUUUUCAAACUGCUCUGAAAAAGGUAAGAAAAAGAACUGCAUGACAUUUUAUAUGAAAUAUAUAACAGCAAAGUUUUAAUAAAUACCACAGCAAAACAGAGAAAAAGGAAUAAAUUCUUUGCUAUUCUAUUCUCUUAACUUGAUUAUUCAAUUUUUUGUUAUCAAGAUGUUAGAAUGCCAGCGAACAGAAAUUUCGCUUUUUCUUUAGACCUUUUGGGUUUAUAUCGCUGUAAAGAAUGGUUUAUUCUUUCCUCCAUAGGACCAAAAAAAUAAAAAGAAAUGGUUAUUAAAACUUUUAGAGCCACUGGAGAAAGCCAUUGUUUCGUAAAAAUUGCAAAGACUAAAGGUAAAUCCAAAAAUUUUUACAAUAUAUGAUAAAAGUUCUCCAGUUUAUAUAUAUAAUACAUUCAGGGGUGGUUAUCUUUCAUAGUCUUAUAGAUGAUCAUAAACCGAAAAGAACAAAUUCUAAAAAAAAAAAAAAAUGGUCUAUUUUAUAUAUGUGGUUAAUACAUCCAGUCUGUAUUAGAUUCUCUUAUACCUGUAACCAAAUCCCCUCUCUAAUGGGGCCUUUAAUUCCCUAACCAAAGUCCCUGAAAAUAGAAAAUGACAAAUAGAGAGAAACAGAAAGGAAGCAAAAGGAAUGGGGAUUAUGCAGUUGUUGCAGUUCCAACUUGCCCAAGUGACUGUUCAGUGCUAACAAAAUUGUACAGAUUAAGGCUUAUACUAAUUUCCAUUUGGAUCUUCCUGCUCCCACUUUCUGAAACUCCAUGUCAUCUUAGCUGCCCGGUGCCCAGUUUUAGGUCUAUAAAAACUGGCCUCAAACUUUGUUAGCACUUGUAAUUUUUCAAGAAAAUGCAGAAUUUCACAAUGUUAAGAAUAUUUCUCUUGAGUUUUAGCUACCUAGCUAUGUUCCUAAAUGUUAUGGCUUCUGCCUAUUUUAGUGAACUCUUCGAGCCCAUAUGGGCACCUGACCACAUUACCACUCAAGAAGACCAUGUCAUAUUAAACCUUGACAGCGCAACAGGUAGAUCAUUCUUCACUACUGUCUUCCAUUUUGUGUUUUAGUUUUUUUUUUCCAUGCUAUUUUUUGACAUGAAAGAGGGUUUGGUCUCACAGGUUGUGGUUUUAUGUCCAAGAACAAAUAUCUAAUUGGGAAAAUCAGUGCACAAAUCAAACUAGUUCAAGGUGAUUCAGCUGGAACAGUCACAGCCUAUUAUGUAAGUAUAUUAAUUUGGCAUUAUUUCGUUAACCUAAAAAGCUUCUAUAUUUAGUAUUGCCUGUGUUAGAAAAAUUUUCAUUUUAAUCAUGGCUUCAAUCUUAAAUGGUAAUUUUCAGCUAUAGAUUGUGUAAUUAGUCAAUGUGCUCUUUAUUUAACUGAGAAAUGGCUAAAGUUAUCAAUCACUGAGUAUUCAGUUGAUUUCAAAUGCAUGCAGUUGACAGCAGACGGGCCUAAUCACGACGAGUUAGAUUUUGAAUUUCUGGGCAAUGUUUCAGGAGAACCUUAUCUUGUACAAACAAAUGUAUUCGUGAAUGGGACUGGAGACAGAGAGCAAAGGCAUAGUCUAUGGUUUGAUCCCACCACUGACUUCCACAACUAUACCUUCUUCUGGAAUCACCAUUUUAUAAUGUAAUAGUACCACUUUUUUGAGUAUUUUUUUUCCCUAAAUUUUGCACCAUACUUUCUUGGAUCGAUACUUAAUUAAGUGGAGAGAAAUCUACCAGGCUGAAAUACAUACACAGAAACACAUAUGAGUUUAUAUACUGUUUGCUGAUGGAACUAGGUUUAUAGUUGGAAAGUGAGGGUUUAAAAGGAAGUAGCACAUGGUUAGGACGCUACUUAAUUAUUAUCUUUACUACACAAUUUUGUGCUGGUAAAAUCUAAUUCAAAAGAUUACAUCAUUGAUAAAAAAAAUUUCCUUUUACAUGACAGUUUUGCAUUCUGCAAUUUCUAAAUUCCAGUACCCUUUAUAUAAUAUGUACACUGGAUUAAGAGUCAAGCUAAUGCAUGGUCUCGGCUAAGAUGUUUAACUUUGCAAAAUGUGAUAAAAUAUUCACAUUCGCCAAACUUUGUCUGAGAUACAAGUUUAAUUUCUUCCUAACAAAACCAUGAUUUUAUUAAUUAAUGGUAACCAUGUAAAGCUAAAACUUUUUUUUUCUCAAUUGCAAUGGCAAAUUUUACCAGAUUUCAAGUUGAUCAAGUCCCAAUAAGAGUGUUUGAAAAGAAAGAAGAAAUGGGUGCGCAAUUUCCAAAAACUCAAGCAAUGGGAAUCCAUGGAUCAUUGUGGAACGGAGAUGAUUGGGCUACACAAGGAGGAAGAGUGAAGACCAAUUGGAGCCAUUCUCCCUUUGUUGUAACAUUUGGAUCAUUUGAGGUUGAUGCAUGUGCAGUAUCAUCUGGGAUUGAUGAUGUAGCUAAAGUCAAGCCUGGGAAAUUUUGGUGGGAUAAAUCUUCCAAUAAAAAGUUAGACAAGAAUCAAAGACGUCAACUGAAAAUGGUUCAAGACAAGUACUUGGUCUAUGAUUAUUGUAAAGAUACAGCUCGAUUUACUCAAAUGCCAAGAGAAUGCCAGAACUAGUUAAACAAGUUACAUUCUAAGAAAAUUCUGUAAAGGUAAAUUAAAACAGCAAUUGUAAUUGCCAAGUCUGCUAAGAAUUGAUCAGCAAGCGCCAAGGAAAUGAGCUGGUGUCAAAUGUUCUGCUUCCUUUCUUUUACAGGCAGGCCUUAGUGAAAGCUGCUGGACAUCUAUCUGAUUAUUUUAAAAAAAAAAAAAAAAAAAAAAAGCAAAGAAGAGAACAAAAAGCAAAGAAAUAGGCUGAAAAUUGACCUAGUUGCUCUUGAAUUUAUAAAUGAAUAUCAUUUUAGAAGUGCUAUUAAGUUAAGCUGUCAAAUGCAUCGGUAUGAGGCCAUCCAAAGUUGCUCAAUGAGGAUAAAAUAUGAGUAGCUUUUUAAGGCCCAAAAAUGUGUAUCUAUUAAUGUAUUUACUCUCCUCUUUAUUGAGAACUUUUGAUGCACUUUUGAUCUUAUGAUCUACAAUUCAAUGAAUACUUUUUCUCAAUGAAGACUUUAACUUUAUCCUUUUUAUGUGUCUUGUAAUAUAAGAAUUCAUAAUAAAGUGGAAUUCUACCUCUUUUUAUGAAAACCCCCAAGAAAAGAAGGGGAAAAGUUAUUGGAUGUAUUCAUCCCUAUAACUGAAAUGCCCAAAAGACAAAAUGACAAAUAGAGAAAACAGAAUGAAAAAAAUAAAUAAAGGGGGAUUAGUUGGGUGCAGCUGCAACUCCAAGCCAUCACUGCUAAAUUAUUUUUACUAACUAAAUGGCUUCAUAGUUUCCAAUUUCGAAAACUCCUUAUCAUCUUACCAAUGGCACCCACUGAUUGAAAUGUAAUGUAUCAUUUGUGCAAUGUGCAUUGAUUGGUUUGUUGGGCAUCUCCCUUCCCCUUUCAUUGAUAGGAGGGACAAAUUAAUUUCUUAUUAAAAGAAACGGGGGACAAAUUUCGUGUACAAAAAAAUUAGUAGAGGAAAUUUGAAUAAGACAAACCCCAACCAAAAAGAUAAUUAAAAAAGAAAAAAGAAAAAAGAGCUGCUGAUGAGACUUGAGAGAUUACAGAAGCCCAUAGAAGGCUUUUCUUGGAAAUCCAAAAGAAGUUUUGAACUUUAUGCAGCGUCUUCUAAUUCACAAAGCAAUAAUUCGAUGACGGUUCAGCCUGGAAAAGAUGAGAGUUUUAGGGAUGAAGAUGAGUUUUUAGUGGUGAAAUUAUACCAUUUUGUGUUUAUUGAAGACCCCUAAAGAGGAAGGGUGCAUCUGAUAAAUAGGGGUGAAAAUGAGUUUAAACAAGUUGAGCAUUCUAGUGUUUUAAUUUUUAAACAUGUUUGAUUAUUUUGACAAGUUUGAAAUUGUAUUCAAACUUAGUUUAUUUAUUUCUGGAGUUGAGUUCGAACGAGAUUUUAUUGAACAGUACUCAAGUUAAGCUUGAGUAAUUUGAACUUUUACGUAUAAACUUUACAAAUAUACUAAUCCAACUGAGUUCGACUCGAUUUUAAAAGUUUAUCAAACACAAAUUAUUGUUCAGCUUUGAUUUGAUUAGUUGCGAAACAAACUCGAACGAACUCUUAGCGAGCCAAAUUCAAUUUGGGUAUUAAGUAGUUUGAUUCAUCUUUCAACCAUAUUGAUAAAACUGAAAGCUGAAAGUUGAAAGCUGAAAUCUAAAAUCUGAUAUUUAAAUCUAUUAAAUUAUUAAAUUGUUAAAUAUAGAAGCCUUAACAUUUGAGCAUGUUUUAUAUCAAGUGAUAAGUGGAUAGUUUAUCACUUAUUUUUUGAAAUAAUUUUGCCUAGACAAUUCAGAAUUAAUUAAUGAAGAUGUUCUAUUUUUUGUUAUAAAAUAUGUAUAAAUAUAUUAAGAUCUAAACCCAUUAAAUGCAAGCGUUAAAUUCAGUUAUCAAUCACGGACUUUGAGUGUCUAAACACCAAUCCUUCAUGCAUGUUUUUGCUUGCCAACCAUCUUUCCGUAGUUUGCAUACUUCAUAUUUGUCUUUGCCUUUUAUUUGUUUAUACAAGACUAAUCAUAUCCAUGCAAAAAUUUAUUUCAAAAGCAUAAAGGUAGUAAGAAGUAUAUAGAAUAUCCUCAGUUUCUUAAUACUUUCCUCCUGUUCGAUCAUAAUGCAGUCCUUAUACAAGACAAGGAUCCAUAAUUUAUGGUAUGAAAUCUCUUUUCAAAGAUUUCCACUACUUAUUAUAUUCAACAUCACCUAAAGGUGGGCUUCCAAUUGAAUCAAGAAUCAGCACACAAUAAUGCUCUGCAAAUUACUUUAUUCCAGUAAUCAAGUCGGUUCUGUCCUUCCAUGGACUUGCUAACUACAAGGGUUCAUAUGGCCAAAAGCGGUUCAUUGAUUAUGUUCCCUGGAGACUGAUCGGUACAAUAUACUAUAUAGUUUCUAUCUUUCUUGUGGGUCUAUUUUUAUGUGAAGUCUUGUAAUCUUUUCUACAUUAAAUGAAAGAGUAAAAUGGACUUACGUAAAGAAAACCAGCAAAAAAUGUGGAAAAGGAAAAUUGAGAGGGAGAAAAUACAAAGAAGAAUGAAUGUGACUACAUGGUGAUAUAGCAUUAGCUAUUUCAUAGUUGAUCAUAAUUAAUGUUAUCAAACUACAUGAUAUAUAUAUAUAUAUAUAUAUAUAUAUAUAUAAAACUUUACAUUCUAAGUUAACUAACAUUAAUUAUCUCAACAUGCUCUACGAUAUAUUAAAUAUUCAUUUCCAUUUAGCCUCUUAAAUUUCUUUAAAAUUGCUGAAAUAAAUUGAUCUUCUACACAGUCGUCUUUUUAUCCCUCUUGAAUUUCUUUGAGAUCAUUGGAAUAAAUUGAGUCUGUAUAUAGUCGGCUUUUGUGACUCUCUCUUGUAUGGACUAUAGAGUACUCCUUUUUUUUUUUUUUUGUUUAUUGCCUUUUGAGAUAAUUGCACAAUUACUUACUCAUUUAAUUUCAAUUUAAAAAAAUUGUAAAAAUCUUUGAGAAAAUUAUAUGAUCUUGAUCCAGUCAUGAAUCGGUCUUGUAAUUGGGUAACCAAUUCUUUGCAGCACAGAGGAAUGAAUCCUUCUCGGUUUUCUUUAUGGCUUUUUUUUUUUUUUCCGGAUUUUGCGUGAUUUCUUAGUCCCUUAGGAUAUUGAAUUAAUUAUUGCAAUUCUAUUUUCCAGCCGGUGCACAAUCGCAGCAAGCACAUGGUUGUAGUUGAACGGCCGACCGGCGUUCUUGAUUUUCCGACCACGGCUGCUGUAAAUUUUGUUCAGAAUUGUGUCUCUUAUUUAACUUACUGUUCCUUUGUACCUUCCUUUUGGUAUAUUAAAUCAACGAUCAAAAAUAGAAAUUUCUAUAUUAUUAUUACAGUAUUUUAGUCAAAUUAAGAUUUCAGUCAUGAAUCAGUAUUUUAUUAAAAAAAUUAUUAUGAUGGUAAGACUUAUUUACUAAGCCAUCGAGUCUAUAAAUACAUGAAAUCUUAUUAUGUGUGAUUAAUGAUAUAUUACUAAUAUUAUUGGUAGAAGAGUAAAGGAUUACGAGUCUAGUUAUUAUAUGUGGUGUGAUUAAUGAUAUAUUAUUAAUAUUUAUUUCUCUUCCUUCCACGCAGACACACACACAUAUAUAUAUAUAUAUUUAUUUAUUUAUUUAUGUGUGUAAAUGACCUUACCAUGGGUAGAAUUUUUUGGAUUCUAGACCGUCAAUUGUAUCAUAGUCGAACUGUGAAAGUUUUUUUUUUUUUUGAAGAUCCUCUAAAACAUUAGACUGCAUUUCUUUUGAACUUAAUCUAGAAGAAGAUAGCUGGCCAUCAAUUCUUGGUUGGAAGUUGAGCUAGCACUUAAAUCCUCAUGAUUUGCGUCAUUGAUGUUAUUUGACUGACUAAUCUUCCUUAAUCUUCAUAGAUAAAAAAUAAUUAAAAAAAAAAGUAACAAAUCAAACAAGGUGUGAGGUGUCUAGUUCAUGCAUAUAUAUUGUUCAUCCAUGUCUCUAUUAAAUUAUUCCCCAUGCCUGUUCUCUAGUGGGCCUUAAUUACUUCCCUAACCAAAAUCCCUCAGAUCCUAGGCUAAAACUCCAUUCAAUUUUUUGGCCUAUAAAAACUGGCCUCAAACUUUGCUAGCAUUUGUCAUUUUCCAAGAAAGUGCAAAAAUUUCACAAUGUCAAAAGUAUUUCUCUUCAGUUUUAGCUGCUUAUUUAUGCUCCUCAAUGUUGUGGCCUCUGCAAAAUUUAGUGAACUCUUCGACAUUAUAUGGGCACCUGACCACAUUACCACUCAAGGAGACGGUGUCGUAUUAACUCUUGACAAAGAAUCUGGUACUCUGCAGAUCAUUCUUCACCACUCUUUUCUAACUUUUGUGGCUAAUCUGGUAAUGUGUAGUUUUUUCCAUGCAAUUAUUUCACUUGGGAGAGCUUGGUAUCGUAGGUUGUGGUUUCAUGUCCAAGAACAAAUAUCUGUUUGGGAAAAUGAGUGCACAAAUCAAACUAGUUCAAGGUGAUUCAGCCGGAACUGUCACAGCCUUCUACGUAAGUACAUUAAUUUGUCAAUCAUAUUCAUUAGCAUUUCUGACUAUGGUAGUUAUUGAUAAGCAUGCAAAAAAGCUUCUAUAUAUGGUAUUGCUUUCAUACCACCAAUUUUCUCUUUUUACAGUGGCUUGCAUCCACGUCCGUUAGUGUAUAUACUGCGUAUAUAAGAUUAAUCUUUUUUUUAAUAUAUCAUGAUUUUCGGAUAAACAUUAUUGUGUAAGAUAAAUUUUCGUACUGUUUCUUCUUAGUAUUGCAGUCAAAUUUUCUUUUAUCUGCAGACAAUGAAUGAAUUGUUCGUGAUUAACUAUGAAUUGAUUGAAAAUUCAUGCAGUUGUCAUCAGAUGGGUCAGAUCAUGACGAGUUAGACUUUGAAUUUCUAGGCAAUGUUUCAGGAGAACCUUACCUUGUACAAACAAAUGUAAUCUUGAAUGGCAUUGGAGACAGAGAGCAAAGGCAUGGUCUAUGGUUUGAUCCCACCACCGACUUUCACAACUAUUCCUUCCUCUGGAAUCACCGUUUUAUAAUGUAAUUAUCAUACUAUUUUGAAACCCUUUUUUUUUCUUCUUCCAUUUUGCAACCCUACUUUCUUUGCUUUGGAUUGUGAUUUUUCGCUAAAAAAAAAUUUAUGUUUCCGUAAACACAUUUUUCAACCACAUUUUUAUCUCACAUAUAUCAAAUUGGUACAGCACAUUUUUUUUUUACAAAAACUCUUAAAAAUAGCAAUCCAAACAGAUACGUUGUAAAACCAUGGUUGGAUUAAUUUGGUUGAUUAGUAAAAAUGACUAAUUUAACAAUUGUGAUAAUGUAAAGCAAAUUUUCCCAAUUGUAAUGCCAAAAUUUACUAGAUUUCAAGUUGAUGAAGUCCCUCUAAGGGUGUUUGAAAAGAAAGAAGAAAUUGGCAUACCAUUUCCAACAUUUCGACCAAUGGAAGUCCACGGAUCAUUGUGAAUGGUGAAGAUUGGGCUACACAAGGGGGAAGAGUGAAGACCAAUUGGAGCCAUGCUCCAUUUGUUGGAACAUUUGGAUCAUUUGAGAUUGAUGGAUGUGCUAUACCAUCUAGGACAGAUUUUCCAACAGCUAAAUGUAGCAAGCCAGGGCAAUUUUGGUGGGAUAGAUCUGGCAAUAAAAAGCUGGACAAGGAUCAAAGACGUCAACUGAACAUUGUUCAAGAAAAGUAUUUGAUCUAUGAUUAUUGUAAAGAUACAGCUCGAUUCACUCAAUUGCCAAAAGAAUGCCAGAACUAGUUUCAAUAAGUUACAUCAAAGAAAAUUCUGUAAAGGUAAAAUAAAACAGCUCUUGUAUUUGCGAGGUCUGCCAAGAAGCUGUGUGUGUAUGUGUGCUUAAUUUUUUUUUAAAAAAAUCGAACUUUUGAUGUGCUUACAUUUUUAUCUGUGGCUUUUGAUGUAACAAUUCAUUCAUAAUAAAGUGGGAUUCUACGCCUUUUUGUGAAAUUAUCCCCAUGAAUGAAGGCAAAAAAAUUAUUGGGUAUAUUUAUUCCUAUAACCGAAUUCCCAAAAGAGAAAAAGACUGAUAGAGGAAACAAAUUGGGAAGCUCAAAUAAGGGAGUAGUUGGGCAGGGCUGCAACUCCAAAUCAUGGUCACUGCUAAGUUGCUUUUCAACUUUCCACAACUCUUGUCAUCUUAGUGGGUUUUUUUGCCUAAUUUUUCUUUUAUAAGUUUUUUAAUAAUUUUAAAAACAGUAACUUCAAAAAAAAUUUCAAAAUUUUUAAAUUACACAUUUCAAAAUAUUCAAAAACACAAAAAAAAAAAAAUUCUCUUCUUUCUUUUCUUGUUCUUCCUCCCCCCACCACCAUCCCUACCGCCACCAUCUCUUCCGACGCCAGCGCCAACACACGGCACCAACAAAGAGAAGCUUUUAUUUUCCCCUCCUCCUUCCCUCUCUUGCCCCCUCUGUCCCCCUCCUCCAAUCGCGUGACUAGAUCACGGGCCACAAUCUAGUUGCAUGACCGGGAGAGAGGGAGGGUCGCGGGGGAGGGAGGGAAGAGGGAAAAGAGAAAGAAAGAGAGAAGAAAGCAAAAAAUAAUUUAAAAAAAUUGCAGUGGUUGCCGUCACCGAUCGCCUGCCGGGGGCGAGUGGUGAUGUGAGGGAGAAGAAGAGGAGAGGAAAGAAAAGGAAAAGAAAAAAAAAGUUUUACAUUUUAAAAAUUUUUCUACAAUUUUUACAAUAAAUUAUAGUAAAGUUUUAAAUAAACAUCCGAAAAACUCAUUUGCUAUUAUUUAGAAUAAUUCUUUCCAUAAUUAUAUUCAUAUUGUAAUAUAUGUGAGAAAAAAAAAAAUAUAACUAUGAUGUAAGUAAAAUAAUAUUUGAAAAAAUUUGUAUUUUGUAUCUACAUUGAAUUUUAAGUUUGAUUGGAAUUUGGUUGAAUUGAUAUACUAUUUAAAAUUUAUAUAUAAAAAGUUCAAAUUACUAAGAGCUCUUCUUCAACUCCAUAAAUAAACAAGUAAAAAUUUGACCACGAUUCUCAACUUGUCGAAAUAAACAAACAUAGUUAAAUUAAAUAGUGGUUUAGAGUUUGAAAUUAGUUAAACUCGUUUAUACCCUAUUGGACAUAUUUCUCCCCUUGUUGAUGGAGGACCAAAUUUAGUUACCCCGAAAAAAAAAGGGCGCAAGACAAACCGCUAGGCCUUCCCCCACCAGGGAAAAAAUGAAAAAAGAAAAACCAAAAAAGGAAAACGUUGAGGUGCAGAAGGGCUGAAGAGAGCAAAGCAACGCAAACACUUAUCUUUAUGCCUAAUUCCCUGCAGCAUUUUUUCUAUGCUUCUGCUAUGUCUGGUAUAGUUAUCUCCUCGACUUCUCAAAAGCCUAGAUAUUUUUUUCAUACUUCCAAGAUUUCAGCAGCUGCUACUUCAUAUUUGAAAAGUAGGAACAGGGCAUUUCCUUUUUUGCCUUUAUCUGGGUGCAAAUUUGAGUUAGGAUGGAAAAGAAAUCGACCCUUUUCUUGGGAAUGCAAAAGAAGUUUCGAGAUUUGUGCAUUGUCUUCUAAUUCACAAGGCAAUAAUUGGGUAAGGGUUCAGCCCGAAAAAGAUGAGAACUUUAGGGAAGAAGAUAUGUUUGUAGUGGUGAAUUUCUAUCAUUUUGUGUUUAUUGAAGACCCUCAAGAGGAAGUGUCAAAGCACCUAUCCUUCAUGCAGGUUUUUGCUUGCCAAUUAUCUUUUUCUUAAAUUGGAAGUAAAUUGAUUUUCUGAAGUUGGUGAUUAGAAUGGUUAAUGGGGACAUGAAUGUCUAAUUAUGUGAAUGCUUGUGGCUCUGUGGAACUAAUGUGAAUUUAGUUUGUGAUAUUUAGGUUCUUUUCUGCAAACUUGAGAUUUAGAUGUUGGUUUUUUUUUAAUGUAGCCUCUGAAGUAUGUGGUGUGUUUUCACUCACAAGUAGAAUUGCUGUUUUGAUUGCUCCUUGUUCUGGGAGGUAUUGAUUGAAAGCUAUACAUUCAGCUACUUUUGGAGAGAGCAAGGAUCAUAAAAGCCCUUGAAAUGUCUCAUUCCAUUUUUAUUUAAGCGAAAACUGGAAUCUAGGCAAGUGGUGUCAUUGUAUUUCAAAUCAGUAAGAACUAGAGGGCAAUGUAUCUUCAUCAACCGUGGAAUGUAAUUUUAUCAAUUUUAUCUUCUGUUCUCUUGAUUAUAAUCAAGUAUGAAUAUCUUAGUCAAUUAAGUAACUAUUGGUCUUUGCACAUCAUUAAUCGAUUCAGGGUCGUAAUAUACACGGACGAAUAUACCUGAACGAACAAGGAAUUAAUGCGCAGGUAUGCUUUAUUAUCUUGGCAUUUCAUUCUUAGCGAGCCUCUUGGACUUCACUUAAUCCCACGGGGGCCCCAGUCUUUCAUUCUUUCUCCUAUAUUCUGCCCUGAGACUCCAAUUAUGCAGUACAGUGGACCAGCCAAAGAUGCUCUUGCAUAUGCUAAAUGGGUAAAAGAGGACCAUAGAUUUGCAGGUGUACUAGUUCAGAUCUCACCAGUUUCAAAUGGCCAUGCCUUUCCCAGAUUAAGGCUUCGUUAUAAGCCUUCACUUGUUCAGGCAAGUUAGAUUUUAUGUUUCCGCCCUGUUCACCUUGUUUUUCUGUUCUUCUAAUAUCUUUGAAGUUUUUUCCUUUUAUCUUUUGUGUUAUAUUCUUUUUUGCAUUCUGUUUUUCUCGUAAUGAUAAACUACAAUUGCAAUUCAGUGCAUUAAACCUCUUUUUUGAUAUGCUAUCUUUUCUGCUUACAUUCGACUAGUGCUUUUCACUAGAAAAACAAAUCCUUUUAGUGAAAGUAGACCUUGAAAUAGUAAAUUCUUGAAUUGGACUUUGACUGUUUAGCCAUAUGAGCUGAUAGAAUUCUGCUUAUGAGUUUCUUAAAAUUUGACUGAUUCCAUUGGUCAGAAGAAUUGACUUUUCUUAAAGUUUGGCAUCUUUUAUUCUUGUGUCCAGGAUAGUGCCGGAUUGAUUAGUAGGUUGAAAUAGUUAACCAUUCAUUCCUUUCCCACGAUAAUAGAACAUGAAAUAGAAAUAACGCUUUUUCAUGUCACAUGUUGUUAAUAGGUGUUGUCUUUAUGCUCAUACAUGAGGUGUUGGCUACUUUUUAGCUGUUGACAGCCUUGCUGACAGCUACAUUGGUUUCAUGUGUUUUUCCCAUGAAGCUCCCAAUUGUUUUCAAGGGGCGAGUUCCAAUCUUGUUCACUGAUCACUUCCUUAAAUCAUGAUCAUUGUGGAAUCUUUUGUUGCAAUUCACUGUGGCAGAGUUGAAUAUUUUUUCAGAUGCUUGAUUUUGUAGACAUUAAAGUUACAAAUCAUAGUGGGUUUGUUUGGAUAGGAGGUUAUUUGAAAUAUUUAUUUAGCAAUUUUGUCCCCUUCAGUUACAUUAGGCUUUAGCUUUUCAUAUCGUGUUCCAAGAUUGUCUGACCUCAAAAAAUUUUAAAUUGCUCGAGUAUAUCCGUGACACCAAUUACAGGUGAUUUCAGAAAUGUGUUACAUAAUUCCACUGUUUUUUUUUUAAUUUUAUAUGCACUUGUUUCUAGUUACUCUCUUUACAGCUGUCUAUUAGUCACACUUCAACCACAGUCUUUUCUUCAUUUCCUGUAUCGAUAAAAGAACUAGUUUCUAAAGCCUAAAAAGGAAGUUCCUGAAGCAACUUUUUCCACCAUGAUUAAAGGGAUUUCAAGUAUAGAAAUCACAAAGGUCAUUAGGGUGGACUGUCAAACCCAGUUCCCUUUCAAAAUAUUCUUACUUGAAGUUCUGUCUUGAAAAAGUUAGUCCCAGUUAUAUUGUUAAGUAAAACAUGGUUUAAGCGUGUCUAUGAGGUUGUUAUAUUAAUUUGCAGUUUCUACAAUGAAUGUGGUCCGUGCUUGUCAUGUUUCCUGCCUUAUAAAUCUGAAUGCAUAUUACUCAUUUGUGAAGUUUUAUCUACAGUUGGAAGGAGGAAUUUCACAUCUUCCUUUGCUUGAGCCCUCAAUUCGAGCUAUACCCCUCACACCAUCCCAGUGGCGAAAUAGAUUAGAGGCAUUAAAUAAGGUUAAUGAUUGUUCCAAUGGAGAUCUCAAUGGCAACUGUAUUCUGCUUGAUGUGAGAAAUGGUAUGUAUUGCCAUCAGAAGUUUACUUUUUUGUGGAAAUGACCUAAUGUGUAUUGUAUUCUAGUAGAAUGGACUGUUUCUUGUAUUUCCACCACUCUAUUUAACGUGUCACCUAUCUGGCAUGGUCACAAGUUUAGGAUGAUAAGUUGGCCCUGAGCUCUUGGAAUUACUUCGUCAAUUGGUACAAAAUCAGCUUUAUAAUUGUUGGUAUUGGUACCCCUUCCACAAAGAGAAAUCAAUUUCAAAUUUGAGGAAAAAUCACCUUGAAAAUUUUCACUUGAAGGCCAGUAGAGCAGCCAAAUUAGCCAGAAAAAUAAGAACACAAAUCGAUUGAAAAAGGGUACUCAUAGGCAAACACAGAACUGAUGAAGAAAGCAGGAAGAGAAGGAGAAAGGAAGGAAGGGGGAGAAGAUUGAAGUUUGGUGAAAAGUAAAGGAGUUGAAGGCUGAGUUUUCUUGAAGAAGUGCUGAGAUUAGUUUUGGUGAAGGUUAGAAUAAAUAAACAUUGGUCUCAGAUAACUGAAAUUGACUCUCAAGAAGUCGACUUCUACAUUUUCUGAAACUUAUUAAGAGCAACAAUUUUAAUUUUUAAUGAAAAAGACUAUAUGCGGGGAGAUAACCCAUAACAUGAGGGGGCUAAAUGAUCGUUGAAGAUCAUGACCAAAUUGUUGACUAGGCUGGUAUGGGAUAUCUCGUUGAAGGAAAUUGACCUGCAUAGAUAGACAACUUAGUCAUCAAACACUAGCAGAGAGUGGACAGCUUCAUUAGGGAUUUUCAGACUAGAAUGAUCGCAGCAAGCAUUGUGCUUUUUCUGGAAUAAAAGAUGCUUUCUGGGAAUGUAAGCUCAUGUUGAUGUAGUUUCUUUCUUUCCACUAAGCUCUGAUCUUGAAUCUUGAGAAUGAGAAGUUGUUAAACAGAGUGAUAUGGAACUCGUACAGACUUGUAGCUCGAUGUAAAUAAAUCUUUUUUCCAGUUAUCUUCUGCAACCAAAUAAGGAUUAUACUUUACCUUCUCCUCGAAAUGCACUUCUAUUUAGUUAUGGUUGUCAGUUUCCUUCUCAUGUCUGCAACAGUUGCAUCCGUAUCUGAUCUAGCUCUUCUUAUUAGCAUUACUUUGAUUUGCAUCUCCUGCUCAUUUUUGUUUGCGAUAUACUUGUAAUCAGGUUAUGAAUGGGACGUUGGCCAUUUUCAAGGGGCUCCACGGCCGGAUGUGGAUUGCUUUAGAAGCACUUCUUUUGGAUUGUCUGACUCAAUGGUGUAACAUUACAUUACCUUUUAUUGGAUCUAGAUUAGUUUUCUACCCAGUUUUUCGUGUAAUAUCUCUUGCAGUGUUUACCUUUUUGUUAAUAAGAGGUCUCAACUUUUAACUGAUCAAAUACCAGAUUUCAUAAAAAUGUCUUGUAUAUUAUAUUUAGUAUUUUCGUCCAUGGACUGGUAAACUAAGUGGGUAGUAUUCUUCUAGGUUAAUCAAUGACAAUGUAACAGAAUACAAUUACUUCCCUUGGCUGCCUUUUCCUCUCUCUCCAUUCUUCCUGGAUUGUUGAGGGCUAGUGACAAAUGCCUUGUGUCCCCCGCAUUUUCAGGAAUGGUACACUAGUUACUGCAAAACAUGCCAUGGUUAUGUUUAUCUUCUUCCCUUCGGAAGUUCCUUAUCUGAUUCCUAUAUUUCUUUUUUCUUUUUUUUUCCUGUUGCUGUAUUUGUUAAAUUUGUUGACCACUGUUUGCCUUUUAUUGGAUAAAGUUUUAUUUUUCUUUUGCAGUUGCAUUUUGUUUCUUUUUGCAUAUUUCUAACACGAAAAUCUUCUGUUUUGUUGACGGUUGUGUAUCAGGUCAGUGAAUCAGAUCCUUUAGCUGCCAUAGACAAAGAGAAAACAGAUGUAUUAAUGUAUUGCACUGGAGGUAUUCGCUGUGAUGUAUACUCUGCAAUCCUUAGGUAGACAACAUAUAUUUUCAUAUGCUUUCUACUCUCUCUUUGCAAUUGUGUGCAUUCCUGUGUUCUUACCUAUAUCCCCACCCUACAGGGUUCAUAACUACUCUAUUACAGGACUUUGCUUCAGGAAAGGAAUUUUGAUACUAAACAGGACGAGCAUACAUCUUAUAAUGAAUGAGGAAUCUAUUGUUUAUUUCUUUGUUAAAUUGUAUAGUUACAUGUAUAAGCGGACCCAAACCAUCAAAAAUCAUGUGUAACAUACAGAAAUGUUCCUAAAGGUCCAAUGUGAAUGAGAUGAUACUUAAAAUAAAUAAGAACUAAGAAGAGAGCAAAGAUUUAGUCUAACUUAGAAGAGAGCAAAGAACAAUAGUCACCACGAGUUUUACAGGUCAAUAUUGUAGGGGAACAUCAUAUUAAGAAUGUUUUUCCUAUCACUCUCCAUUUACAUAAUGAUGAUUAUGUGCCAUGUGCCCAUAUCUUCUCUGCUUCACAAGUAAUUACUUAUUCCACAUAUAACUAAUGAGAUUAGGAAGAGAAGAAAAUUCAAGUUUUUUAGUUUUUGGAAAUAAUAGAAUCGAAUUGUGUUAUUGGUAUUCCGCUUUUGUCUCUGUAUUUAUAUUAAGUAAAAUGUGGGCCACACAUGCCCACUCUUUACCCUUCACAUGGAGGAUGAAUAGAUCAUUACCUUAAGGAUACCUUGUCGAAUUAUUACUUCUCUAAAAGCUUAGGCUGUUGAGAGCAGACUAUGAAAAUCAUUUGACGAACUUAGAGGUCUUUUAUUUAUUUGCAGAGGACGAGGUUUCAAAAGAUUAUAUACAUUGAUGGGAGGGAUUUCUCAUUAUCUCAAGAGUGAAGGUUCUGCUGGAUGGGUUGGAAAUCUCUUUGUUUUUGAUGCUCGUCUUGCUCUUCCUCCUCCUGUAUUCAAGCCUGAAGUUAAAACUGAAGCUUGCAAAACACAAGCUUUCCUGGAUAACUCAUUUGCCAAAUGCUAUAUAUGUGGUUCAAAAGUGUCGGAAUUGAGACAUCGUAAUUGUGCAAACCUUGAUUGUAACCUCCUUUUCCUGUAAGUUCCAUUUCUUCAUUGCUCAAGGAUAAUCUAAAGAAUUAUGAUAAUUUUUUAUCUCUUGACAAAUUCAGAAUUAGAAAGAUUUGUUUGAUGAACCUUUUCUGUUAAUGAUCAGCGUGGUUAAAAGGUGUCCAUAAAUACUUUAUUUUGUAAAAUAUGUUUGCAAGCUUACCUUUUAAUGUAUUGUCAUUUGAUGAAUUGGUGUCUUUUGUUGAUGCAAUAAUUGUUCUUCAUCAAGUGCGAGUAAAAUUUCUUUUACAAUUGGUUCAAGAUAGGUGAAUGAAGGUGCAAGUUGAAUUAAAAACACACAUUGUACAGGCAUUGAAUCUAGAGGUAGUUUACAGUAUUGGGAAGCGGAAAUCCAAUGGAUCAUUCUCAGCAUGCAAACUGAAAAAUCCAUUGUCAAAUCAUCUUGCAAUGUGAUAACCAAAGUGGAGUGAGGUAAUUGUCCUGAAUGCUGAUAGGUCUGAGGAGAAGAAAACAUAUGUUAUAGACGUUAGCAUGAUUCCAGCUUAUCAGAAGAAUUUCAUGCAUCUGCAUAGUGUUGUUCUUAGGUGUUUUUCUUCAAACCCGAAGUUUGUUGUAUCUGCCUGCAUAUACGUCAUUAGCUGUUUACCAUACUGCACUUGGUGUUUCAGAUGCUGCAUGGCCUGUGUGAACCAGUCAAGAGGAUGCUGCUGUUUGAAAUGCACAUCUGCCGCUAGACUUAGACCAGUACUGCCUGGGCAUCAAAGAUACCAAAAAUGGCAUCAUUAUAGAGAAGUGGAGUUGGAAAGAAGAUGAAGACUUGAUCGCCCUCUAGCUCACAGAAAUUUUCAACUUGGUUCUUCUUCAGCGAUGCAAUACCAACCGUUUUUUAUUGUGGAGAUUUGUUCUGGAGUACAAAAUCAUGUCAAAGCAUGUCUGGCAGAGUGAGAGAGCUGUUGGUUGAUUAGAAGACCCACAGCAUGGCAUUUUGUACAAAAAAAUUCCAAUACUAGCGCUUUUGUUCUCAACCACCUGUUCUUGUAAAUGAUUAGAAUUUUGUUUUUCUGGCUUUGAGCUAUGAAAAUGAGUUUAGCUGGAUGUAAACAAGUACUGCAGUCACUGAAUAAUGAAAGUUUUACCUUUUCUGAAAAUCCAAUGGGAUGAUCACCAUGGAUAUCUAACUAUUCUAAAAAUUGCUUUCAAAUAAGUUGAAGAGAUGGAUUAUAUUCUUUUGACCAGUCUAGUGUCUUAGAAUAGUUCAGGCCACUUGAGUUCAAUGGUGGAAUGUACUGCCAACUCAAGCCUCAGAGCCUGUUGAAUUUUCUUGUAGCUUGUAUGGAAACAGUGGAAGUUGAAUGAUAUGUUAUCAAGCAUACAUACAUAUCAAGUGCUUUUGUAUCAUAUGCAUGGAUAAUUUUGUUCAUGGUCUCUUCCAAGCAUGUUACUUUUAAGGAAACAUAAUUAAACGUUGAAGCCGUGGUUUUUUUUUUUUUUUUCUUUUUUUUUUUUGUCUUUUGGGUUGAAAUACAAGCAGAAGAUGUUUGUAUAUGCUAUACUUUUUUACUUCUAGUAGAUGUAAUUUUGGCCUAUAACUUACAAGCCAAGAAGAUAAAAUAGCGGUCAGUACCCUACAACUCCCCCAAAAAGAAAACACAAAUUUUUAUGGAUUAAUCUUUCUCACAUUGACAGUAUAGUAUAUACACUGUUAGCGUUGGAUGAAUAACAACUAUGUAAAAUUUAAAUUUAAAAUUUAACUUUUACACACAUGUUAUGAAUCAAACGGUAAUAGUGUAUAUACUGUCAGUAUAUAUAAGAUUUACUCAAUUUUUAUUUGAUGAGGAAAAAAUUGUGAGAAACCCAAUUUGUAAUAAGUGAAACAUGGAGAAUAAUCAAAAGUCUCUCUCUCUUCAUUGAGAGCCUUUCUCUCUCUUCAUUGAGAGCUGCUCUCCCUUUUGGUGGGAGCGUCUAAAAGUUCUAACCUUUUCAAACUUUCAAACUUCAAAUCCCAAAACUUCAAACUUCUAAACUUCAAUGUCCAAAACAAAACAUAAAUCUAAACCAACCUCAUAUUCCUAAUUAAUACGCAGCGAGUUGGAAUAGGCAAGAACUCAAUACUACGAGAUUGAGGAUACUUCUGGGUCCCCAGUGUUGCAACUGGCUCAAAAGAAGAUAAAGACACAAGAGGGGUCCAGAUGUGCAUUUGGCUUCUGAUGAGUUGUGUAAGCUUUAGUUUUAUAGGCUCUAACAGGAUGGAUCCGUCUUACCUUGCUUUUUAGAUUUUCAUGUGCAUUAAGCAUUCUGCCUUUUCUUUUUACUUUGUUUCACUUCACUGUUAGGCUCUGGUAGUUUUGUUUUUCUGCUUUUGUAUACAGCUCCAGUUAGAGACUUAGUGCUUGUCGGAUUUGGUUGGUGGAAUACCAAGGAUCUCUGGGUGGAGUCAUGGCUGAGGACUUAGCUGAAAUUUUAGGGAAGUUUGCGCUUUCCAGCAAGGAACUAGGAGGGGCUGACUUGGACAGAACUGAAAUUAACUUAGGGGUAAAAGAAUGUCAGUUGAGCCUUCUGGGGAAAUUUAAAGGAGAAAAAAUAGUCAACUACACUGGUGUGAAGAGCUUUGUUACAUCAACUUGGAGUUAUCCAAAAGACCUCAAAGUUGUUGAACUAUGCCCAAUUUCUUUCAGUUCUUUAUUCGGGGGGAGCAGGAAAAGGAAAGGAUAGUAGAGGGGGGCCAUGGAUUAUGGAUAGUCAGAUUCUAGUCUUGAACAGGUGGUUUGAAGGUAUUGAAGAGGAUGAAAGUGCUUUUAAAAAGGCCUCCCUAUGGGUUCAAGUCUGGAAUCUUUCGAUACAUUAGAUGUCUAAGGAGGUAGGAAGAAAAAUUGGAGUAGUAUUCAAUGGUGUGAAAGAGGUAAUCAUCCCUCAGACGGGUAGCAAAGAAGGAAGGCAUAUUAAGCUGCUGGUGGUAGCUAAUAUAUCCCAACCCUUACUAAGGGGAUCAAUAGUUAAGGUGGAAGGUUCUACAAAAUGGGUAAGCUUCAAGUACAAGAGGUGUCCAGAUUUCUGUUACAAUUGUGGAAUUGUAGGGCAUAGUGAGAGAAACUGCAAGAGACUGGUCCUUGUAGAUAGAGGGCAUUUAGAAAAUCAGUAUGGUACGUGGAUGAGAGCUAGAAAUGAUAAUAGAAGAAACUCACCUCAAAAAGAACAACUGGUCAGGAGAGCACCCAGUGAUAAGCAUCACUGGAGGUUACAUAAUGGGAACUGGGUUGAAGUGGUAAAACAAAAACAACUGGACCCUGGUCAGGGCAGCAGUGUACCAUAUAUAAAUCAAGGGGGUGCAUUAAGCAAUGCAGUGGAGUUACAGAAUCAGGUUCUCAGAAAAGAGAAAGAGGAAAGUGUUAUGAAUAGCAAUCCAAGUUCAGCCUCGAAGGCUAUGGUAAAUAGUCAGGUAAAGGAAGCAACCAUUGUAGCAUCUCUAGACAAGCUGAACAUGGAGUCUGAGAAGGCAGAGGGAAGGGCUUUGAGGGAGCUCUCUGCCAGGGAAGAGGCCCCCGCCAAGUUGGAAAUGAAGGAGUACUCCCAAGAAGUGAGCCAGACAGAUGUAGAGAUUAGUGAGCAGGAAUUGGCUAAAGUAAUAGAGAACUAGGAGGAAGGAGGAACAACUGAGAAUAUGCCAGGUGAGGUAACUUUUAUGGACCUAAUGGUUGAGGACAAAAAGAAGGAAGCUGUUACAAGACAAAAUAGGAGAUUGAAGAAACAACUUUAGAUCUCCUAACUAAGAAGAAGAACACCUCUGAAGGAGCAUUGCACCAAUACCAAAGACUCAGGAGUACAAGGUAAAAGGAAGUUUCAAUUAUGUGAUGAGGAAAUGGAAGAUGCAGAAGGCAAGGAGAUAGGGGGUAAAGAAACAAAGGGUGUCUUGAGGUUUGCUAUAAUGUUCAGGCACAAGAGGGGAUGGGACUAGCCUGACUCUGGGCCCCCACAACCUCAAUGAAGAUUCUGGUGUGAAAUUGCCAAGUGUUGCAGACUUGGAAGCAUCAGGACAAUUGCAUUUGAGGGAGGUUUCCAACCUCUUCUCCCUAAGUAUGCUGUUUGAGCGAAAUUAAAAAUAGGAGUAGAUAUAUGGAGCGAGUGAGAGAGAAGUUGAAUUUCGAGAGUAGUUGUGUUUGGAAUCAAUGAAUAGAUCUAGGGGCAUGGCUCUGAUGUGAAAAGAUGAAGUAAAAAUUAAAGAGAUAAUUAAAAUGGCCUUUACUAUAGAAGCUCAUGUGGAAGACAGGGAGACAAAGACAACAUGGUGGUUCAUUGGUAUAUACGCAAGCUGUGACAAUCUGAUCAGGAAGAGUUAGUGGAAGGUUGUGAAAGAUAGGAAAAAAAUAUAUGGGGAGAACAAUGGAUAAUCAGGCGGGGACUUUAAUGACUUCAUGUCAAAUGAGGAGAAGUGGGGAGGUAGAUGGAGAGAAGAGAAGAGUUUCACAGAUUUUAACAACUUUAUAAAUGAUAACCAAUUGAUUGACAUUGGUUUUUGAGGGGAACCUCUGGACGUGGAGUAACAAUUGGAGGAUGUAGGAGAAGUCAGAGAAAGACUAAACAGAGGCCUGUGUAGUAUAGACUGGUCACUUGUUUUUGAUAAAGCCAAAUGCAAACAUGUUGACACAUUUGCAUCUAACCAUAGCAUGUUAAUGAUAGAUACUAGGAAGAGGAAAAGAAGAUUUUAUUUUGACAAAAGAUGGCUAAAAGAGAAGGGAUCCAGGAUGUGAUCAGAAAUGCAUGGGAAAAAGAUUGUGAGGGAUCAAGAAUGUUUAGGGUCAAAUGCAAAAUCAGAAACUGCAGAAUUGAGUUAUUAAAGUGGAAAAUAACUCCAACUGUAAUGCUAAAAAGAAGAUCAUUCAAAUCAAAAGUCAGUUGGAGAAGCUUCAGUUAGCACUCAUUAUGGCACCAGGAAAGAGACAGUGAGUCUGAAAGAGCAGUUGAAAGAGGCUUACAAGAAGAAGGAACUGUAUUGGCACCAAAAAGCUAGACUAAACUGGAUAAAGAAGGGGAUAAGAAUACUAAAUUCUUUCAUGCUCAAGUCAAAGGAAGGAGGAGGAGAAACAGAAUGUUGAAUCUGCCAAAGGGAAGAUGGAUCUUGGACUAGAAUGAGCAAGAGUUAGGGGAGGAAGUGGCAAAUUACUACAAGCAGCUCUUCACUAGUAAUUGGAAUGUAGCCCAGAGGAGAUCCUUAGAGGUAUUCCAUCCACCAUUACGGCUAGCAUGAAUGAUCAACUGGCUUAGAGGUGUUGAUGAAGAAGAAAUCAGAACAACAAUUUUCUCUAUGUCUCCUGAUACAGCUCCUGGGAUGGAUGGUAUGACCCCCAUUUUUUUUCAGAAAUUUUGGUUUACUAUUAAACAUGAGGUAGUCCAGCGCUAUCCAGAACUUUUUUCAUUCCAAUUCCAUGCCUAGAAACCCUGAAUCAUACCUUAAUAUCCCUCAUCCAAAAAUUAAAGAUCCUGUCAAUCUGAAGCAUUAUAGCCUAUUAGCUUGUGUAAUGUGUGCUUUAUAAAGUGAUAUCCAAAAUACUGGCUAAUAGGCUUAAAGUUAUGUUAAAUAUCUGUAUUAGUAAAAUCCAAUCUUGCUUUCAUUCCUGGUAGACAGAUCCUAGACAAUGUUAUCUUAGCUCAUGAAUACAUGCAUUUCCUGAAAAAUAAAAGGCAAGGAAAGAGGGAUAUAUGGCUGUUAAGCUAGAUAUGUCUAAAACUUAAGAUAGAGUGGAAUGGCAUUUUUUGAGGGCCAUGAUGCAAAAAAGUUUUAGUAGCAGGUGGAUUAGCUGGAUUAUGAAAUGUGUUGAAUCAGUCUCUUAUUCUUUCAAUAUUAAUCGUGAGGCUAAGGAAUAUAUUGUACCAGAAAGAGAAAUAAGACAGGGUGAUCCUCUCUCACCCUAUCUCUUCCUAUGUGUUUAGAAGGCUUCUCAAAUCUGCUGAAAAGAGCUGAAGAGGAAAAGAAGAUUUAUGACUCAAAAUCAGUAGAAAUGGGCCUAGACUAACACAUUUAUUUUUUGCAGAUGACUCAUUAAUUUCUGUAAAGCAAACACCAAACAAACUGAGGAGUUGAGGAGGAUCCUGGUGGCAUAUGAAAAGAGCUCUGGACAGUUGAUCAAUCUGGAAAAGUCUUCUGUCUUUUCAGCAAAAAUAUGGAUCAUGGUAAAAAGCUAGAAGUAUGCUGCAGACUGGGGAAUAUCCAGAUGGUCAACCAAGGCAAAUACCUGGGGCUACCAAUGGUGAUAACAAGGACAAAGGACCAAAUCUUUGGAUUCAUCAGAGACAACAUUAAAAAGAAUUUUGGAAGCUGGAAGCAGAGAUUGCUAAGUCAAGCAGGAAGGAGGUCUUGUUAAAAGCAAUGACUAUAGCAAUGCCAACUUAUACUAUGUCAUGCUUUAAACUACCUCUGAAACUGUGCAAAGAGAUCAGUGCACUAAUGGCAAGCUACUGGUGGGGAGACACUAAUGGAAAGGAGAAGAUGCAUCAAUGCUCCUGGAAGAGAAUAUCCCAAAACAAGAACCAGGGAGGACUUGGGUUCAAAGACCUGGUCAAUUUUAACAGAGCCUUGCUUGGUAAGCAAAUUUGGAGAUUACUUGUAAAUCCAAACUUGCUUAUCUCCAAGGUUCUGAAAGCAAAAUACUACCCUACUGGCUCCUUCUUUAAUUGCAAGUGUCCACAGAAUGCUUCAUGGAUCUGGCAGAGCCUAAUGGGAGCUAAACAGUUUGUUGAGGAGGGCACCUGGAGGAAAAUUGGAAAUGGUUGUAAGACAGAUAUCUGGGAGGACAAGUGAUAAUUGGAAACAAAGAAGGAAGGCCCUCAACACCCAAACUCCAGAAUGCAAAGUGCAGAAAGUUCAAGACUUAAUCAUUCAGAAGAGGUGGAAUAGAGUGGAAGUGUUCAGAACGUUAAUAGUGAGGAUGCAGAAAGAAUCCUAAGCAUUCCUAUCAGCUUAGCAGGAAAGGAGGACAAUAAUUUCUGGAUACACUCUCCUACAGGGCAGUACAAGUGAGUACAAGAUACAAGGUACGUAUGAAAGAGAAGGAAACACAAGAAAGGGUUGGCUAUAAGGGUGCUGGUCCUAGUACACAUAAUGCAGCAAAACAGAUGUGGUCUUGCCUAUGGAAACUAAACAUCAAACAGAAACUGAAGACCUUCAUGUGGAAAUGCAUCAAUAAUUCUCUCUCAGUCAAGGAAGUAAUCUUUAGUACUAAGAAAGAAGAUCCCAUCUAUAAAGCAUGUGGUGAAGGGUAGAGACGGUGAAACAUAUGUUGUUGAACUGUAGACAGGCUAAGCAGGUAUGCAUAUAGCACCAAUACAAUGGGGUGCUAAGGAUAACAAGGCUGUUUUAAGGCCUGGUGCGACUGAAAUUACAAGAGCUAAAUCUAGGCAGGAUGGUGAAGAACACCUUGGUCUAACAGUUAACAUCUUGUGGCAAGUAUGGAAAAGCAGAUGAGUGAAUUCAACAACAAACAAAGGCAUGCAAUGACAACAAUAAAAAAAGCUCAAGAAGAAUGGAUGGAGUUCUGCGAAGCCUACAAACAGAAGGAGCAAGUGAGCACAGCAGAAACAACUGCUAACAAAUGCCAAGGAUAGAAGAAGAGAAUGCAGAGGUGAUCCAAGUUAAGAUUGCUGCACUAAGCAAACCGAACAGUAAAGAGGUUGGCAUAGGUGUGACUACUAUGACUGAAGGAAAUGUUAUUGUUGCAGCUUGGGCUAUACAUGAAAAAAGCUACAAUUGUCCACAAUUGGACGAGGCUGAGGCUAUCAAGAUAGUUAUGAGUAAAUUAGUUGUCAAAGGCUGGAGAAAAGUCAACAUACAGAGCUGCAACACACCUUCAAAUUAGUGCGACUAAUGCAUCAAAUAUCAAACUGCAUACUCUAGUUGAGGAUAUUCUUAGCUUGAAAGCUUUGUUUCAAAUGUGCUCUUUUGGUGUUAUAUCUAAAAAUAAAAUCAUGUUAAUACUACAGUUGGUGAGUAUGCCUUAGGCAUCAUACAUGAUGAGGAAUGGAUCCUCUGUGCUAUGAGCACUUUUUGUAUAGAAGAGGGGCCUUUGCUCCAAGUGUAAAGAUUAGUUGAUGAUCAAUAUAUUACUAAUAUCAUUUCGAAAAAAAAACAUGGAGAAUAAUGACAUUACCGGUAAACAUUUGGGACCAAAGUUAAAAACUUAACCUUGUUUUAUAGGGUACCAAAUUCAGAUUAUAAAGUAUGUCAAGGACUACUGUAACAAUUUAUCCCAACUUGAACGCGAGAAAGAACAGGAAAAUUUUUCUCUUAGGAUAUAGAAACAGCACGUAUAAACCCCUUCUUGGAGUACAACUUUUGGAGCGGAUGUACAUUUGACAGCCAACUAUCUCCUCUAUAAACGCCGUUCCGGUAGCGAAUCAAUUGCUUCGCAAUCCAGAACCAUUGUGCGACUGUGAGAGAGAGAGAUGUCGGACGCAUACGAGAGUGAAAGGAGGGAGGCUAACAUUGGAGGAGUUCUCGCCACGCGAAGCAAGGAUAUAGAUAAGAAGAAGAAAAAGAAGAAGAACAAGUCCUCGAACGAAGACGACCUCCUGGCCAAGGAUCCAAAUCAAAUCGACCCGUCAGCUACGGGUUCGGUUCGGGUGCGGGAGAGAUUUACACCAUCGACGCGGCGAAGAAGAUGAAGUACGAUGAAUUGUUCCCAGUUGAGCUAAGAAGUUCGGGUACGACCCGACUGCUAAAUCCAAAUCCGUUGAAGAAGCCCUUGAUGACCGCACCAAGAAAAAAGCUGACCGUUACUGUAAAUAGUUGAAUUAUUACUACAACAUUUAAACCCUAGUUCCUAUUUGAUUAUAUUUUGGGUUUCUUUUUUUCUUUUUUUAAUCUACCUCCAUACAUAGAGCUGUUAAUGAAUUGAAGACUAGUAUCUAUGAUUUUCCUGUUUAGUGCUAACUUGAGUAGUAACUGUGUUUUUUUGCCAAAAUUGGAUUAGGAGCCAAAAACACAUUAGAGCUGACAGAAGAAUUUUGUCAAUUAAUUGAAGGGUGACUCCCACCAUACAACUUUUGGAGCUUAAUGCCUAUAUGAUGAGGUUUGUUGGUGAUAAUCAACCAGUUUACCAGUAAUCACCACAUGAACAAGAGCCAUCCCUGAAAUUUUGAAUCUCUGACGGUAAUUUCCCGCCCAACAAUCUUUGAGAUUUUGAUUGCAGCAUGACAAUCCGGGCAUGCUCGCAAAUUCUUCAUUAUCAGUAUUGGUGAUCCCUCUGGUGUACUUAUUAAUGCGAAGGCUAUUGCUAACCUUUCACUGUGGUAUUUAAGGGAUUCUAUUUUGAUUUCAUCGGCCUCAUCAUGAAGUGCAACACUUGUGUCUGGUUUAUAACCUUCCUCUUCCAUUCGCUUCCACAAUUCAUUGAUCUUUUCCCGAGUCCCUUUAAUUUUUGGCAUGAAUCAUGUCAUUUGCAGUGAACAUGUGAACUUUGUGCUCAAUUUCAACCCAGCUAUAUGCAGUCACUUUCUUUACUCCUCGUUGCUCAUAGCCUUCUUUACAGUGGCUACAUUUUCCCAAUCUCCUGCUUCCGCAUAGAUGUUGGACAUUGAGACAUAGGCACCACCAUCUCUAAGAAUGCUUAAAUUGAAGAGUUGUUCAGCAGCCCUUUCUGCGAGGUCUUUAUUCUUAUGGAUCCUGCAUGAGUUUAGAAUUGAUGACCAUGUGAUCUCAUCUGGCUCAAAUGGCAUGUCAGCAAUAACUUUCUCUGCUUCACUAAACCUUCCUCUUCUACACAAGACGUGAACCAGAGAUGCGUAGUGUUCUUUUCUUGGCACAAGAUUGUAGGUUUCUGUCAUGGAGUUGAAAUACCUCAACGCUUCCUCAACAAGUCCAUUGUGGCCUGCAAGCUGUCAAGACACUGAGAAAGCUGACUGAGUUGGGUGGAAAACCGCAUUGAAUCAUUUCCCUGAAGGACCUAAAAGUCCCUUCACCAUCCCCAUUCUGAGCAUGAGCCGAGAUCAAAGCAUUCCAAGAGACUGUGUUCCUCACAGGCAUCUCUUGAAAUAUCCGAAUUGCAUCUUUCAUGGAUCCGCAUUUGGCAUACAUAUCAAGAAGUCCACUGCCACAGAAGACAUUUGACAUGAACCCCAACCUAGUUAUACAUGUAUGUAAUUGUUCCCAAGUGAAAGUGAAGCCAAAUUUGCAGAGGCUCUUAACGUGCUUGCAAAAGUUGCCUGGUCACCACAAAAACUAUCUCUACGCAUGUCUUUGAACAGCUUAAGGCUUCUUCAUAUAAUCCUUUCUGAACAUUAGCUGAGAUGAUAGCUGUCCAAGGAACGUGGCUUCUGCAAGCAGAUUUCCAAACAAAAAUAUUGCAUCCUGAAAUCUAUCACAUUUCGCAUACAUGUCAACAAGGGCAUUGCCCACUAAAGUUUCUGAGAUUGCUGUUGUAACUAAGGUCUGUGCAUGAAUUUGCUUUCCCAUUUCCAGUCGAGUGAAUAUGCUGCCACACUUAACAUUGUUGCCAAAAGGAAAUUGCCUUCUAUCAAACCUCGUGAACUGUAAUUUUGGAAUAGAUGAUUGAUUCUUUGUAUUGUUGAUCAUUUGCAUACCCGUGAUAAGUAUGUUGUAAGAAACACAUCAACUCAGGCAUCUCAUAAAACAAUUUCUCAACAUCAUCUGUACAAUCAUGCUUGGAGUAAAAAUCCAGCAAUGCAUUGGCAACGAAAACAUCCCGAACUAAGUUGCUCUUAAUGGCUAGCACAUGAACUUGUUGACAAGAGCAACACCAUCCAACCCUACACUGGCACACAAAACAAGCCCAAGGGUGAAAUCUGAAGGCUUCAAGCCCAAAUCCCGCAUUUGGAAGAAGAGCUUUAUUGCAUAGUCAUUCAUCCCGCAUUUUGUGUACCCAGUUACCAUUGCAUUGAAAGUCACGGAAUCUCUCUCCAACAUCCCACUGAACAGAAAUAAUGCAGAGUCAAGCAACGACACUUGCAAUAAGAAUCCACUAAACUGUUGCCAACUCUUAGUUCUGAAUCAAAUCCAUCUUUAUUACAUGUCCAUGAACCUGAACACCUCUUUCAGGGCCUCAGAAUCAUCAGAACAACCUGAUAACAAAGUUGUAAAAGUCACUUCAUCAGGCCUCUCUGCGCCUACAUUGCACAUAUCCGCGUAAAGGCGAAAAGCAGAUUUAAACUGGUUUUUCUGCGAGUACGCCCCUAUCAUUAUAGUCCAAGACACAGCAGUCGAUCAACCAUAUUAUCAAAUAACUGCAUUGCACUGUUCAAGUUCCUGAUUUCACGUAACCCGAAAGCAUCGUGUUAAUUAGUAUGUAUUUUUGUUAGCAUGUCGUCGAACAAUUGGCGGGCUUCGGAUACUCUGCUUUUGUUAACUAGUCUUUCAAGCUGAUAAUUAGAGCGACAUGCAGCCGGGUCGAAACCAGUUUUAAUUCUCUGGGCAUCUAUUACGACGUCGUUCAACCAGUUUGGAUUGUUGAGGCGACUCUUGCGUAAAUCUAAUGGAGAGGAAGAAGAAGUUGUGUGGUUUGGAGUAAUUUUCUGGCUUGAUUAAUACUACUGCUAAACACACAGCCAUGGUGAAAAGAGCCGUUAGAUGGUGGCGCUUUUAUUCAUUUUGGCGCCUUUAAAGGAAAAAGUCCUGCUGCUUUGAAAAAAGAUAAUAGUGAAUACAAAGAUGACAAGAAAGAUUUUAUUUUUAAAGCUGAGACUAUUGCUAGUUAAAAUCAUGUUUUCUAUUUUUUAAGAAAAAGAUUUUUAAAAAAAUUACCUAUGAGACAAUUUGACUAUGUUGUUUAUUGUGAGUUUGUGACCUAAAAAACUUCCAAUGAUAUCAAGUUGAACCUAUAGUAAAGGGAAAAUGGUGAACCUACAUGUAUAGAAGUGAAAAACAUCUUUCUUUUUUUUUUUAAAGCAAAUUUAACAGGGUUAAGAACUUAUAAAAUUGUGAACCACAGAUUAAGGUAAUUUAAGAAAGUUGUCUGAAUUUAGAGAACUGUUCAUGGUAAUAUUUUGUGUCAUUAAGCACUUUAGGUUGGGGUACAUGUCAAAGUUGCAAAGAAAGAGCAUAUUACAUCAGUGGCGGAGCCAGAAAAAAUUUUCAGCGGAGACAAAAUUAACCCAAAAAAUUUUUGCCUACUUUUUUUCUAGUUUUUUAAGUAAAACAAAAAUAUUCACCAACAAAUUGAAAUGAAAAACCUUUUUUUAGCUUAUUUUAAAUGAAAUUUUGUGUCCCACGUAUCCUUUUAGAAUAUUAAUUCAUAAACCAACUUAGAGAAUCAUGUAAUUCUUUCACUUCCUUCGUAAGAAAACUCUUAGGCACUGUUGAAAUUAUAUCAAAAUUCUAUGGGUACUAUAGGAAUUUAAGAGGGCAGUGAAGCCGUGCCUCCAGUGCCCCCACCUUAAAUCGGCCGCUGUUUUACAUAGAGGUGAGCUUCAUUUGCUGAGCUCAGUUUCCAAGUGAUUUGGAGCAGAAUUGAGCUGCCCCUCUUGGUCUUGUUGCUCCAGCGUCUCAUACAAAGGGAGUUUCUGGUCUCCGGCAGCCACAAAUCAUCAAUCCACUGAAAAUGGACAGCGCCCCGAAUAUAAGGAAGGCGAGAGCUGGGCUGUAUCUGCCCACAGCCACCAGCAGAGGAGCAAUGGAGGCCCCUAACACCAUGGCUUGUCUUAGCACAGAAACAGCAAAGCUUCUCACAUUUGUAGGGAAAAGUUCCAGAGUGUAAACAAACAAGACAUUAAAUGCAGUUGAUGCAGCCAUGAAUUCUAUUGCUUCAAGAUCAAAUUCUGGCCAGCUUCCUCCUGAUUUAUCCAGAAUUCCUUGUUUCCCACCUGAAAAUAGUAUGCAAAGAAUGCUUGAAGUCCAGCAAUGAAAGCUAAUUGCGAAAAUAUUAGCCGGCGCUUAGCCACGCUCAGGAGCACACCACCAAUGAAUACUGCUGAAAUCUCCAUCAUUGCAUUUGCUGCAACUGCAAAGUAUAAAUUGAAGUUUAGGUUCUCAACAUUGAGUUGAACUCCAAAUAAACAAAUCCAAUCCCAAAGCCUGUCAUCAUAACCAAAGCCAUCCUUUUGGCAGCCCAUUUUGUGUUCCACAGAGUCCUUUCUUGCAAGACUUCUUCCCCUUUACUAGUCUCUUGAGUAGCAACAGAUGGUUCUGAUAUGCACAGAUUGGGAGGUAUUUUUCUCCCAUUGAGCCUUGCAUAUCUUCUUAAUACAUCUAGAGCUUCUUUUGCUUCUUCCUCGAACGAGAAGCCAUCGUGGAGAUUCUGAUACAAAUGGUAGUAGUACAAAAAUGGAGUAGACAAGGGGCAGAAAUGAGAUAAUCUUGUAUAAACUUCUCCAAGAAUUCCUGCUGGGAUAUGCAAUUAGGGGAAUUGAAACAAAGCCCACCGCGAAGAAAAAGAAGCCAUAUUGGCCAGCUUGACCGCGCCAUUUUGACACCGACAACUUCUGUUGUUAGUACAAGGCUACAUAUGCCAAUGCCUGACCGAGAAAAGCCAUUUGCAAACCGGAGGAGUGAAUAAAGCCAUAUAUUUGGCGAGAGAGAGGUGAGAAAAAUGGUUAUCGAAGUUAGGAGCAUGAGAUGAGCACAGCUCUUUUCUUCCCAAGAAUGCAUCAGCUAGGUAUCCAUAGACAGAAGCACCUGGAUUAAACAUCAUCAAAUUUUGGAUUCUGAAUAGAGACUGAUAUAUUAAGCUACUUGAGCCAGGAAUGCCUACUGCUCUGGAUCUUAAGCAUCAGAACAAAAAAAGACGUAGCGCUGGGCUGAUGCAUCAUGCAUCAACUUUUUUUGUACAGAAAAUCACACAUACGAAAUUCUUGUCAAGGAAUUCGAAAGGAAAUGAGGAAGCAGUAAAUAAUCAGAGAGCAGUAAAGGUGGAAAACAGGGUAUAGAGGUGCGCAAAAAAGCAAAGCAUGAAAGCAAAAAUUGCCAACUUUAAGUAACUUUAACGUCCAUUGGAACAGAAAUGACUUAAAUAGCAUAAGAUUGGAAUAUGCUGCUUAUGAUUCAUGGCACAAGGAAUAAUACAACGUCAUGAGCAGAGAAACAAUGUACAACAGAAUGAAAGUGAAUUUGGAAGAUUUACCAACGAGAGAUCCAAGAAAGUAGAAUGAAGCUGGCAUCGCAGCAAGAAAUUUACGGUCACAAAUCAAUCCCCACUCAGCAAUUGAACUUGUAUUACCACCCACCCAUUCCCAGGUUCCAGGCUUCAAUCCGAAACUGAAGCAGCAUCUCCAGAAUUUGUGAGUCUAUGAUGUGAUGAUGAGCUAAUGCAUCUCCAUCCAUCUGGCUGAGCAUCAGCGAAAAUAGUGACUAAAGUACUCUGGGCAUCAAAAAUCCAUGCCAAUGAUACCAAGAACACGUGCAACAACUGUGAAAAUCCAAAUGAUCCCACAUAUUCUUCUAUCACUUGAUCAACUGUUAAUUCCAACUUUUCAGAACCAAGACUUUUACUCGAACAAAACCCUUUCUCUGCACUGCUUAGCUCUAAAAGUUCAUUUUUCUCUUCUUCCAUCUUGCUAACAAAUUAACGACGAAUGACACCAGCCCACCUCGGAUUGUCGAUUGCUGGUUUUAGCAGAAACAUAAGAGUUGCUACUUAUGCUACUUGCUGAAGCUUAGGCCAUCGGCAAUGGAAUUAAACUGCCAUUGGAUUUCAACCUAUCACAGACCUUAUCAUCACAGGGACUGACUCUCAAACUACUUUUUGUGUCUUCUUACCAAGAAUUGUCCCCUUACUAAUGUUUUAUAGCCCCUUAUCUUUGAUUGCAGGGAAACUAUUAGGAGAAUUCCAAGAAGUGAAGGUGCAACACAUGCUGCGUGAGAGCAACGUAUCCGCAGAUGCUUCGGCAAAAGAGGGUGCACGACAUAUGUCUGAUCUAGUGUUUUAUGACUCGAUCCCUCCUUAAUUGAAGGAGCCAGCCCCCAGAAAAAUCGUAUCCAAUUCUAGUUCCACCCCGUAAAAAGAAUGACUUCACCAAAUCUUUUCUUGCUGCAAAUUUUUUAUUUUUCUGUGAGUAGAUUUUUCGAAUUUAUAUGAAGAAGAUUGAUUGAUUGCGUGCAAAAAUUGUCACGUCACACAAGUGAAGGUGGUGGAUUACCACACAAUGCCUUUUUACUUAGUGAAGUGUUAUUUGACGUGUUAAGCAACUAGUGAAAAAAAAGGAGGCAAAAGCUAACUCUUUGAUUCAUUGAUUUGCUCAAGGUGGUAAUCUGAGCAAGACAAUAAAGAUUUUCUCCACAAUUUACAUCAGUCAGUGAAAAGAUGCCGAUUGAUUUCAAUGAAUUGCUUCAAGAAUGUUGGUAUGCACAAAAUCACAUACCUUAUUGCCAAACUUGCUAUUACUAUUUAACUUUAUGCGUCUUUUGUUACAAAAACAAAAGGGAAAAAAACCCCUUAUUGCCACAUUUUUUAUGAGCACCAAAUAAGCCUGAACCUUUUUUCAAUUUAUUUUCUCUACCUAAAUAAAUUUUAAAUCCUAAGGACUAAAGCUAAAAACUGCAAAUUUUUUGAGGUCAUAACAAAAAUUUGGGCAAAUUACACUUUACCCCCUUGUGGUUUAGUGUUUGUUUAUAAAACUCCUAUAUAGUUUUAAAAGCUAUAUAUAAUCCUUUCAUAGUUUGAAUUAAAGUGUGAAAGUAACGGAAUUUGUAAUUUAUAACGGUAUCAACUAAAAUGUCAAAAAUACACAUAUGUAAAGUUGAAAAUUAUUUAUUAACCACAGGAGGGUUAUGUAUAUAUAUUGAAAAACGUGUUUAUGAUGCAAGCAAAUUAAUUUUUUUUGGCAAAUGAUGUGAUAUCCAAACAAAUUCAAUGUUAUCAAUUGGAGUACGAUGCAAAGUGAGAGUAGGGUAUAAAUUUAAGGGGCACAAAAUGAAAUUAGUAUUUUUGGCAAAUAAAGAAGCACGAACUUAUGAAGCUUAUUGGUAUUUCCAGAAAAAUAAAAAUCUUCUAAUUGUCGUCGGACAAGAAACAAUUACCGCCCUCGUUCCUCCGUCCGGUAGCUUUUACUUUUCCUCUUACGCUCACUACUACACUACCACGACCUUUCCUUCUCUUAGUUAGCAUUGACGGGUCCUCUGUUCUCUGUAACCAGUAUUGAAGGUAACUUGUCCUAGUUAAUUUGAUCGUAACUCUACGUUAUAUACUAGAAUAAUUGAUAAAUGUUCUGUCUUGAGCUUUUGUGGAUGGUUAUGUGGGCUAUUCUUGAUGCAUACUAAGUAUUUGAAUAAAUGCUGCAGCUAACUAGUAUGAUUUGCUUGUAUUGCUGUCGUCGGAUUACUCUUUUUUGUUAAAAAUGCUUCAUUUCUUGGCUUGCUGCAUGCCUCCCUCAAGUCCCAUUACCUCCACCAUCCUGCAACAUAUUGAUAAAAACUGACGCAGCUACUUUCACUUUCUUCAGUUUCUUUUCUUUACAUAUUAUAAACCAGUCAAAAUUUUAGCGGUUGCACUGUUAAUUCUCAUAGGAUUAAUGAAUAUAGACAAAUCAUUUGACAGAGGCUGUUUUUGGAUGAAGGACGAGGGUCUAGCGCUGUUCUUUUGGUAUCGGAUGAAUGUGGUGGAAUAAGGUUGUGAAACUUAGUGGUUAUAGUGUCCGGCAUUACUCGAGGUCCAAAAAGGUCCAGCCUCCACGGGUGAUACGAGUAACGAACAAUGUAGCCCAUCUGGGCCGCCCAAGAAAGGGACCAAAACCUCGCCAGCUCCUAUCUCUGCCCCCAUUUCCGGGUCACCCUUUGCCUGGAAGGAACUCGUCCACUGGUCACGUCACUGCCAUUAGCUGGCUCAAGUAUUAUUUUGAUGACAUACCUGGCGAUGUCGUUCAAUCUCACUUCAACAAGGGCCUUGUCAGUAUAACGCUCUCAUGUUCACUUUUUCCUUUUUUUUUAUUAUUAUUGUUUAAUUUUCCCCUCUUGUUCACCUUUUUCAUUUGUCACUUGAUACCUUUACUUUAAAUUGUUCUCUUGCAGGUGCAGAUGGAAAGCCUUGAUUCCAGUAUGUCCUCGAAGAGUCAGGGAAUGCAAACAAAAUCGACGAGGAAGGUACUGCUGUUCAUAUGAUCUACUCACCUGUCAGCCUUAACUCAUACAUUUAGAGGCAGAAAAUUCAAGCCAUUCAUGCUCUCCAGCUUUCUUUUUUGUUUCCUCAGCUUAUUGCUUUUUUCAUUAAUUUUCUCUAAGUUUUCAGUUUAGUUUGAGUGUCAUCUCAUUGUAUAAUGAUUCAUAGAUUAAUCACAAUGAGGCCAUGGAGCCGGGGGCAAGAGUGUCUGUACCUGUUUCUGUUGCUGAAGCUAAGAUUUCCAAGAGGUUUGACAUCAUACCAAGUGGGACUCUAUACCCAAAUGCAGAUGAGAUAGAGUAUUUGCAAAGACUUGUAAAAUACAAGGCAUAUUCAUCUAUUCAUCUACUGAUGUAUUUGUCUAUUUCUAUUUGAGUUAAGUGCAUGGAUUAGAUAUUUGUUGAUUAUAGUGUAUGAAAAUAAAUGCAACUACGUUUUUUGAUGGUUGAAUUCCUUUGAACCCAGUGACCAUGAAGAAAAUUUAAAAUCAAGGGCUUUAUGGAUCCCGUCUUGUGCAUUACCCUGCAUGCUUUUGAUUUUGUUCUGCAUUGGUGGAAUAUUGGCGCUAUGGUUUGAAAACUCUAGAUCUUUUGUGCAUUCUAAAUAACUGGCUGAACUAAUAUCUGCCGGAAAAUAUGCCAGGACUCUGCUAUACUUGUGCUGAAUAAGCCUCCUAAGCUGCCAGUGAAGGUUAGGAUCUCCUAUGCUCUUUGCGGUGUUAAAGUGCUGUCCUUGAUUCAUUUCCUAUUCUUCCUAUUCUAAUAUACAUGGUUUGGCAAUAGGGUAACCUGCCAAUUCACAACAGCAUGGAUGCGUUGGCUGCCGCUGCAUUGUCAUAUGAUUAUGAUGAAGGCCCUAAAUUGGUAGGUUAAAUGUUGGCUGAUUGCUGUGAGUUCUCUUGACCAACUUGACAAUUCCUUAUAUGUCUUAUUAAGUCUUUUGUUUUUGCAAAUGAUGGUGGUUCAAAAGUUAAAUCAUGACAAGUGACAAAAAUCAUUAAUGUUACACAUGCUUGCUUGUUAGCCUUCCAAGCUCUUGAUAGGUCAUCUACUUGAAAUGAUGGAUUUAUUCAUCACGAACGGUAUAACUGUUAUUGCUAGAAUAUGCCUUUAUAGGGUCUAGUAAAUAAAUUCAAGUUGGUAUUACCUUGGUCUUCAGGAUGAUGAAUCUUUAAAUUAAAACCUAUUGCUCAAUAUUAUCAAAUAGCAAUCUUUCUUUCAUUUUCAGAAGGAAAAGCUUUUUCAUUUGCAUGUUUAGGUGCAUCGUCUUGACAGAGAAAGCAGCGGCCUCCUCCUGAUGGGCAGAACAAAGGAAAGCAUUUCCUAUCUCCAUUUAUUGUUCAGUGACAUAAAUAAGGCCAAAUCCUUGUCUAAGGUAGUCUAAGAGCUACUUGUUAUGGCUUGAUAGAUGUUAAAUCAUUCCUUAUCUUUGCUUCUAGCUUUCUGUACCUAUUUUUUGCAAAUUUCUCCCCCAUGUAUUCAAGGGGUUGCACUGUUACUCAUGAAAGCGUGCUUCUUGAGUCGCAUAGGGUCUCAUGAACUGGUUUUACUAUUCUUGCAUCUUGAUACAUUAAACAUUCGACCUUUAGGGUUGGGGUGAUGCUUGUGAGUCAACAUAUCAACGGUAUUGGGCACUAGUCAUAGGUUCCCCUAAAGAGAAGGAAGGUCUAAUUCAUGCACCUAUUACAAAGGUUCUCUCUCUCUCUCUCUCUCUCUCUCAAGUCUCAAUUAUCUUCUACAGAAUAUCUGUGUAUUAGACAAACUUGGUGAUGCUUUUGCUUUCUUUCUUCACUGCAGGUAAUGCUUGAUGAUGGGAAGACUGAAAGGGUUAUAGUGGCGAAUCGUUCAGGCCUUGAAGCUUUCCAAGAGGCCAUAACUGAAUAUAGGGUGCUUGGUCCUAUGAUUAAUGGAUGCUCAUGGAUUGAAUUACGUCCACAUACAAGCCGGAAGCAUCAGGUAUUAUUCCCCGUUGCUUCUUUCUUUAGUUAAAGCCUACAACCUUUAUUGCUUAUUCAGAAAUGAGAUUUGUUAGAUUGAUGGAAAUAAUUCAGUUCCCUAUCCUAGGGUCAGAGUUAAGACUUGUUUAAUUGUGUUUCAAAAGUAAGGAUCACUCUUUGCCGCUGAUCUCAACUGUAUGCUUCUACCUGACAAUGAGAGUUCAGAUAAUGAUAACAUGAACUAUUUUACUUCUUCAGACAACUGUAAAAAUGUGCUUCUCAUUUUUUUUUCUCAUUGAGUUUUGUACGUUUGAUUAGAUCUUGUGAGUUAUCUCAUCUUUGGUCCAAUCCUUUUAAUUGUUAAUAGCACUUACAGAAAAAAAGGUAGAUGUAUGAUUAGCUUUUUGAAGAAACGGAUAUUGAUGGGAAAGAUGAAGCUUUGGCAGUAAUUCCAUAAAUAGACAAGUUGGAUAAAGGCCACUAAUUGAUGUUCCCGUGGAGUAGCAUCGUCCUUAAGUGCUCUGAUAUUCCAACUUCUGCAUGCAAACAUUUUAUGGCUCUCUAUUCCCUGAGCAGCUUUGCCUUCGUCUAACACCUUAUUGUACACAUGAAUACCUAAUUUGGAAACUUAAACAAUCCAAUCUUGCCUCUGGAUGCCUCGUCUGGACCAUUAAAGAAAGUACUUGCAAGUGCUGUUAUAUUGCAGAUGCUUACACGUAAUAUCAUUAGCUUGACCUAUAAUUGCUAAAGGCCUACAGUCUGAAUGGUUUGCCUCUGCAAUGUUAUUAUUUCAACGUACCUCUGUGGAAAGCUUACUGUGGGAAUUGUACAUUAUCUGACUUUGUUCUUCUUUCUUCAGCUUCGUGUGCACUGUGCUGAAGCUCUUGGUACUCCAAUUGUGGGUGACUAUAAAUAUGGCUGGUUUGUUCAUCACAAAUGGAAGCAAAUGCCUAGAGUAGAUUUUGAGCCAAACAGUGGGGAACCCUAUAGAUUGCGAAGGCCAGAAGGUUUGGAUGUUCAGAAAGGGAGUGUCUUGUCUAAGGUUCCCCUACUUCAUCUGCAUUGUCGAGAGAUGGUACUUCCAAACAUUGAAAAGUUUCUUGAAAUCCAUACAAGUAAAGGCAGUAAUUACCAGUCAAAACUCAAGUACAGCUCAAAACCAGAUGUCCUUCGUUUUGUCGCACCGAUGCCAUCUCACAUGAAAAUUAGUUGGAAUCUCAUGUCAUCUUAUUUGAUAUGAUAAUGACAAAACUUGCCUUCACUCUAAACUAGUAAAUCUAUGGGAGCCUGCUUAUUUGCAUGUUGCCUUCCUUUGUUUUGUGUUCUUUUCCAAUUUGUGAAAGCAUGUGAUGGUGUUCCUGAGGAGUUUGUUUCAAGCAGACUGUCAGAGCCAUGGGAAAUGUUAUGAAAGAACAGCACAUUUCUAGUUCAAAGAGUUUCUGAUAUGAGCGCAUGAUACCUUAGGUUGAUGAAGCAUAUUGGCCUCCUUUUUAAUCUUGUACAUGAAAAGAAUAUCCCGUUUUAUCAAAAGAACGUGUUUGCACCAUGUAGAUGUAGUUUUCUAAAUUACACCUACUUCCAAAAUGACUUCAUGACUUUGUAUACGUGUACUUUAGUUUAAUUUUGCCAAACCGUCAUUUGCUUCUUCAAAUUCUCAAUAUGACCGUGGCAAAUUCACAGCGCCGCAACCUUACUAACUUUUUAUUAACUUCUAUUAAAAGUUAGCGUAAUUCAAGGAAUAUAAAACAGUGCGCAAGUAAAGGCAUUUUGCACUAGUGAGAGGAAUAUCCUGUGGUUCACUGUGAUAUAAAGCCAGGCAAUAUCCUCCUAGACGGCAAUUUAACGGCUCAUGUAAGUUAAGAUAUUGCGGCAGCCACAUCUACGAGAAUGUUGAUUCUCUGACUAAUGUUUAAGCCAUUAUGGUGCCAUUCAGAUUUUGGAUGUAACCACUCCUCUAGGCUCCCAUUUGUCAUGAAGGGAUAUACUAUAGCUUUGAAAUCAUUACCCUGGAAAUCAGAACUUGAACAUGCUGUUAUUACCUUGACAAGGUUGCGGUGCCUUGUAUGUCUCAAGGCUUGGCAUUCAGCCAUGAAGCUCUUAGAAGCGUCUGGCAGAUGGAGGUGCUGUACCUUUGACAGCUAUUACUGUUUCAUCUGGACUAAGAGUUCCCUUGUCUACAGUUCCAAAACUACCUGAAUCAAUCAAGUUUUCUGAAGAGAAUCCUCCUGUUGCAUCAUGGAGCAAUUUAUAGGAAACACUUGGAUAGAUUUGCCUGGAACUAGAUGACACAUCAGAUUGUUUCUUAGAAACAUCAUAGAUUGUUUCUUGGCAAGAGUGAUAGGAAUAUGAUUGAAGCCACCCCAACUAGCGUCAGUGUCAACUUGAGAGAGAGAGAAUGCUUCUUGUGUACUUUUUCUGGAUCUUGCAAGAGGCAAUUUGGCAAAUGCAGUUCUUGGAUCCCACCACAAAGCUUGGGUUUCCUAGCACUUCUACUGCACUACCAUUAGCAAAUACUCCUUCUGUGGGGAUCUUACCUUCUAAAUUAUUGAAUCACAAGUUAAGGUAGACCAGAGAAGAAAGAUUCAUAAAAAAGGUGGAACUUGGCCAGAAAGGUUAUUGCAGGAGAGAUCUAGAUACUGAAGAGAUAGCGGACCCCCAAAAUAAGGUAUCGUCCCUUGGAGUGAAUUAUUCUGCGUGUAGAGAAUUGUUACAGCCGAUAAUUUUCCCAUGCUGAUUGGUAUGUUACCAGAAUACCUAUUGUAGGAAAAAUCAGCAUAAACAAGAUGCUCAAGUCUCCAAUAUCCGGGGGUAUGGAACCAGUCAGGGAAUUGUAAGAGAAAUUUACUGCUCUAAGUGUUGUAAUCUGCAUCAGUUGUACAGGUAGUCUGCCACUCAGAUUAUUCUGUGAAAGGUCUAAACUUUGCAUCUCUAAACAAUUUCCCAAGUUAAAGGUAGACUUCCCUCAAGAUUGUUGGUGGCAGUAUAAAAAUUUAUCAGCUGUUAUGUUGCCAAUGGAAGACGGAAUCUCACCUGUAAACUGGUUUGAACUUAAAGCAAGUGUUCCCAGGUUUGAAGUCGUCCAAUUGAAGCUGGAAUAAUUCCAGUCAGAUGAUUAUUGCUCACGUAAAGUGUAUUCAGAUUUAUGAGAUUACCUAUCUCUUUAGGUAGGCUUCCACUGAUGCUAUUGUUUUCAAAGUAAAGUCUCAUCAUUGAGUGGAGAGAUUGGCUAAGAUCUGGGUAAGAUGCCUCCGAAUUGUUGUCACCAAAAUGCAGGAAUAAUAAAUUGCUACAGUUUGUCAAAGUGGAUAUGAACUUCAAUCAUCAGGUUGGCCACUUCCCAAAAGAUUGAAACCAACAUUGAUCCACUGAAUAUUAGCCAAGCUACCAAAACUCAAAAGGUACUUGUCCUGUGAAUUGAUUCCCAAGAAGUUCAAGUUGCAAAAGGUUUGAAGCAUUAGAAAAUGAAUAUGGAAUCUGCCCAGUGAAAAAAUUAGCUGCCAAAUAGAUCCUGUCAAGAUUCGGCCAAGAAAGGCCAAUGUUAGGUCUUAGGAAGCCUGUGAACUUGUUGUCCGUCAGGGCAAUGAAUCUGAGAGAUGACAUAUUAUAAAGUGCAGGAGGAAAUUCACCGUAAAGAUUGUUAUCUGAUAGCCCAAGUGCCGCUAAAUCUCUAAGCUGAGAUAUGGAACCUGGAACUUCACCCUGCAAAUGGUUGUAAGACAAGUACAGCACCCGGAGAGCUGCAAGAUUUCCAAUAGAAGCUGGAAUACUUUCUGUGAGAUUGUUUCCAAGAUAGAGUUGCCUGAGGUUUACUAAGUAGCCAAGUUCAUAUGGUAUCUGUCCGACAAAGUAGUUGUGAUCCAGUACAAGAGCCGUGAGGUUGGAACAUUGUGACAAAUUUGCAGAAAUAUGCCUCCAAGAAAAUUGAAGCUCAUGUUCAGGUAUUGAAGCCUGAAUAAGUUGCCCAAUUCUGGUGGAAUCCCACCUUGAAAGUAGUUGUCAGACAGGUCAAGAGAGCGUAGAAAGACAAAUUUCCAAGAUGAGGUGAGAUGGUUCCACUCAACUUCAGUCCUUGGAGAUUCAGACUUGUUACUCUUUGGUGUUUGAGGUUGCAAGCAACACCAGCCCACUUGCAAAUAUGGAGAGAAUUGUUCCAAGAUGCCAAGGCACCUAGAGAAUCUUCAGUUAUUUCUGUCUUGAAAGCCAGCAAUGAAGCUCUAUCUGUCUCAUUUCCAAGUGUGAAAGCAGUAGUAUACUCUAGAAAUUUCAUGCUAAGCAAUAAAAGAAUGAUGGAGGAAACAGUGAAAGAUGAAUACUUGCUAAUGCUCAGCAUGUAAGCCUCCAUUUUCAAGUGGAAGAAUGUAUGCUAAUGAUGAAAGAAUUGCUUCUUCACUGGCUUGUGUUGCCACAUACUAAUUAUUGGCAACAAAUAAAUAAUAGUCCAAAUCAUAGGUGAAAACACUGUCUGUCUUAGGAGCUUAAUAUAACUCAUCUAAUUGAUUUCAACUCAUCAGAAACUGAACAAAGCUAUACAUACAUCACAAGCAACUUAGUUGAUAUCAUUAUGUAGUUGACUUAUAGAUGUGAAAAUGAAAAGGGAAUAUAUCAUCCCUUCCAACUUCCAAGUACUUUCUUCCUUGCAGUUUUGAUGAUGCAGGAGUUGAUUCUUGACUUAAGGUCAGGAAAUUCAUUCUCAACAAAGAAUGCUCCUGAACCAAUCUGUUGAGGGCCUGCAUUUUCUCCGCUCGCAUAUGCUAGCCCCAUGUUAAGCUAGUUUACUAUUACUAAAAGAUUGUAAAACAGAAGUAUCCUCCUUUGAAACCAGCCGAUGGACAGUCAGACAACCAAACUUAAUCUAGUCAAGGGUCCAUUUGCUUCCCCUUCCUCUUCUUGAAGAAGGUUUUUUUUUUUUUUUUUGGCAACUCUUUUAAACCUGAGCUUUUUCCUUGCAAGUACUUAGUAACUGGCUUAACAUGGCUAAAUUUGAUCGUUGCCUGAACUCCAGAGAUUUCAUAAUUUAUUGAAAGAGGGGACAUGAGCAUGUUUUUGAGUAUUUGAUCCUAUGUUCUCGUGUGACCAUUAGGGGGCUCCUCAUGGUACAAUUUCCCAUCCAUGAGAACCGUACAACUAUGAGCUCUUCGUUCAUUUUCCCUACCUGUUGAUCAAAAUUUUGAGUAACUCGCUUAGUUUUUCUUGAAUAAUAUCAUUAAAAAUAAUAAAUGUGGUUGAUUUCAUCCAUUUCACUCUUCAUUUCUUGGUUUUUCAAACUCGUGAUAUUUUGUUUGUCUCGAAAGUAUACGCCAGAUUGUAUUUUGACCAGAAAAGCAUACACGCAGUAUUCAAAUGGCAUUCGAAUCAAAUAUUUAUCAUUUAACUGCAAACCAAAAGUUUCCAUAGUUAAUCAACUUUGAAUCUUUGCAAGAACAUCAAUCUUUACAAAAACGAGAGAAAAGCCCGAGCAUACUAACUUCUUCCCUCUUCGUGUUGUACAAUUUCGUAUUCAGCUUAGUGUUACAACCCAUGUGCAACUUCUCUACAGCAGCAGACAAAAAUGCAUAACCAUUUAUAGUUAAUACCCUUGAUUUGCCAGAUAAACAUGUAAUCAUCUAAUAUCCCUUGUUACAGUCGGCCAUCUCAAGCAAAAGACCCACUUCAAAAUUGGUCUAAUGGGGCAUCACAAAAUGGCAAGACACAGGUCAAAAGUCUCACUAGCAUGCUCGAAAAUCCAGAAAAAGACGUAAUUUCUGGGAAAGCAGCUCUCGCGUUCCAUAAAGAACCUUACUACUGCUUAUCCAGUCUUUCUCAAGAUGUCCUGCUUUAGCACUAUCCAGCAUCUCGUCAUGGAAAGCGGACACAAUGAAGUAAAUGGAAGUUCUCAGUAUAUCAGCCAUUGCAUAUGCCUUCAUAUAGAUAGGGCUACCUCUUCUUUUCUCGCUAAGACCCACAGCAGAAUCUCGGCUUGCUGUGCCCAUUUGGGCCCAUUUAAUUCCAGCAGCACCCAUCAAAUGAUGAGAAGACUGUAUAUUGGUCUUCUUCCCCAUGAAAGUUUCAACAACCAAUAAUGCAGACAGCAAUGUUGAGAUAACAGCAGUGUUGUUCCCAGACAGCUGAGCAACACCAAAUCGGUCCUCCUUGCGUGAACUUGCAGUCAAUGAAGCUACUAUCCGAGCACACCAUGCGCAUAGCUGCAUACAGUUAACAAGAGCAAUUAGCAUUUCAAAUAGAAGACAUUCACAGGAGCUGCUUCGAUUCUUCAGACAAUACCUCUGGUUUAGAAGAAAAGAGAGAUAAUAACAUUUGAGCAGAUUCAAUCUGUCAAUUAAAUGCCAUGCUAAUGCGCCACUAAUCACAUAAUUAUAUGUUUUCCUUUCCUUUGCCCUUCCAAGUGCUACUACACAAAGCACAUGUUCUCCUUUCCUAAACCUUUGUUGUAGAUUUUUUCUCCCCAUCCUAGACUUUGGAUUUAAUAUUAUUGAUCUUUCCCCAUUAAGACACGUAUGUGUUUGUUAAGCAUCUUGAUAGCAUAUCAUUUCUUGAGUCACAAACACGGGGCUCAUGUAUGGUUUUCUUGAGUAAAAAUUGACCACUUUUUAAAUCUCAAGAGUUAUUAGUUCAAACUUCAAACAGUUAAAAUUGAUUAUCAUUUUGAAGAGACAUAAUCAGCAAUAGCACAAAUUUAUGAAUAUUGGCCUAAAUGGAAAGUCUAUAUUUAUAUCAAAUUUCAACAACAAUUUGAGAAUAAUACAAUAUUCAGCUGAAAUCUAAAAUUCCAAUAAGAGAAACUCUCCCCAAGUUUAGUAUACAGCUCAUUUAAAACCUGAUCAUAAUAUGCAGCUCUGUAUCAUGUCCUUUUGGUUUACUAGUAUAUCAAUCUUAAAGACUUCAAAAAUCUAAUAAAAUCCAAAUCACACAUUAAAAUGGGAAAUAACAUUAAGCAUGCAAAGCAAAUAGAUAAGGCAAAACCAUGUAACUAGAUUAGUAUAUAGCUGGGAAACAAAGAUAACCUGGAAAUCAUUAAAUGAUUCAUGUAGUCUUGAAUCUCCAAGUCUGUCAGUCGGUGAGCGCAAUUGAUCAGAUAGAUAGGCAGAUUUCUCACCUAGUGAGCUCUCUAGACCUGCACCCAAAUUCAGUGCGAGUUGCUCCAGAGGCCUCAAGCAUACAGAGAUAACUCUUCUGUAAGUCUCUCCAGUUUCUUCAAAGAAUGCAGCUCGGCGCCAGGUAUCAACAUUUCUCUCACAGACCAUACAGAGAUCAAGAUAAGCCAGAUACUGCAAAAGAGAUUUUGGAGUACUCUCCUCCAGUGCAGCUAAAAGAUACUCACUUGGAUUUGUUUCAGCUGCAGCUGAUCCUUUUGGGGGUGCAAAUAUGAACCUCUUAGUAUGUAUAUCUGUAUAGUAAGAGGAAUUUCAUUGGCCGCAACUACUUAAUAGUUGACCUACUUCAGAUGAUAUGCAAUAGCACGGCCAAGAUUUGAUGUAUUAUCGAAAAACAAAAACUUGGGUGGAUGAAAACAAGUAAAUUACCUGAUGCAAAUGGUGACUUAAUUCCCAACAGAGAAACACCAAAAAAGUUCCAAUAUAGAAGAUAAUCUGUUGAGCAAUAUAUUUUCCAAUAGAAAAAUUACUUCCAUACUCAUCAGGAAGGAAGAAUAACACCACUGAUGAAAAGAAGUAGGCGGCAGUUGAAAGUUUCAAAGCUUGCCCAAAAGCAGAAGGAAGACCCAUCUUAAAACUGAAGAACAAAGGGCGCUGUACACACACAAAAAAACAGUGUGAAGUUGCAAUUAGAGAAGAAGAAUAAUCAUAUACAUUGGCUUUAUACAACUAUAUGCCAACUCAUACCCAAUGCCGCCUAAAGCAUUAAAAAGUAAAAGAUAAUUACAAUAUAAGUGAAUGUCAGAACAACAAUUUACUAUGCCUUCUAAAAAGAGCCAAAAAAAAUUUGCAACACUGAUAGCAAAUUUGGUAAUGCAUCAGCAUUUGGACAUAAAAAAUAAAUCAACUAAACUUAAGUGAUCAUAGCUUUUUCUUUUUCUGACAUCAAAACGUGUUUCUUCUCAAGGAAUGAACAGCCAGAGACAAAAAAAUCAAUACAAAUGAGGUAACUUCAGCUCCAAUUGCUAAAUUCUUAACAAAAUUGAGUAUCCACCAAUUGACCUCUGCAGUUACUUGAACACAGAAGUACUAUGCUUAUAUUUACAACAUCAAUAUUUAAACUUCCUUUUACAGCUAAUAUGUCUUCCAACUAAUAAACUGAACAAAACUUCAAUUUCAGGCGAAGUCUCUGUGAAUAAAAACAUGGCGUUGAACUAUCAUAUUAACAAAUUCUAUAUUUCUUUCAUUUUUUUCUCCUAUGGUUCUAUCUAUGGCCUCAUGGCCCUAACAACUAUCUACACAUACAAAAUGUGAGUAGCAACUGCAAUAAUAUCAUCUGAAAGCAGCUUUCGAAGAGGAUCAGGUGGCUCAUGGAGGAAAAAAAUAUUGCAUUUAAUUUCACUACUCCCCUCUCAAGCAUAUAUAGCAAAAGGCCACAAGUCAUUUACAUUAUCUUUCAUCUCUACUCUUACAAUAAGCAAAUAGUUCUACAUUAACAAACAAGUUUAACCCCUGUGUACUUUUCUUGUCUCCACAAAUGGAUACUCAUUUUACACCUUGAUACAAAGGCACAACAGAAGGGAAAGAAAAUCAACCAAAAAAAUAGCAGAAAUAAUCAAGCUACUUUUAACAUAAAGCACAAUGCAGAAACUACAACAUUUGUAGAUUCCACUGCAAAAAAUGUACCAUACAUCAAUAAACCAAUUAAAAUUCAGAAAUGCAGAAACUUUAGACCUUUUUUUUUACUAAUUACCAAAAAUACCUGAACAAUAGGAAACUGCAAAACCCAUCUCUGCUUAUACAAAUAAUAAACUCCAUAAGGCAAUCCGAUAAGAAAACCCCUAAACCCUAACAUCGCAACCACCACACGCCAUGGCAUCGUCUGAUGAAACGCGCCGCUACUCCAACAUAUCGAAAUCAAUGCAACAAACCCUGAGAGAGCCGAAACCACCAGAAAAAGAGCAAAGCUCAAAGAAAACUUCACGGCUUGCCGAGCCUCAGGCGACAAACUGGGAUUAUCAGUGUGGACAAAAAUCAGCCGAACCGAAGUGAGGAGGAGGUCGAGAGGGGAACCGGGUUUCUGCCGGUGAGGAGAGGAGAUGAUAAAAAGACUGGUAGAGAAGAGAAGGAGGGACACGUGGAAGGCGAGGAAAGAGAAUAGGGAGUGAAGGAUUGAGGGGGAAUUUUUGGAGCGGAAGGGGUAAAGAAGGAGGGUUUUGACGAGGAGCAGAGAGACUGUGGAGAGGAUUGAUUGCCAUAUGAGAAAUGAGAUGAAGCGAUGUUUGAUGACAGUCGUGGUGGUGGAUGUGGUGACGCCGCCGUUCUUGGGUUUGAAAAGUGAGUUUUGGACGGCUGUGGAGAGUGACAUGGCGGCGGACUAAGGUGGCGUUAAGACAGAGCCACCAAGAGUGUGGGCGGUGGUUUUCGGGGUUUUGUGCGGGGUUUGGUUUGGUCUUCUUCUUGCAUAGAUCAUAGAUGUGAAUUUUGGGGAGGAAUAUAGGCGGGAAAAUAGAGGAAAAUGAAAAGGUUAAAAAAGGAAAUAAGAGUAAUAUUAAGGAUAGGAAUUUACGUGUUUUGUAAAUAUAUUUUUCAAAUUUUUUAUCUCUCAUAUAUAUAUAUUGCUAUAAUACAUUUUUUUAUAAAAAAAAUCUAAAAAGUAGCAAUCCAAACGAGCAUGAAGGCCUUUGCACUUUGAAUGAAAUGGAAUUCAUUUGAAUUGAAUGAUUAUUUUGAAUUAUGAAAAAAUGAAAUUGGUAGAAUAAAUCAAUUUCUAACAUGUAAACAUUUGCCACAAGUAAGAAUUUUAUGAGAACUUCACUACUACUUAAUUGUUAACUUAUGCACUAUUAACUUUGAAACAUACAAACAUACAUUUUUGUUUUAAUAGUGAGAGCAUUGGAUAGCAAAUUAUUUCAAAUAAUAUUUCGUUUGCAUCAUAAAUAUAUUUAAUUUAUUUUUUUAUCUCAUAUACAUCACAUCACAAAAACUGUUACAGUAAUUAUUUUAAAUAAUAUGCUAUCCAAACACACUCAGUAUUUGUAUACUUCUUUCUUUGUUAGAAAAAAUAUCGACAUCCAUAUAAGUCAUGAAGUCAAUCAAACUCGCAUUAUUGUUAUGUACAAUUUGAUUUAUCAUUUCUUUCAUCCAAAUUCAAGCUUAAACUGAUUUUUAUUCAUUUAUUUGUAUUGAAAUUGAUCCUCAUCUAUUUAUGCAACGAUUGUGCUCUUUUCGUCUCACUAGUAGUGGUUAUUAGUGGCGCAUUGUUGCAUUAGAUGGCCGAAAAUUUUUCUGCAUAUCCAUCCCCUUUUUCUUAUUUCACAUACAAUAAAUCACUAUAUUACAUUUUUUUAAUAAAAAAAUCUAAAAAAUAUCAAUCCAAACCAGAAAAUAAAAGAAUCCCUUAUGAUUAUGACACAAAUUCAAAUGUGGAUCCAUCAAUAAAAGCUUCGUCCCCACAAGGUAUGACCAUUUGACUUGGUUAGAUGAAGCAAAUUGACCGCUUGACCUCGACAUUGAGUAGAAACUUCUAGUAUUCAUUUGCUUGACAUUAUUGGUCACAUUAUUAUCCAUAUUAAAUUGGUCAAAAAAGGCGGAGAUUUGGCUUCUAUGGUAGAAGUAUAAGAUUGACUAUGUAAUAUUAAUAAUUAAAAAAGGGGGUGGGUUUGGGGGAGCAGGGGCAGUCUCGAGAUGAACGGUGUCGUAUUCAAGUCCAUUAGUGUGUACUUUGUAUUAACUGAAUUCCAUUCACAUCUAACGAUUUGGACAUAUGAAUUUGGCUGGGACCAUGAAAAAAAUACCUGUUUCUUUAAUAUGAUUGAGGCAUUUUUCUCUCUCGUAUAGUUGAGAGUUUAUAUAUCAACGUAGCAACAUUGGGCCAAGAGACAAACUAGUGCAGCAACAAGAAUGGAAGGAAAAUUUAUCCAAUUCUUUUCACUCAUUUGUCUUUGCUUGUUUCCUGCAAUUUCUACACUUGAAGCCAAUGAUGUUAAGGCCAAUAAAGGGUGCAUUGAGAUUGAAAGAAAAGCACUGAUCAAGUUCAAAGAAGGGCUAACUGAUCCUUCUCAUUUUCUAUCAUCUUGGACAGGUGAUAACUGCUGUUCAUGGAAGGGCAUAAGUUGCAGCAAUGAAACAGGCCAUGUGGUGAAGAUUGAACUCCAGAACUAUGAAUGUUUCAAUGAUGCUGGAAACUACUAUGGAAGCAACCAAAACGCAUCGUGUCUUGGCGGCCAGAUAAGUACAUCUUUGCUUGAUUUGAAAUACUUGGAUCACCUUGAUCUGAGCUUGAACAGUUUCCAAAUUCCGAUCCCAGAAUUCUUGGGUUCACUUGGAAUGUUGAGUUACCUGAAUCUGUCGCUUGCAGCAUUCACUGGAAUGAUACCUCAACAUCUUGGAAACUUGUCGAAUUUGCGCUAUCUUGAUCUGAGCUCGAUUCUUCCCUGCAGUCUAAUGAUUUGUAUUGGCUCUCUAGUCUGACUUCUCUGGAGUACCUUAAGAUGGAAGUGUCAACUUAAGUUUGGCUUCAACUCAUUGGCUGCAAGUUCUCAAUCUCAUUCCUUCUUUGUCAGAAGUACACUUGGUUUCUUGUGAACUUCAGAACUUGCCUCAAUCUCUACACACUGUCAAUUUUACUUCCCUCUCUGUCCUAGAGCUCACAGGAAACAGAUUCAAGUCACCAAUCCCUCGGUGGUUUUCUAACCUCAGCACCCUGGUUCAGCUUGACUUAACAAUGAGUGAGAUCACAGGAGAUGUAAGUGCAGUUAUUGGAGACCUAACCACGUGCUGCAAGAAUAGCUUAGAGGAGCUGAUCUUGGCAGGUAAUCAAAUAAGUGGACACAUACCUCAUUCUCUUGGGCUCCUUAAGAAACUAAAAUUCCUUGAACUUUUUCUUAACUUCAUUUCUGGUCCAAUUCCGGAGACUGUUGGAAACUUGACCAAUUUGGAGUGUUGGAUCUAUCUUACAAUCAAAUGAAUGGCUCAUUGCCUGAAAGCAUCAAAAUGCUCACAAAAUUAGCCUCGUUAGAUCUGUUGCAGAAUAGUUGGCAAGGGAUCCUAUCCGAAAAUCAACUUCAAAGUCUCGGAAAACUAGAAUAUUUCACCAUCUCAUCUUCAAACAAAAGCUUCACGAUAAAUGUGAGUUACAAUUGGGUUCCUCCUUUUAGUCUUAAAGACAUUGAAAUCAAUGACUGCCUACUGGGUCCUAAAUUUCCAGCAUGGCUGAAGACUCAGAAGCAGCUCUCAACAGUCAUCCUUACUAAUGUGGGCAUUUCAGAGGUAAUAUCUGAUUGGCUUUGGGGAUUGAGUCAACUUACCUGGUGUGACCUGUCCAAUAACCAAAUCACAGGAAGUUUUCUCCCUUCACUUGAAUAUCCUUCGCCUGCACUCCAGAAAUCAACCUUUAAUCGCUCAAAAGUUCUUUUACAUCCUGGCAUAAGCUAUAUAAUCUAAAUUUGGCAGGCAAUUUACUUUCUGGACCAAUACCUGCAAAUAUUGGUCAAGUAUUGGCAUCUGUGAGUAUGCUUAAUCUCUCUUGGAACUUCUUGGAUGGUCGUAUGCCUUCAUCAAUAGGUAGAAUGAGGAACUUAAUUUCACUAGAUCUAUCAAACAAUCAACUUUCAGGCAGGAUACUAGACAACUCGAGGCAUUUGAAAAAGCUACUAGUUCUAGAUUUGUCCGCGAACCAUCUCUCCGGAACUGUUCCUGGUUCAAUAUUUCUAUUGCCUGAACUACAGAAAUUGAAGUUAAAUGACAACCACCUUUCUGGUGAUCUCUCAAAUUACCAAAUAAACAAUGCAAGC
rnacentral:lncRNA from 1 species